GAGACCGUAGCACCGAGUCAGGUGUGGAAAGAGAAGAUAACCAUACAUGAAGAAGAGGCGCCGCCGGAAGUACCGACUACGCCACCUAACGAAUCCCAGUACAAUUGAGAAAACAGAGAGUCCUAGGCGAGGCAUAGAUUGCGCUCGAGGCCAAGGGCUCGGUCGAGGCGUUGGUUUGCUAGGGCUCGGGGUUCGUCUCUGUUCCCUUUUGCCGCUUUUCCCUAGCGUAAGCCAUAACCUUCGCUUGAGCCUGUAGUCGUCGCAAACCCAACGCCACCACUGCUAAACUCGAGUCCCUGUUCCACUGAAUCACUGCCACCGUAAGCACUUCGUCGGGCUUCGCAUUGGUUUUGCAAAGCCGUUAGGCCCCUUCCUUUUCUUUUUAUCUUUCUUGCUCUGGUUCUCUCUCACCGUGUUGUCGUUGUCCUCAGGUUGGACAUGGUCCACCAUGUCGAGCCGCCCAUUGUCUUCAAGUUUUCCCAUCGUUGAGAUCUGGUGGUGAGUUCACUCUGCCACCCUCUUUCCCCCAUGCUUUUGGCUCACUCCGUCAUGGCCUAUAUGCCAUGAUUUGUGUACGCCAUCGAGUUUCUCAUUGCCGGCCAUGGACAUCCGCCAUACUACCACAGGAGCCGGUCGGCAACCCCUCUUACUCCCUCCCAGAUCUAAUCUGGACCAACCAAAUCAGAUCCAACUGCUCAUGUUCAAAUGUCACCCAUUCGGCUACUACUUUUGCUUAAGGGCCCCUCAGAUUCUUGAAAAUAGAACACACGGUCCGAAGCGUAUUCGCGGAAUACAUAUUCUAUUCCUAAAAAAGUAGAUUCCCUCUGUUAGAUUCAAAAUAUAUUUUCUUUAUUUACAUAAUUGCCACUGAAUUUGUUUUAGCCAUAAAAUAUUUAUUUUAACUUCAAUUUGAUAUGCUCAAAUUAUGAUAGAUUCGUAAUAACGUAAUCUAAUGCUAUAGUUAAGCAUGUUUUCAACUUUUAAAAUUCAAGAUUAGUUUUAAUCUAUUAUUUUAUUAAAGGAAAUGUUGUUUAAUUCAUAACUUCUUCGUUAUAGUUCUAAGUUUCUUGAUCUUUGUGAUCAUAACGAGAUCUAGAUUCGUUUUACAAACUUCUCACCUUGAUUCAAUACUGUUGGCAUACUAUUCUAAUUAUAGAUAUGUUUGCUUUGCAUGAUUGUGUCUGGAUGAUUGUUGUUGUUGUGUUGAUUGAGUAUAAACGGCGAGCAAUUCAUGGGUGAUGAAGAGUACAUCUACGAGCAGGAUCAGCAGGAGCACUUUGACCAAGACAAGUAUAGCAUAGAACUAUCUUUGUUCCUAACUAACUUUUAUACAUAUAAUUCAUUAUGCAUGUGUCUCCUUAUAAGGAUUAUGUAGAGUUGUUGUUAUACAUUUGACUCCCAUGGGAUAUUGCAUUGGGUAGCUAUUGCUAGUGCUCAGCAUAAGGCAUGAUCAUAUAACUUGAUUAACAGAAUAUGCAAUAAACAUUAAAAGAUGACUUUUUUUAAGCUUAAAAAUUGACAUUUUAGUAAUAAUAAUAAAGGGGGUGAGAGCAUUGGGCUAUUUUAUGGUGCUCUAGUUCUCUCCUUAAGGACCUAUCUAUAAGUGAUAAUCCGGAACUUAUAGUACAACUGUGGAGGCUGCAUGGCUCUAGCUUUAGUCAUGUAAGAUGACCUUUUCUAGCUUGUUAGAGGUUACCCAAAGACACAAAUUGCGUGUGUUUUGGGUUGGGUGUAGUGCGGUGUUUUGUCCUUGUGUCUAUAGCCUGUGCGGAAUAUGCCAUCAGGAAGAGCGGCCCUCCAUUUGCAUGACCUCGGCCAUAUGUGAAUCACAACUCAUAGUGAAAGUGUAAAACCACUUCAGAGCGUAGAACUAGUAUAUUAGUUGUGCUCACUGUCACGAGCGUCCUUGGAACCCUUACGGAAUAGAUUAUUACUAUUAAUUAUUUUAUUUAUGUUGUUCAAUCUUCAUUUUACCAUGUGUUUGCUAUGGCAUUAUGACAACUUUGCUACUCAUAUGCUAAAUUUAUGAUAACUAAAAACAACAUACAGUUAAACCCGUGUCAUGCCUUUUGAGCCACAUGAACAUCAUGUUAGACUUGUUAAAUACAAGAUGUACUUAUUCUUGUUUAUUUUCUUUAUUUGGAUAAAAAUAUCAGAUGGAUAACAAAUAGCUUUGGUAAUGACGACUUUUUUGAGGACUUCUAGUCUUGUGGUCAACUAAUUAACGUCUUUGUGCUUUGGAGCUACCGCGAGAGAGUUAUCUUUAUAUUUUUAUUAUAUUUAUGUAAAGACUAUGUGCUGAUAUUUGUGAUAUAAUAAACACUCGUGUUGAUACUUUAUGUAAUUUGUUAGCUUAUGUGUGACUGAUCUCUGGGCGCACAUAAGAUUAUGCAUCCCGCUUUAUCCUUUAAAUUGGGUGUGACAAAGCAUCAGAGGUUCAACUAAACAUGUGGAUGCAACACAUAAUAAAAUAAAGAAUUGAAGUGCGAAAUCUGUAAAUUCAUAUACAUGACGAUACACAGACAUGACCACGACAAGGGUUGGGUAAUUGAAACUAAAGUUUUUUUUUUUUGAGGGAAAUUGAAACUAAAGUUUUACUAAACAUAGUUACUGAAGGAACGAUUUUGGUUUGCCUAGUUUUGUUUUCUUUAACGUGCCUUCUGAUUCCUGGAGUAAACAAUAUAAUAUAUUAACUGUCCAUAAUAAUUGACUGUUUAAUAAGGGCAUAAUUUCUCAUUUAAUAUUUACACUAAUUAAUAGUUUCAACCAAGAGACUACGAAUACCCACUUCAUCCAUCCAUGUAUGGCCUUGUCGAUGGGCAAUUCUUUCUAGUACAGUACUGUAUUUAAUAUAUGAGAGCGAGCCCGAAGCCAGAUUGAGUUCCUAAUUUGUUUGAGUAUACAGGAAACCGCCAUACUUUCAGCAGCUCCCAAACGUUGCUGACAACACAAAAAGUGACCAUCUCGAUCUAUGUUUCGCAAGCACCGUAUGUAUCUUGAUGGAUGGAGAAAACACGUACCUCUCGAGGCAUGAUGAAUUUCUGUGUAUAUAUAGUAAGGACCAGCAAAUUAGGUGAAGAAGCUUCAGAUAUCUCUUACAUCGUUGCACCCUCACACCAAAUACGAAUUCUAGCCCAUAUACCGUAAAACACACAUGUUAAUCCAUAUAGUAUAGGUACCUAUAUGAUUUAAACCAAAGAUGCAAGUAAGAAAUGCUAUUAGCCAUGUAUAGUUCAGAAGAGUUACCUCUGACAGGUAGCUAGCUUCUGGAUAUAUAUUCAGAAAUUAACUGGUAUGUGGUGAGCUGAGGGGAUCAAGUGGUCGAAACAGGGUAUGUGGCCUCUGUGUUUUCUAUCAAGCUCUCUUCAAUCCAUAGCAAGUGAAGUGAGCUUCAGGUAAGAACUUUGGACAUAGCUAGCUUUCAGAAAGAAAAGCUCUUUGCUUGGGGCUGGAGAGAAGAAUAAAGUUGCAUGGAGCUGUCGUGCAACAAUAAGUAAAGUAGCUGGGCAAAUCUUCAAAUGGACCCAAAGAGAAACCAAUGUAUUAUCUAUGUGGUGAAUAUAAUCAGACGAGUGUGUUGUGAGCUGUUUUUUUUUUUUUUGCCAAACACACUCUUUUCUAAAACAGUUUGAUGGGUGAAGCUAUUUUUUUCUUCUCUCACAAAGAUAUGAGUUGGGAUGAAGCUGAAAAAAGUAGCUUAUCCUAGUUCUCUCCAAUUUCGUUCUUUUAUCUAUGCAUGAAGCUGUUGAUCACUAGGGGAAAGAUAUAUUAAUAUAUUAAAAGCAAAAGACAAACAUGUUUAUCUUAAGAAAAUAAAAAGAGAAGGAGGCGAACUGAUCAUAGAUCAGCUAGUUGGGAUCCUUACGGUGGAACCUGCCCACCCGAGUUUAAGUCCCCGACUUGAUACGGGUGUUCGUAUUUUUUUGAAUUUAUUCUAGAAUUAACGGCGCUAUGCUUCAGUGGUAGGCGACGUGUCCGUCGACAGCGAGACGCCUGUGGUGACUUCAUCACUCUCGAGAUUUACCGGUCAAACUCGGUUCUUCCGAGGUGCCCAUAGGCGUAGAGUGUGUGUUCAUAGGGGUGAGUGUGCGCUCAUGUUUGUGAGCAUGUGCGUCUAUAACUGAAGGUGACCCAGAAGGCCUAGGUCAAUCAACAAGGACAGAAAAGAGGUGAAAGCAAAGUUUAUGCAAGUUGGCAAACAACGCGUUCAUGAAUAAAGUGUAGGUCAAUCUUCAUAUGCUUAGUGCAUUGGUCUUGAACGGGGUCGAUGGAGAUGUAGACUGCACUGAUGUUACCACAAUAAACAAUGAUGGCACAACGUAGGGAUAGCGGAGUUCACCCAAGAGCUGGCUUAGCCAUGGCUUGAGUGAUGCCAUUGGCCACCGUGUGAUACUUGGCCUCAGCACUUGAACAGGAUACUGUCGGGCGGCGCUUAGAAGAUCAGAAGAUGAGAUUGUUCCCACACAAGAUAGCAUAGCCAGAGGUAGACUUUCGAGUACUAGGGCAUCUGGCCCAAUCAGUGUAGAUCAAUCGGCAACGUCCGGUAGAGAUGGAGGCCAAAUUCCUUUGCUGCCCUGUAAGUACCGCAGGAUCCUCUUCAUAGCACCAAGAUGAGGGUCUUUGGGGUCCUGCAUACGCAAGCACACUUGUUGAACAGCAUAAACGAUAUCCGGACGAGUAAAAGUAAGAUACUGUGCGAUGCUGCGGAGUGAGUAGGAUCAGACACCAACGUUGUGUCAGCAGUAGACAACAUGGAGUGAGUAUCCACAUAUGUGCUCAGGGCCUGCAGUCGCACAUACCAGCAUGGUCCAAAAUAUCCAACAAAUACUAUCGCUGGAAAAGAAAUCGGCCAUCAUUAUGACGCCCAACAGUGAUACCCAAAAAAUGGUUGAUAUUUUUUAUAUUUUAAUCUUUUAUUAUUCAAUAUUUUAAUAAUAAUCAUGUCUAAAAGUUUUAUAGAUCUAAACCUUUUGGCGGUGCCAAUCUUGUUGACGUGACCAAAUAACGUUGUUGCGCCACAUGCGUUGGUGUGGCAAGAUAUGCCACGUCAUACGGUGUUUCCGAUAUAGAAAACCUUGUCGCGUGACAAGACUGAAUUUUUGAAAAAAAUAUAACUCUUCAACAUGACAUCGUAUGAAGAUGAUUUUUAUAUUAAAAUUAUAGAUGUCGAUGAAAUCUAUAACUUUCUAGUUUUACAUUUUUUCAUUUGAGGACUUUAAUAUGCUUAAAAAAGUUAUAUAAGAUUUCAGCGACAUAAUAAUCACAUACUAACACUUGUCGCAUUAAAGAAAUAAUAUCUUUUUUACAAGACAUCAAAUAAAAAUACUUUUUAUAUCAAAAUUGUAGCCCUCAGUGCGAUUUACAAUUUUAUAGUUUUGAGUUUUUACAUUUAAAGUUGUUAAGAUAUUCAAAAAAUAAUAUAAACUUUCAGCAGUGUAUUUGCACCGGAGCUUGCAGAAUGUGCAACCGUACGUUAAUGUUGGGGUGUGGAUGACCUGCGCAGAUACUGAGUACAUACUUGUUUGUGAAAUGCAUCCUCAACAGGUAGGGCUUAAGGAAACGUGUGACUCUAGCUGCCCUUUCUGGUGGAGGGAUCACCAUGAUUCUAGUCUCUCUUCUGCAAGUUAACAGUUAGGGUAGGGAUAAUGCUCAAUUAACAUUGAUUGUAUAUAUGACAACCAUUGAGUACUUUGUGAGUCCAUGGACCAUGGGCCCACCAAUUCUGGCUCCCCAUCGUGCCUGUAUGUACUCAACACUAGUACACAAAAGCUCUAUACAGGUGGAUCCUAACCCAUUUGCACAGUCGUUUUUCACAACCGCUAGUGCUAGGGGCUAGUGGAAAUGAAUAUUUUCACUAGCGGCUAACUGAGAACCACCAGCGGAAAACGAUUUCCACAGGCGGUUCAAUUAAGACAACCACCUAUGGAAAUUCUUGUCCACAAAAUAUAAAUUAGGUUUUAAAAAUAGGAAGAAAUGAUUUUAAUCGUAUGAAAGGCCCACUAGCCAGCCACCCGACCGUCUCCAUAAAAUCAAUGUUAAUUGUUGCCACAAAUCAAUGUUAAUUGAGCAUUAGCCAAACCCUAAUAUUCUCUCAUGGUAUCAAGAGACGGUUUGCUCUUGCAACCUCUCCGCUUCCACAAAACCUAUAGCCACCGCCACCAAGAACAACUCGCCGGCUGGCUUGCCGUCACUAGGAUCUCAUCUGCCAUCCCCCUUCCUCUACACGUGCGUACCCAUAGGCACCACGCAUGGCAUCAUCAGAUAUCGCCGCCACCGCCACUGUUGUUGCUGAGGAGGAGCAUCUCCAGUGCAAGGCCACUACCAAGGGUGAGGCUGACCACGUUGCUGCCCUUGAUGCCAAUGAGACGAAGCACGCCGCCGUCCACGCCUAGGCCCUCACCAUCGUCGACAUCAAGGUGCUCAUCCCUGUCACGUUCAAUCGCACCGCCAACAACUAGAAUCGAUGGUGCAACAUCUUCCUCGUUAUCCUCAGCAAGUAUGCACUCACGGAUCACGUGCUCUCCGAUGUGGCCAUCUCGACUGCUUGGUGUGGGCGCAGAUGGAUUGCAUCGUCCUCACCUGGAUCCAUGGAACCAUCACUGCUGAUCUUCAGUAGUCGUUCAUGCUUCGCGAGCCUAACGCCCGCAUCACCUGGUCGGUGCUCGACAAUGAGUUCCUCCUCUCUGCCGAGUUUCGCAUGUUCAAGCAAGGGGCCUUGUCCAUUGCCGACUAUUGUCGGUGCCUGGAGACGAUGGCAAGCGCCCUCGCUGAGUUCCGCGAUCCCAUUGCUAAUCGGACCCUCAUGCUAACACUCCUUCGAGGGCUUAACUGGAAGUUUGGCCACAUGGUUUAUAACCUGAAAUGUAGCGUCCAUUCCCUAACUUUGAUUAGGCAUGCACCCUGCUCCUCCUUGAAGAGAUUGACAUUGGCGAUGUCACCAAUGAUGCUCCCCCACCCACGCUCUCAUCACUGUGCCAUCUCCUACUCCUCAGCGUUCACCGAACGGUGACACUGGUGGUCCUAGCGCUGCUCCUGGCAAUACCCCUGGCGGUGGCCAGCGCUCCAACAACCGUCGCCAUGACCAUGGUGGCAAAGCCACUACCCUCAGGAUUGGCGGUUCCGGCUGGCCUCAACCACACCAUUGGCGACAGCGCAGUACUCUGCCUCGGCACUGGAGCGGGAGACGACCGGCUGGCGCUUGGAUGACUAGGACACCAGGUUGUCGCCUAAGAAGAUGGCGUAGCCGGAGGUGGAGCGGCGGGUGUCCGGACACCCGGCCCAGUCAGCGACAGUGUAGACGAUGAGCUCGGUGGAGGACGACCGUCAGUGAAGUUGGAGACUGAAGUCGACGGUGCCGCGGAGGUAGCGUAGGAUCCGCUUGAGAGCGGUGAGGUGUGGCUCCCGGGGAUCAUGCAUAUGGAGACAGAUCUGCUGAACUGCAUAAGUGAUAUUCGACUGGGUGAAGGUGAGGUACUGAAGUGCCCCGACAAGACUCCGAUAUGUAGUGGGAUCUGUCACUGGUGUACCCUCAGUCUCCGAGAGCUUGCCCUGUGUGUCAACUGGAGUGGAGCAGGGCUUGCAGUCAGUCAUCCGAGCUCUCUCCAAGAUAUCAAGAGUGUAUUGCCUCUGGUGAAGGAGUAAUCCAGCAGGGUGAGGCUCAACAGCGACCCCAAGGAAGUGAUGUAGUGCACCCAGGUCCUUCAUGGCAAACUCCUGCUGAAGAGAGGCGAUGAUCCGUCGAAGGAGUGACUCACUGGAGGCUGUGAGGACAAUGUCAUCAACAUAGAGCAGCAGAUAUGCAGUCUCAGCAACAUGGUGAUAGAUGAAUAGAGAGGUAUCUGACUUAGCCUCCACAAACCCUAGAGUUAGUAGAAAGGCAGCAAAUUGAUGGUUCCAUGCUCGGGGGCCUGCUUGAGGCUGUAGAGAGACUUGUUGAGCCGACAUACCAUGUCGGGACGAGAAGAGUCAGCAAACCCCGUCGGCUGACUACAGUAGACUAUCUCAGUGAGAACGCCAUGGAGGAAGGCAUUCUUGACGUCCAGCUGAUGCACGGGCCAGCCGUGCGUGAGAGCCAGCGAGAGCACCGUGCGGACGGUGGUCGGCUUCACCACCGGGCUGAAGGUCUCGUCAUAGUCGACACCGGGCCGCUGAGUAAAGCCCUAGAGAAGCCAGUGAGCCUUGUAACACUCAAGAGUGCCGUCAGCCCGGCGCUUGUGGGUCCAGAUCCACUUGGCGGUGACGAUGUUGGAGCCUGGCGGACAAGGGACAAGAUCCCAAGUCUGGUUGGCGAGGAGGGCCGCGUACUCCUCUUCCAUCGCUCAGCGCCAGUGAGGGUCCAGCAAAGCCUCGUGGACGGAAGAGGGUACCGAGGAGACCUGCGAGUCCUUGGGCAUCGCUAAGCCUGGGCAUUCGGGUUACCUGAUUUUUUCGGGUCGGGUAAUUCGGGUAAUUUAAAAUUCGGGUAAUGAAAAUUGUUACCCGAUAUUAGUCCCAAAAAAACACUACCCGCAAAUUCGGAUACCCGAUAAUUCGGGUUCGGGUUCGGGUAUUCCCGAUUUACCCGAAUUUAAAAAAAAAACAUUAUACAAAAUUUCAAUAGCAAUUUAUAUAUAAUUUUAGCAGCAAUUUGUAUAGAAUUUUAAUAUCAUUUUGUAGAGAAUAAUAUAUUACUAUCACUUGUUCAAACAAAGAGAAUUAUGUUCUAAUAAAUUGAUAAGUUCUAAUAUUUAACUAACAACACAUGAUAAAUACAAACAUAUAGACAAAUAUUUGGGUAAUUCGGGUAGUUCGGGUACCGGGGGAUAUUACCCGAAUUACCCAAACUAAUUUCGGGUAAUCAAAAUCGCUAUCCGAAUUUAGGAUCAGGUACCUCGGGUUCGGGUAAUUCAGGUCCGGAUUCGGGUAAUUCGGGUACGGGUAAUGGGUAUCGGGUAAUUUGCCCAGGCCUAGGCAUCGCUGCAAGAGCCCGGGGCUGCAAGGUAACAGCCGCGGGUCGUGUCACCAUUGGGUGAACAUGACGUUGGUGUCGGUGAAGGAGCGGAGCGUGGUACACCGGCAUCGCGACCUAGGUAGCUGGGGGCCGCGGCGACGGGGUCGGUGUCACAAGCGGGGAAGACAUCGCCGGUGGUGUAGGUGACCUCGGCGAAGAGGGGGCCACUGGUGCUGACGAAGGCAGCGGCGCUAGCCAGGCACGUUGCUGGUAGACGCGCACCGACUAGGCGAAGCGUGCUGGUGGGGCCAGAGUUAGAGACGCCGACCCGGGACCCACUCCGGGAGCACGUCGCUGGUGGACACGCACCGGCUGGGCGACGUGCCGGUGGGGCCGGAGUCGAAGGUGCCGACCUAGGAUCUGACCCGGGACCUGUGUGAGGCACACAGGCCGGGCCGAAAGGUGAUCCCUCAGGACCCGGGCAAGGUAGAGGCCCCAAGGUGUCACAGGCGACAGGAGACGUAGCAGGACCUACAGGAAACACCGGUAAAGGUGGCUGGACCACCGGGUCAGUAGGAAACACAGAGGAGAGGUCAAGCUCCGAAGUGGAAGCGGGAGUGGGAGUGGUGGAAAAGGGAAAGACAGACUCAUCGAACACCACAUGGCAAGAGAUGAGGAUGCGACGAGAGGUAAGGUCGUAGCAUCGGUACCCCUUGUGAUCCGGAGAGUACCCAAGGAAGACACAGAGAGUCGAACGGGGAGCCAGCUUGUGAGAAGCGGUGGCGGUGGUGUUUGGGUAACAUGCACACCCAAAGACUUAAAGGUGAUCGUAGCGAGGGGGGUCCCGAAGAGAGCGUGGUGUGGUAUGGGAGCUGGGCAAGCCGCGAAAGGAAGACGAUUAAGGAGGUAUGUGGAGGUGUGUAAGCUCUCUGCCCAUAAGCGAGCAGGGAGCAAGGCCUGAAGGAGAAGAGUACGCACAGUGUCGUUGGUGGUGCGAAUCAUGCGCUCAGCCUUGCCGUUUUGAGAGGAGGUAUACGGGCAAGACAUGCGCAACUGGACACCGUGAGAGAGAAAGAAGGCAUGAGAGGUGGAGUUAUCGAACUCCCGACCAUUGUCACACUGGACAGCCUUGAUGGUGAGGCCGAACUGUGUGGACACCCAAGCGAAAAAGUGGACAAGCGUGGGAAAAGCAUUAGACUUCGCACGUAAAGGAAAAGUCUAGGAAUAAUGGGAAUAAUCAUCAACCACCACAAGAUAGUACUUGUAUCCAGAAGUACUGAUGACAGGAGAUGUCCAUAAGUCGCAAUGUACAAGGUCAAAAAUGUGGGCCGCAUGAGAAGAAGAACUAUAAAAAGGAAGACGAACAUGACGACCCAGUUGGCACGCAUGACACAAAUGCUCAUCAUGAGCCUGAGUACAUCAAAUAUCGGAACUAUGACUGAGCUGCAUCAGGGCAUCACGUCUAGGAUGGCCGAGACGCUGGUGCCAAGUAGUGGAAGUAGUGGUGGUGAAGGCAGCUGACAAAACUGGUGAAGGAGGCGAAGCAGAUACAAAAAAGCGAAGAGUGUAAAGGGGCCCCGAGCUAUCACAUCAUAGCAGAGGACGUCGAGAAGCCAAAUCCUUCACAGUAAGACCAGAAGAGUCAAACUCCACAGAACAAGAAUUGUCAGCUGUAAAACGAUGAAUGGAAAGAAGGUUGUGAACCAUAGAAGAAGCAACAAGAAUGUCAAGAAGACGAAAGGAACCAUGGGGGCCAGCGGCACCCACAGAGGUGACUGGAAGAUAGGACCCAUUUGCGAGCAUAAUGGAUGAAUGAAGAGAGGAAGAAGGAGGGUGAACAGAAGAAAGUAUACCAGGGUUAGGGGUGGUGUGGUAAGUCGCCCCAGAGUCAGCGACCCACUCUGGCCCACCUGGAGGUGUCAGGGCCAUGGUGCUGAAAGAGUGGGCCAAAGCUGCCUGGUCCCAGCCGGCAGGCCCGGACCAUGUAGACGCGGGUGGUGCCAUCCACGGGGUCGCGGAGGAAGACCCCGAGGAAGCUCCAGCAAGCAUGGCCGCCGGUGGGUGAGGCUCGCCACAGGGAGCCUGGAACGGCCACAUGGAGAUGCGCCCUAACCAUGGGUUGUGGAAGGAUGGCUAGGGUGAACCCAUGGAGGUGGCGGCGUCGUGUUGCCCCCACGACCUGCUCCACGUCCCCUACCUUGGCGACGACGACCGCCACGCCCCCCCCACCCUCGCUUGGCCCGGGGGGAAGAGGGCCGAGAAGUGACGACUGUGGUGGCAGGGCAGGACGGGGUGGAGGAGUAGCAGCGAGAGCAGUCGAGGAGGACGAGGACCCCAGGGCGGAGGUGGACCCAGGCUGGAGGCCCUAAGUAUGCUCCUCCAGAACAAGGUCAUCACGGACCUGCAGGAAGGUGGGGAAGGGCCGCUGCCGGUUUAUCCACGUCCCGAGGUAGGAGCAGCGGUCACUGAGCCCGCGGAGAACGUCGAGGACCAAGAUACGGUCCUCCAUGGGCCAGGCGAGGUCGCUAAGUGAGUCCGCCAUGCCCUUCAUCUGGCGGCAGAACUCACUGACGGAGAGGUCACCCUGGACGAAGGUACAAAAGCUCGCGUCGAGUCAUAGAGCCCGGGCUUCAGCAUUGCCUAGGAACUGGCCCUCGAGCGUCAGCCAGGCCCCGCGAGCGCUCAGAGUGUUGCGGAUGAGGUCGUGGAGGUCCAGGGAGAUCAUCCCCAGAAUCCAGGAGAGGACGAUGCUAUCGAGGCGUAGCCACGAGGGGGGUCUGGAUCUCCCCCAUGGUGUCGAGGAGGACGUGGUCGUCGAGGGCGUAGCGGCGGAGGGUGAGGAGGACCAAGUCCCUCUAGUGAGCGUAGGAGGGGGACUCGAGCUCGAGGACGACCGGGACGAGGAGGCGAAUGUUCUAGACGCCCCCGGCCUGGUAGUGGAGCUACACCACGUGGGGGUCAGCCGGAUCAUGCUAGACGACCGGGGCCGAUGCUGAGGAUGUGUUCCCAACGUCGGGCGAGGAUGAGAUGCUAAGGAACUGCUCUGCUUCAACGAUCUGGUGGGCCAACGCGUCGGCCGCAUCACGCUCGCGCUCCCAAGCAAGGGCGGCCUCCCGCAUGCAUUCCCAUCCUUCCGCAGCCGUAGCGCGAGCAAUGAUGAGAGCAGCGAGGAGGGUAGAGUCCGUACGAUGGGUCACGGGCGGCGGAGGUGGUGCAGGGAAGUGUGCCGCCCCUCCCGCACCGUAGCCACGCUCGGGCCGACAGCCAGCCCCCUGGACAGAGCGCUCGUAGCCGUGAGCAGCUGAAACGUCCUUGUUUGGUUUUGGUAAUUGAGUGACAACUUAGGUGGACUAAUAGUGUUUAUGUGAGAUACACAGGAGAUUAGUCCACAGGUGAUUAUGUGAUGAUAGAGGAGCUCAUUGCAUAUGAGACAUGACAUGGAGUCAUGUGACCAAGGUGGAGAAGAUCAAGAUGAGGCUUGGCUUGAUGGACUAGUUGCAAGAGUGUAGGGCAAGUCGGAGGCUUUGAAGCGAGUGACCGCGUGUGACGGUGAAGCUUGAGCAAGACUUGGCGCCGAUGGACCGAGGCAACGGUGAAGAGCAAGUGAGGUCAAGAUCGAUGAACUAAUACGGUCACGUGAUGAUAUGAAGUGGAUCAUAUCAUUUGGUGAUUGGUUGGUGCAUGUGUUGCAUCAACAUUGGAGGAGAUGGAAUGGAAAGCGCAAGGCAAAGGUAUAACCUAGGGCAUUUCCAUUUCACCGGUCAUAGGUGUGUAGAGAAGUUUAUGACCGGAUUUAGGAUAGAUGGCCGUACUAUCAAGAGGGGCAAACUUGUUUGCAUAUUGGUCAUCUAGUGCUACUUGAGCGAUCUAACGUUGCAUACGUGUUAGGAUCGAGUGGCAUGGCAAGUUGAGAGGCUAACUCCUUCGGGAAAAUAUUUGUGAAAAUGCUAACACACUUGCACAUGUUGUUGUACACUUGUUGGUGUUGGCACAUUUGCAAAGGAGGUGGAGUUCCUAGGGUUGAGAGGGGUGUGGGUUUUGAGAAAAAUUAGUGUAUAUUUUCUAUUGCGCCGGUGGGAAACUUGGAGAAGUCGCGGGAGUGUUUCACCGGACGCACUGCGUGGAGGCACCGGACGCUGGCCUUUAGCGUCCGGUGUACUGUCUGGUGUAGCAGGUGUGCACCGGACGCACCGGAGUGAGUCCGGUGCUCAACGUCCGGUGUGCGGGCGGUUUGGCGACCCUCUCCGCGCAUGAGUCCGGUGAGCACCGGACGCUCAGGGUGCGUCCGGUGGCUCGCGUCCGGUGACCCUGCGAGUUUGAGGAGCUCUCUGCGCACGGGUCCGGUGUGCACCGGUGUUAACGGUCCUUAAUGCUCACAUUUAACCAUCAACUAAUCAUGGAAAAGGACUUAUAUGCAACCAACACCCAGACUUAGGGUUUUAUCUGACAGAAUUCAACGAGUUUUGUUGUUUGUCUAUUUCUGCAGGGGGUUAUCAGGAAAUAUGGAAGAAAGGCCCACACGUCGGGUUUACAUAGGGAUAUUAACGUGCCGUGCAAUUUUCUAUCAUCUAGAAGACUCCAGAAGCCACGGGAACAAACGGGAAGGCGAUCGGGCUCAGAGGCAGGGCGCCCGCCCUGCUAAGGUGUCCAAUUCGGACCCGUUUCGUGGAACAUGCUCCACCGACCUAAAGGAUCAAGGAUAACCAUUCAAUAAAUGUCAGUUUGAUCCGACGGCCCAGAUUCAUCUGAAAAGACUAUAUAAGCAAGGCCCCCUGGCCCCUGGAGAGCAUACCUCUUCUACAGAAUCAAAGUUAGGGUUUCAAUUCUUCAUCCAAGUAGAGAGGAUCCCUCUAGUUCAUCUAGUUCUACCUCUAGUUCAUCUAGUUCUAGUUCUAGUUCAUCUAGUUCUAGUUCUAGUUCUUCUAGUUCUAGUUCUAGUUAGUUCUAGUUGUAAUCUAGAAAAUAGGGAGAGAGAAGAGGAGAGCAGAGGAGGAGGAGCCGGAUCUGUCGGAUCUUCCUCAACAUUGUACAUUUGCAGCAACUGGUUCGUUCUUCAUCGUUCUCCAGGUUCUUCAAUUCAUAAUUCCUGAGUUCUUUAAUUACUUUUAUUUACAUUCAAGUUAUUUAUUGGAUUCCCGCUUGCAUCAAGUGCUCUAGUCUUUAUAACGCUAGAGUAGUAAUUAAUAGAUUAGACGUGGUGUUUAGUCUUGCAAUUACAUGGAAUUUCACCCAAUCCUGUGGAUUGUUGUGGUAGCCCUAGGGUAGUGACAGCCCUAACGGUCGACGUAUUCCACCUCGUUUGGAUCGGUGUUUGUAGGACCGUAGUCAGAGCUUCCUAGCCCCCUUCUCAUCUCUUUCUGUGGUUAGUGUUCUGAUGUCCCGAAAUAUAUAAUCUUGAAGUAAAUCUUGAUUCUUAGAUCAACUAGAGAACUCUCAGGAAACUUCCUCUCUUCCCACAAAAAAUAAUUAUAUAGUUAUCCUUGGGCGACCUUGAAUCUUAAUUAGUACACUCACGUUCCCUGUGGAAAAUCGAUACUCUGGAAUACUCCCGGGUGAAAGCUACAUCGGUAUCCGUGCGCUUGUGGAUUUUUCUGUUUGCAUUUAAAACACCCAACAACCGGACGCGUCCGGUGUGACGCAGAAGAGCGUCCGGUGGUGUUGUGCAGGCGCGCGUGCGCAGUAGCCAUUGGCGGCAACAGUCGACUUCAAACGGCUAGUGACACGUGGCGGUCAGCUGAGCACCGGACGCUGGGUGUUGAGCGUCCGGUGGCUCCCUAUGAGCGUUCGGUGCCCUCGUCUUUUGCCCAGUGAAGGGGCAACGGCUAGUUUAGCCCUUGGGGCUAUAAAUAGAAGUGGUGGCCGGCCUUGGCUGGUGCUGUGUACCCUUGGGACUUAGUGUCCAUGCUUGGGGAGUGCUAGUGAAGCCUCUAACUCACAUAUACUUGAUAGUGUUCAUCCGAUUUUGUGAGUGAGCGAUUCUAGUGCGUUGCAUUGAGAGAUUGCAUCGAGUGGCACUAGGUGUUCGUGUUGCAAGCCGGUGGUGCUUGUUACACUUGGAGGUUGCCACCUCCUAGACGGCUUGGUGGCUUGUGACUCCGUCGAAGCACGCAAGGAGAUUGUGCGGUGCUCCGGAGAAGAGAUUGUGAGGGGUACGGUUCUCACCCCGCGGGGACCGCGAAGAGCAACUCUAGUUGAGCGAGACGUGAAGAGCGACAAGUUGGUCCGGCCAGGUCAAGUGCUAGAGCUUAUGGUAUGCACUCCACGUGGGAGAGUGUGACUUGCGGGUCACCACUAGUAAGAGGACCGGCGGCAACCUUGGAGCUUGUCUCAACGGGGACGUAGUUUGGUGGCAACCAAGUAAACCUCGGGAGAAAAUCAUCGUGUCAACAUUGUUCUUCCCGUUGGUUUGCAAGUCCCUAACACAAGCUUGUUCUUACUUUCAUAUACUUGUGCUUGUGUAGUUGCUCUUGUAAUUAGUUAGCUUGUGUAGCUUGCUAGUUACCUUCUUGCUUGUGUAGCUAGAAGUAGUUCCCUUGCGUGACUAAUUUGGUUUGUGUAACCUUGUUAGUCACAUUGCUUAGUUUGGGUAGCAAAGUAACUUGCGCUCUCUAAUUUGGCAUUAGUUGCCUUGUUAUUGAGCUUGCUAGUGAGCUUAGGAGCUUUGUGCUUUUGCUUACUAGUUUGUGUAGGAGCUCCCCCGGUUUGCAAAGUACUAGUUGCAUAGGUUUGUGUGACUGUUGACGGUCCUUAAGUAUCAAAUUUAAUUAUCAAAUAAAUAAAGAAAAGGAUCCAAAUGAAAUCAAGAUCUAGACUUAGGGUUUUAUCUGACAGAAUUCCAUGAGUUUUGGUGUUUGUCUAUUUCUGCAGGGGGUUAUCAGGAAAUAUGGAAGAAAGACCCACAUGUCGGGAUUACGUAAAGAUAUUAACGUGCUGCGCAAUUAUCUUACAUCUAGAAGACUCCAGAAGCCACGAGACCGAAGCGGAGGCGAAACAGGGCCACACCCCGGGCGGCCGCCCAGUUGGUCAGGGCGCCCGCCCACCUCCUGAGUCCAAUCAGGACUCUGCUUUGCGGGAGAUCUCCACCGACCUAAAGGAUGAAUCUAAACCAUACAAUCUAUGUCGGUUUGAUCCAAGGGCCCAUAUUCACUUGAAGGGACUAUAAAACCAGACCCCCUAGCCCCUAGAGGAGGGAGCCUCUCAACCCUAAUUCAUUGUUCCAUCAAGGGAGAAGAAGCCUCUGAUCAAGAUUAGAGCCACCACAUCAAUUAGAUAUCUAGAUUAGCAUAGCUACAUAGGAUUAGAACUAGAAGGAGUCAAUCUUCGAUUGGUUUCCGGAUCUGUCAAGAGGAUUCUUGGUAAUUCUCUAAUUGUGCUUCUAAUUGCUUUCUAAUUAUCUUUGUUCUUCAAUAUUAUGAAUAUGACUUUGUUCUACUUCAAUAUAUUGCUUAUGACUUUGCUCUACUUGCUUAUAUUCAAGAUUAUAUUGUUCUUAGUUUAUCAUAGUUAUGUACUUGGCUUAGUUAGAUUCGAUCUAUAUACAUGCUUAGGAUCGUAUAGCGUUUAUCCAUCGGAUACAUGGGUAAAUGAUAGAUAUUGUGUAGGCGUGGUGCUUAUACCAUAUUUAUCUGCGAUUGUACCCAAUAUGCCAGAUCGUGGGGUGGUUCGUGAUAGUGACAGCUUCAUUGAUUCUUAUAUAGUCCCCCUCUCGUGUAUUGGGCUGGCAGAGCAACAUUAUUACAGGGGAGUGAUUGCUAUGUUUCUCAUAUUCCUUGCUAAUAUCACUAUGCAUGGGCGUAGUCUUGUCUCGCAAUGAUUGCUAAGUAUGCUUGCACUAAUUAUGAUAAUGCUAGACUAUAUAGUUGAGAAUAACUUAGGGAAUAUUCUUGUAGUUCGUUCUAAUACCAUGCUAAUGACUUUCUAGAGUAUCUAAUUGAGGUGCUUAUCAUAUUUAUUAUGUGGCUAGAUCAGAUUAAUUAUCUUUGUCACUAUUAUUAUUUCAUAUAUCUUUUAUGUGACACUUAUCCCUGUAUGAAGAGUUAGAUAUAAUGUUCUCAAUUAUACAUGCAAUGAUAGAUGCUCAAUCUCAUAUUCUAUUCUAUAAUCAUUAGUGAUGAUUUCUAAUCCCUUCCCAGUGGUAAAAAUAUAAAUAACGAUACCUGGAAUACUUCUCGGUUAAAAUGCUGCAUCGGUAUUAAUCUGUGCGCUUGCAGAUCCCAUUCAUUAUUUAUUUAGAAGUGCAAUUUCAUAUUUCAAUACCGCGUAUCUCAUGUCAUGCUGGGGAUGACAACUUGGCUUAAGUGGUGUGAGGGAUAGGUUUGGCAUUUUUGGCACCGUUACUAGAUUUAGAGAAAGUCUACUUUUGGUAAUGAUGUUAAGAAUACCCAACAAGCAUUUUUGGCGCCGUUGCCGGGGAAGGUUGAUUACUAAUCAGGAAUGGAAUAAAAGAUUUUGAGUUAUCAUUCGCAUCACUAAUAUGAUUGAGCUUAUCUAUUCUCUCAUACAGUUUUACCCCGAUAUUUUUCUAUUUUAUCUUAUGCAGGGGAAUGUAUGAAUAGAAGACAUCUUCCAGGAAAUUUUGUUGACGAUCCUGAAGCAUUAUUCAAGAAGACGAGAGCCAAGCUAAAGAAAUCAUCAACACUUCAGCAAGAAGCUUCAUCCAAUCAAGAAGAUCACCGGAACUUGUCUUCAGAGUUCGAAGCCAUGGCGAACAAAUCAAUCCGCGAGUUCUCAGCUCCCACUACGGACAACAUCCGCACUGGACCUGCUGUAGAGAUCGAUGGCAACUUUGAGCUCAAGCCUGGACUUAUCAACAUGGUGCAAUCCAACCAGUUCUGUGGGAAGGCACACGAAGAUGCUAGUGCUCAUUUACAACACUUCCUGGAGAUUUGCAACACAUUCACCAUAGCAGGAGUUUCCAAAGACGCUAUACUACUUCGCCUCUUCCCAUUCUCACUGUUAGGAAGAGCGAAGCAGUGGUUCUACGCUACGAAGGAGAAGAAUACUACGUAGGCACUCUGCUCAACAAACUUCCUGGCUAAGUUCUUUCCCAUGGGCAAGACCAAUGCUCUCCGUGGGAAGAUUACAAGUUUUCAGCAACAAAAUGAUGAAUCUGUUCCAGAAGCAUGGGAGCGCUUUCAAGACUACAUCCUAGAAUGUCCCCAUCAUGGAAUGGAGAGUUGGCUAUUGAUGCAGACGUUCUAUCAUGGGCUCAGCAACAGUGCCCGAGAGACCAUGGAUGUUGCAGCUGGAGGAGCAUUCUUAUCACUUACUAUACCACAAGCCACAGCUCUUGUGGAGAAGAUGGCGUCCAACCAAAGCUGGAAUGAAGAGAGGACCCAGACACGCAAGAGAGGUGGAGGUAUGCAUCAGCUGAAGGAGGUAGACAUGCUGUCUGCAAAGCUAGACCUGCUCAUGAAGAAGCUCGACGAUAGAGCUGGAGACAAGAAAGAAGUUAUGCACAUCUACGACUCUCACAUGACUUGUGAGGAGUGUGGAGACACUGGACACUCAGGCAACCACUGCCCUGAGAUGCUUGAGGAUGUGAACUACAUCAACAACAACAACUACUACUACUACUACUACAACCGUCCUCAACAAAAUCAAGGUUGGAAUCAACAGAGGCCUAACUACUCAGGUAAUUAUCAAGGUAACAAUUCUUACAACAAUAAUAAUAAUUUUCCACCUUUGAGAGAGUUAGUGUCUAAUCAAGGAAAGCUAAUGGAUAACCUAUCUAAGAAAUUGGCAUCAAAUGAUAAAAUGCUAGAAAAUAUAAAUAAUAGAAUGGAUAAUUUCUCUACUGCCAUCAAGAAUCAAAUUAGCUUUAAUAAAAUGAUUGAAUCUCAGUUAAAUCAAAUAGCUGCUGCUGUUCCUACUACUAACCCCGGUAUACCAUCACAACCGGAAGGAUUAGAAUCUGCAAAUCUUGUAGACGUGUUUGAUGCAGGUAAUUGGAGUAACCCCGUCACUGAAUUUUCUACUGACCGUCUGCCGGUCAAGAGAGGCGAUCCAGGACGCCCCGUCAUCCCGAUCUCCAUCGGCAUGGUGGACUUCCCAAAAGCACUCUGUGACUUUGGCUCUAGCGUCAACAUUAUACCCAGGGUACUCUAUGAGAAAUUCUUUACAUAUCCUUUAUUAGAGACAACCAUGUGUUUGCAAUUUGCCGAUCAGACGAUAACUUUUCCAAAAGGAAUAGUGAGGAACCUUUGUGUCCGAGUUGGUACCUUAUAUGCCCUAGCAGACUUCGUAGUGGUAGAGACCGGAAAUGAUGAGAGAGCACCUAUCAUCCUAGGAAGGCCAUUUUUGAACACCACGGGAGCUAUCAUCUACGCUAGUGCUGCCAAGAUCAGUUUCUACGUCAAAGGGAAGAAGGAGACAUUUUUCUUCAAGAACAAGACUACACAAAUUCAAGAUCAAUCCAGACGUGAAUCAAGGAAGAGGACCAACAGGAGGAACAGGAACAAGCAAGUGUGGACCGAGUCAGCUAAGAUGGUCACUGUAGUCCAUGGAGGCCAAGAUCACCAACUUAAGUCACCGUUUUUGACCAAGAAGGACGACCCAGGAAUGCCAAGCAUUUACUGCUCCAUAAAUGGAUACAACUUCUACAAGACGAUUUGCGACACCGGAUCAGGCGUCAACAUAAUGGCCGCAGUCACCUAUCGGCUCUUGUUCGGGACCAUGCCACUAAGACCAACAUACAUUCAGCUCCAGAUGGUAGAUCAGACAUUUUGAGAAGUUCAAGGAAUAGUAUCUGAUGUCCCAGUCAAAAUAGACGAUCACCUUGUCUACACAGACUUUCAAGUUGUUGACAUGAGAGAAGACGAGUAUGAUCCACCCAUCAUCCUUGGAAGACCGUUCCUCAGCACCGUUAAAGCAAUUAUCUACAUUGGAACCGGAGAAGUCCAUAUGCACUUCCCCUCAGAGAAGGUACGCCGUUAUUUUACUGACCCUAACUAUAUCAUUGAAGAAUCCAAGCAGGUCAGAAAGAGACGCAACCGCAACCAGAGGAGGCAGAUCAUCAAGGACGGAUGGGCAGACUAUGAAGGAGAAGUUGUAAGGUCAGAAGACGUGGAGUUUAAAUAGAAUUAUCCAGAGGAGACCGUAGCACCAAGUCAGGUAUGGAAAAAUGAAGAUAACUAUACAAGAAGAGGAGGCACUGCCGGAAGUACCGAACGAACCUCAGGACGAUUAAGAAAAUGGAGAGUCCUGUUCGGAGGACUUAAAAACACCGAACGCCUUGCCAAGAGGUAAACUUGGUAGUUAUCCUUUCCCUUUCAAUUAUUUCAAUUAUUUAAAAAAGUUUACUUAGUUAAUUAUGUUCGUGCUAUCCUAAAAAGAAAAUAAAAAUGUGAAAAACAGUAAGCCCCAUGUGAGUAGACGAGUGGCAUAAAAUCUAUAAGUACAUUCACUGUGGUGGCAUAAAAAUAAAAUAAAUAUUUUUCUGCUUUAUAAAAUAAAAAUAUAAAAACAGGGAGUAAUAUUUAUUAAGGAGUCUCAAGAUAAUAAAUGCUAGAUAUUUAUGCUAACACUUAAUCAGUUCCACAAGCUUUGUUGUCUAUUUGAUGCUCCACAGAAUUUAAGAAUCAAGAAGACUAGCAGACGGAGGACAUUCUAAUCGCUGUCAGAAUGCUGCUGACUUUCAAAUACACCUCUGCCACCUGCUAGCUACAUCAAGAGAAAUUACGUCAAAAUUCAGCUUGGGGGAGAGCACCCCCAAUUAUCUCGAUAAGUAUUUCUAUCUAUCUUUAUACUAAUAUUAUUUUAGAAUAUAAAUAUACAUAACUAUGGAAAACCAAAUAAAGAUUUUGUGCUUAUUUAUAUAUGUCUUUUGCUUAGUGUGUUUAAUAAAUAAAUAAGUGGCUAUGCUAAUCUGUAUCUAAAUAAAACUUAAGCAUGGAUAUGAUAAAUAGUUGCUCUGCCUAAUUUGCACAUUUUAAGUUCUCUCUCAAGUUUAGACAUAACUGUUAUAAUUUAAAGCUUGCUCUAAACCUAAACUUGUGGGAUGAAAACUUGAUCUGAAGUCUAAGUUGUUAACGGAUACGAUAUGGGAAGGUUGAGCUGCUGUUUAUCUGUUCCUAGAGAUGCUAGAAUUCUGGAGAAUUUUAUCUUUAAAAUGUUGCAUGAUGAGUUCCUGUAUGAUGAGAGUUUAAAUUCCUACCACAGCCAUAUAUACAUGCUUGCUAGACUUUGAGCCACACAUUUACUAUUUACUGCUUAUGAGCAUUGAGUGUGGUCAAGCUGUGUAGACCCUUAGGAGCUUGUCAUGUGGUUAAAUCAAGAUUUCACUUGCACGUUCACUCAUAUAUGCUACUUCUACUCCGGAAGUACCAUCCACAUAUAUCCAUCCAUUUCCAUCUCCAGAAUCACCCAAAAAUAUUCUGCUCCUAAUCCGGGAGAGAAUAACCAAAAAUAUUUCCAUUUUUCCCUUGUGAAAUAAAUGCUCAAGUUAUCUUGUUACUACCACUUGCUAUAUUAUCUCAAGAGAUGAGUGCUCUAAAAAAAAGAAAAAGAGAAGAAAAUAAAAAAAUAAUAAUAAUAAUAAUACGAGGAAAUAAAAAGGAGCAAGUGCUCGGAACCUCGAAAGAAAAGAAAAAGAGUGAGACGAGAGGUAAAAAUGGACAAGUGUCCGACAGUAGAAUUAGGGGUGCAAGAUACCCACCUGAGAGAAAAGAAAAAGAAGAGCAUCUCAUUCUCCUCAUAAAGUUUCAAAAAGCAAGGAAGGUAUGUAUCUCCUCAAAAGAGCAAAGGUAGAAUUAGACUUCCACCACCAUUGUUUCCACCAUUGUUAUCACCAUCAUCCCCAUACACCAUUCAUUCGCCACACAUGCACAUCUUGAUUUGGCUUAUUGAUUUGUUUCUUUAGAUCCAUGGUUUGACUAUGCAAUAAAUGUCUUAUAAGUAUGUAUACUUUAUCUCCCACCUAUGAGCUCCAGAUAUUAAAGCCUUAUUAGAGUAGGGUGAGAGAGAAGGCAAUGUCACUAUGCCUUAUACCACAAAUACUACAUAUCUUGAGAGAAGGCAUAUACCAUCACUGCCUUGGUAAGGAUCCAAAAAUACCACAAAAGAGAGACCUGAGAGAAUCAUACAAGGAAUUUCUGAGUUUUAUUUGAAAAUCUGCAAAAACCCCAGAGUUAUAGCUGAUCAAGAAUCAGAGACAUGGCACUUGGCUAGACUGUUCUAUCUUUUAACCACUCAAGACAGAAGUGACAGUUACAAGUCCCAUGGUGAAGGUAAAGUAAGUAAGUUUUAAGUCUUGACAGUUUACUCUAACUCAGAGAUGAGAUCUUAUUUAAAAGCAUGUGUACCGUCAAAUUUUUUUUUAAAAAAAAAUAUUGCAGCAAAUUAUGAUCCAUAGCUGAGUCUAUCCUUGCUCAGGGACGAGCAAGAGGUAAGCUUGGGGGAGUUUGUUGACGGUCCUUAAGUAUCAAAUUUAAUUAUCAAAUAAAUAAAGAAAAGGAUCCAAAUGAAAUCAAGAUCUAGACUUAGGGUUUUAUCUGACAGAAUUCCACGAGUUUUGGUGUUUGUCUAUUUCUGCAGAGGGUUAUCAGGAAAUAUGGAAGAAAGGCCCACAUGUCGGGAUUACGUAAAGACAUUAACGUGCUGCGCAAUUAUCUUACAUCUAGAAGACUCCAGAAGCCACGAGACCGAACUGGAGGCAAAACGGGGCCAGACCCUGGGCGGCCGCCCAGUUGGUCAGGGCGCCCGCCCACCUCCUGAGUCCAAUCAGGACUCUGCUUUGUGGGAGAUCUCCACCGACCUAAAGGAUGAAUCUAAACCAUACAAUCUAUGUCGGUUUGAUCCAAGGGCCCAUAUUCACUUGAAGGGACUAUAAAACCAGACCCCCUGGCCCCUGGAGGAGGGAGCCUCUCAACCCUAAUUCAUUGUUCCAUCAAGGGAGAAGAAGCCUCUAAUCAAGAUUAGAGCCACCACAUCAAUUAGAUAUCUAGAUUAGCAUAGCUACAUAGGAUUAGAACUAGAAGGAGUCAAUCUUCGAUUGGUUUCCGGAUCUGUCAAGAGGAUUCUUGGUUAUUCUCUAAUUGUGCUUCUAAUUGCUUUCUAAUUAUCUUUGUUCUUCAAUAUUAUGAAUAUGACUUUGUUCUACUUCAAUAUAUUGCUUAUGACUUUGCUCUACUUGCUUAUAUUCAAGAUUAUAUUGUUCUUAGUUUAUCAUAGUUAUGUACUUGGCAUAGUUAGAUUCGAUCUAUAUACAUGCUUAGGAUCGUAUAGCGUUUAUCCAUCGGAUCCAUGGGUAAAUGAUAGAUAUUGUGUAGGCGUGGUGCUUAUACCGUAUUUAUCUGCGAUUGUACCCAAUAUGCCAGAUCGUGGGGUGGUUUGUGAUAGUGACAGCUUCAUUGAUUCUUAUAUAGUCCCCCUCUCGUGUAUUGGGCUGGCAGAGCAACAUUAUUACAGGGGAGUAAUUGCUAUGUUUCUCAUAUUCCUUGCUAAUAUCACUAUGCAUGGGCGUAGUCUUGUCUCGCAAUGAUUGCUAAGUAUGCUUGCACUAAUUAUGAUAAUGCUAGACUAUAUAGUUGAGAAUAACUUAGGGAAUAUUCUUGUAGUUCGUUCUAAUACCAUGCUAAUGACUUUCUAGAGUAUCUAAUUGAGGUGCUUAUCAUAUUUAUUAUGUGGCUAGAUCAGAUUAAUUAUCUUUGUCACUAUUAUUAUUUCAUAUAUCUUUUAUGUGACACUUAUCCCUGUAUGAAGAGUUAGAUAUAAUGUUCUCAAUUAUACAUGCAAUGAUAGAUGCUCAAUCUCAUAUUCUAUUCUGUAAUCAUUAGUGAUGAUUUCUAAUCCCUUCCCAGUGGUAAAAAUAUAAAUAACGAUACCUGGAAUACUUCCCGGUUAAAAUGCUGCAUCGGUAUUAAUCUGUGCGCUUGCAGAUCCCAUUCAUUAUUUAUUUAGAAGAGCAAUUGCAUAUUUCAAUACCGCGUCUCUCAUGUCAUGCUAGGGAUGACAACUUGGCUUAAGUGGUGUGAGGGAUAGGUUUGGCAUUUUUGGCACCGUUACUAGAUUUAGAGAAAGUCUACUUUUGGUAAUGAUGUUAAGAAUACCCAACAGUGACCUUGCUCCUAGAAUUGGUUAGGUGAGCUCUUGCUAAGGUAGCACCUUGCUUGCUUGUUUAGGAUCUUUUCAAGGUGCUAGAGAACUUAGAUAGAGGGGUGUAGUCUUGGCUAGACCGAUAGUGUUAAUUCCGCAUUUGUUUUCGGUUAGCCGGCGUAAUAAAUUUUAGAAAGGACUAUUCACCCCUCCUCUAGUCCGCCAUCUCGACCCUUUCAGCAGCAUCCCGGGCAAAGCAGUCCCGUCCAGGGGCAUGCCGAGGCCAGUAGCAAUGGCAGCGGCUGCUCCCCGGGUGUAGGCGGCGGUUGUGGUGGCGUCUGCCAUGCCCAGGUGGUCGGUGAGGCGUCCAUGGAGACCGACGACCUGCGAAGGCGCGUCCGCGACGGCCUCUGCAUCCAUGGCCCACUACAAGAAAUGCAUGAUUUUUUGACAUAUUUAGUAUGACAAUAGACCGUGAUGUCAUUAUAUCAUCUAGAUUAUGGCAUCUGUAAUAGGCAUUUUGACCUAAUGACAUAAAAAAGUUGGAUGUCAUAAUAAAUGUCAUAGAACUAUUCUAAUUCCAUACAUGCCAUCCACUAUGCCAAAACAACACAAAGGAGACACCUCAAUAGUGACUCAGAACUAAAACGUGUCACUAAUAAGUAUUUUAGUGACGCAACUAACACUAUACCACAGCCAACAAUUAGCGUCGGACAAUGGUCGCUAAAACGUAAUAUUAACGUCCAACUAUUGGUCGGUAUAAAGUUGUAACCGAUCAUCGGUCCUAUUUUUAUUUGAAGCAACUGUGGAUAGGUCGGUACAUAUAUUUAGUUGUUUCCUCAGAUCAUCGGUCGCUAAAAACAUAUAUUAGGCCUUGUUCAGGUCCCAAAAUUAUGGGUUUUGGGUACUAUAACACUUUCGUUUUUAUUUGACAAAUAUUAUCCAAUCAUGGACUAACUAAACUCAAAAAAUUCAUCUCGUGAUUUAUAGACAAACUGUGUAAUUAGUUUUUGUUUUCAUCUAUAUUUAAUGCUCCAUGCAUGUGCCGCAAAAUUCAUGUGAUGGGGGAUCUUGAAUUUUUUUGAAACUAAACAAGGCCUUAAGAGUCAAACAAUCAGUCGUUAUAGCCCAAUUUCAUUUUAGUGCGGUUGGCCCAGCCCACUCAGCCGCAAAGCAAUUUUCGUGGCCCACCCGUCAUACAUACAGUAGCCAAAACCCUAUCCCUUCAUCCCCUUCACCCACACACCAGCAGCCGCACAACGCUGCUCGCUACCAAUCUCAUGCCCCCGCCGCCGCGCUCGUCGGGGCCUUGUGGGCACGCCUCCUACCUCCACGCCGCGCUCGUUGGGGGCACUCCCUUCGUGCCGCCUCCACCUUCCUCCACCGCUCGGGCUAAAUCGAGAGCUCGCAGCUGGGGGCCACGGGAGCUCCGGUAGGAUCCGUUGUCGUCGCCAUCCUUGCUAGUCGCGCUGAUCCGUUUAGCCUGGGAGCAGUUGGCCUACAUUGAGCUAAGAGGAAGGAGGUAGCUAGGAGGUAUAUAUGUAUGGCCAUUUAUUCUAUAAAGCAACCGUUACUUCAUAGAUUUGGUGGAUACUCUAUGUAAUCACUUACAAUUUAACAUUGUCAUGUAUUAUGAUCACAAGAGCUUGUAUUGUGAAGUGUGAAAUAUUUGUGUACUGUUAUGAAAUGUACCAUAUUGUGAAACAUGAGAUUCAGAAAUGUACACGGUGCAUCUAGAUUUUUUUUUUGUUUUUGCAAAUUGUUAUCAGUGACGCGUUUUGGCUAUAGGUGUCACUAAGGAUGCGACAUCAGUGACGCGUCUUCUCCAUACGUGUCACAGCUAUCUUCACAUCAGUGACACAUCUUCUCAAUAUGUGUGGUGGAGAGGUCUCAGAUAUUAUGACAAAUAACCAAUGUUAUACCUUAUGACAAAGAAUAUACAAAUGUGACAUGAUCCAUUUAUGACAGUGAUUUUUUGACAUAUAGUUUUUUGUCAACUAAUUGUCAUAACUCUUAUGUUGUGACAUUAUUUUCAUAUGUAGUGACAUAAAUAGAAAGUCAAAAAAUCACAUGAUUCUUGUAGUGGCCGCCGGAUCGGCGCGGUCCUCUGCUCCCGCGGCCGCAUCCACCCGUGCGCCACGCGACGCCGCAUCCGCGCGCGCUGCAGCCUCCACGCGUGCCGCAGCCUCUGCGCGCGCCGCAGCUUCCACGCGCGUCGCGGCCUCUGCGCGCGCCGCGGCCUCCGCGGCUCCCGCCGGCCCUGCGCGCGCCGCUAGAGCAGCAGCCGCGCGGGCGGCCAGGGCAGCAGUGUCGCUGGAAACGGGCCUGGGCGGCGGGUGACGCGCGAUUUGCGCCCAAGAGGAGGUGGGGAGAGGAGGGAAGUGGUUGAAGUAGAAGGGAGGAGGAGGAGGAGGAGGAUCAGGCCGGCUUGCCAUGGCUGCCGGCGGCACGCCGGCCAGAGGUGGGCGGCGGCUGGAGUUGGCAGGGACAGGAAGGGAAGGAAACCCUAAGCUGAUACCAUGCUAAACUUAUGUUUUUCCAUAACUGGGCUGACCCUAGAGGGUUAGGAGUAUAGUGUCAAACACAAGGGCCUCAUGGACCUAAUACUCAUAUACUCUAACACUGAGCAAAAAAAACUUAGGCUCAACUGAAUCUUUUGCGAAAAUUUAGAAGUCAUGUUAUCGUCGGUUAAACUUUCAAUUAAUAGUUAGUGGAACAUGCUUCACGCAUUACAGAAAGAAGUCAUAUUAUGUGCAUAAUUUGGCAUCUUAUUUUUAUAUAAAUAUUAUGUGCAUAUUUACACGUUUAUUUCAGGUUGAUUUGCAAACAUUAUGUGGAAUGGUUCCCAUCCCUCUGAACCAAGGUGUCCUCCUAGCCCUUUUCCAGCAGCUAGCAUGUGACAUUUGCCAACGAUACCACUAGGAAGCUUCAAUGGAUGACAAAUGUUGCUGUGGCAAUACAACCAACAGAUCCAAUGAUCGCUAUGCAUGUAAGGCCAAUAUUUGAUCAAGUCUAUGGUGCCCUUGUGCACCAGCAGUCAAUGCCAACAACCAAUACAUCGGACACAACGAACAUCCGCUUAAUCCUACAUGUAAUCACUUCGGUGUUGAUGGGCCACAAGUGACACUCAGGGUAUUGCAUAUUUGUACAUAGAAAAUUUUGCAUCACAAAUGAGACCAAAAGAAAAGGACUAAAGGAGUGAUACAUUGUAUCCGAUAGAAGGAUAGUACUGUAGUUAACAUGGGGGGAAGAUGUCUGGUGUAAAUUGGUCAUGUGCGACAUGGUCUUGAGAGCCUAUUCGUUUGAGUUUAUCUGGGUUCAUAACUUGGAUGUUGGAUACAUAGAUCUGUUUUGGCAUAUUUAUAUGUUAUGUAUUACCUCUAUUUUCAUGCCUACAUUGAGUUCCGGAGUGUAGGUUCAUCGUCUUGGGCUCUUGGUAGUGUGUAACACAUCCUCUGGCCUGUUUGUGAAAGCGUGGCAUUUCUUGUGUGUUCUGUUUAUCUGUCUGAAAAAGUACAUCCGACCAUUGUAGUCUGAUUUGCCUCCGUUAAUAGAAAACCAGAUUCUUAGACUCUCAACUCUUGAAAACAUUCAGUUUACAUCUCUAUGUAAGUUGGUUUUUGCUAACAUGAUUUGCUUUGGUGUUGAUGUGGCAUAAUGUUAACGUCACGCUAUUUCAACGAGGUAAUUUAGACUAUCGUUUAUAGAGAUCACUUAGACUUUGUAAAACAUAUAUAUAUAUAUAUAUAGAAGAUUUUGUAGAGCAAGAUUAUAUGAAAUGAAUGAAGUUCGACAUUUUGAGCUUGUCCAAACUACCUUCUUGCUCAAUCAUUUGCCCUCGGUGUGUGCGCAGACCUAUGAUGGUGACAAGUGGCCACAAUGUUGUCGCCCAAGUUGCACACGUCAGUUCGGGAGCUUGAGAAGUUGCAAGCCGACUGUCACUGAUAAUUAAGUCCACAUCAUUGUCAUGAUGUCCCCUAAAGAAGACAAUGCUGUUAUAAAGUCAAAUCACAUGAUACAUGAUUAAGCAAGAUAUUGCUAUUGAGAAAAUGUUUUUUAGUUUGCAUAGAAGGAUUACGUGGUGAUUCACGCUGCAGCAGGCAACAUUUGUUUUGCUCUGCAUCCUCCAUUUUAUAUUUAGCCAAAUUUUAAAUUUUAGAAGACCAUAAGAUUCAAAUAAUUCUAAGCAAGGAAUAAAAAAAGGUAGAGUACAAUUAGGAAAAAAUGAAAUUGGUUUCAUAUUUUUCUGAGUUAAAACAAAAUUUUCUAUAAAUGUUCUAAUGUUAAAUAAAAUUUAGUAUUUUUAAGUACAUAUUUAUUCUAAAAAUGUAUUUGGGUAAUUUUUGGGAAAAAAUAUUGCUAUACGUUGUUUAAGUCUAAUUGACCUUCCAAAAAUGAAGCCCCAAGACAAGAUGCAAUUGUUGGAAAGGGGACAUGAUCAAUAGAACUAGCUGGAUCCGGGCUAGAUAGGAUAGUGCCACUCAUUGUUAAUUAACUAGUGCUAGUUGUUUUAUUCUAAAGCAUAGGAUAGUGCCACUCAUUGUUAAUUAACUAGUGCUAGUUGUUUUAUUCUAAAGCAAAGAUAUCCUUGGAGGCCAUUCGUUCAUCCUAUUACAUAUUCAGGUCCAAGAGCUUAGAUGUUUCUCUUGCAGAUAGAUCCUGAAAAGAGAAAAGAAGCUGAAAUGUCAGCAAGAUCAAUAACCAAAGAUCGAAGUUUAUUUUAAUCCCCAUCAUCUCAUCUCCCUGUUCAUAUUGGAAGUAGUGAGGCACUCCACUACGCAACGGAGGCCAAAUAAUGGAAGGAUUGGAGAAGCAUGAUGUGCAGAACCGUGGAAGUGAAGAAGAUUACCGCGAAUGUCUAAUUUAUUUCCCUCAUUGCUGAUAUGCACAUAGGAUGGUUAAUAUGGCACUACAUAGGGCGACUAAUUAACAUGAGGUUUCAAGAGUUAAAGGAGUUUUUAAAAAUCUAGGAGACAAAUCAUACAUAGCCAAUGAUUUUGAGGGGGGUUAGAUGGACUUUCUUUUAUUAUCUUUGUAGUGUGCACUUGAGUGUGAUCACCUAUUGUGCGAAAAAAAUUUGCAACCUGUGGUUUUCGUGUGUUUGUAGUGUAUUAAGCCUGAUAUUGUUAACAUGAUUAUAUUAUUUUAAACUGAGUGUAGUUCAUUUGGGUUCUAUCCACCUGGUUUAAUUUUAAGUAAUUAACUUGACAUGUGUGAUUGUACUUUUUUGGAUUUAUUUUUUAGGUUGAACACAGAGGUGCUCGUAUUUUUUCUUGAUUUACUUUAGGAUUUAACGAUGUUGAGUUCAAUCUUAGUUUUUACGGAGAUGCUGAUAAGAUAUUAUGUCUGAGUGUGCUUAUAAAGAUAAGUGUACUUAUAUGACCAUUAGCUUACUGUUAUUUACAUACAAAAAUUAUGGCACCAACAUGUGGGCCCUACUGCUAAGCGCGUGGCAACAGGGCCCUCCGACCUGCACACAAAAUUUACAGACGCAGGGCGCUUGGUAGCGCCAAGGACGCAACGCGACUACACUACGGGAGCAGACUACCACUACCACUACCAGCACUGGUCCGUUUCCCACCGACGCACCCGCAUGCCGCCGCCGGCGCCCGGCCGCGGGCCGAGCGAGCGGUCGUAGUGCGCUCGGGCGUCCGGGUUCGACAGCGUCUCGUAGGCGCGCUGGAUCUCCAGGAACGCCGCCGCAGUUCGGGACGAGCGGGAGGUGUCGGGGUGGAGGCGCUUGGCCAUGGCGCGGUAGGCGACCUUGAUCUCCACCUGCGUCGCGGCGCGGCCUACCCGCAGCGCCUCGUACAGGCUCCCCGCCGCCGCGAGUGCCGGCGCCGUGGCCAGGGGCACCGCUCCCGCCAUGAGAGACCGCCGGCUGCCCACCGCUCCUUUGCCUGCAACGCUUAUUGCUGGUGCUCUAGGGAAGAAGGAAGAUGCUGUUGGCUCUGCCUGAGAUGUGGAAUCACGACUUUGGCGAGUGACGAUUUGGACGAGGUGGAUUGGGUUUAUAAGUGGGAGGCCCGGGCCCACCUGCAGAAGAUGAGUGCGCGCGGUACUAGAAGCUAGCCAUCAAAGGUGCCGUCGCGGGAUGCGGCGUUGCUUUCUUCUAGAAGAAUUAUAGUCGAGGAUGGGGCGUUGCUUUCUUCUAGAAGAAUUAGUUUGGGAAAAUUUUUUAGAUUUGGCUAUUAUAGCACAUUCAUUUGUAUUUGAUAAUUAUUAUCUAACUAUAAGUUAACUAGACUCAAAAUAUUUAUCUUGUAAAUUACACUUAAACUAUACAAUUAAUUAUUUUUUAUCUAUAUUCAAUGCUCUAUACAUGCAUCAAAAAUUCAAUUUGAUGAAGAAUCUUAAAAAAUUUUAGAAACUAAAGGCCCUAGCUUGGUCAUUGCCUGAUUGGUAAACUUCUGUGUCCGCUUCGGAGGAGGCGCACCUUAAGGUUACCCUGGGCAUUUGGUACUUCGGUUCCCAUAGAAAUUUGGUUUCUUUAAAAAUAGAUACCGAUCGGUUUCUUUCAAAAAUUGGUACCGAGAAAAUUAAUUCGGUUUCAGUACUUUCGGUUCGGUUUCGAUAUUUACCGAAAAAUACCAAACUGAUCCAUAGACAUGUAAUACUGAAAGAUAAUUUUAACAUAAUUUGAAAAUAAUUUCAUAGAGAAUAAUAGUGUCAAAUACAUACAUAUACAAGUCCACAAAAUUAUAUAAUAUAUGUAUAAUAUAUAAUAUAAUAGACUAAAAUAGCGCUAUUAAUAAUGUAACUACACUCAAACUUAUCACGUUUCGGUAAAUUUGGUUCCCUAAGGUAUAGUAUCAAAUUUACCUCGAUGAAUUCGGUUUCUUAAAAUUAGGAACAAAAUAAGAUACCAAAAAAUUCGAUUUCGCUACUUUUAGUUUAGUUCUCGAUAUUUUCUGUUUGAUUCUGGGUAUUUCGUGCCCAGGUAACCUUCAGGCGAGCCAGCAUGGACGGGUUCGGUUCACCGCGGACUCCACGCGAGGACUUCCAAGAAAGUGACCAUACCCAUGUUCACCUUAGUUGAUGACCUUAUCUACUCUCGGAGCCCUUCAACGGUAAUUUAUAAGCUUUGUUUGGAAGCUUCUAGCAGCUUUUACUUCUCUAGAAAGAUCAAAAUACUAUGAGCUUCUCCAAACGAGUGUGUGCUUGUAUAUGUGAGCAUCAACGUCUAAGAAAAGUAGCCUUUUAUUAUUAAGCUAACAAAAGCUCUAAAUAUAUUAUUUUAUGCUUUAAUAAAAAUAAAGAAAAUUUACUCUCAUAAUCGAGAACUAGUCUCAUACACACUUUAAGAACAUACAAAAGUGUGUUCCCAUCCUUUACCGAGGCCCAAAAAUUUACAUAGGCGCCCUCCAGACCGGGGCUCACCCCCUAGCCAUCAUCCAGUCAUUUUCCUCCUCGCGUUGUACGGAACCAUGGUUGUUCCCCUACUCAUAGCGAGCAUGGCCACCCCAGCUAUAAUCACAAGCGCGAGUUCAUGGGAGCGAUCUCUCUAUUUCCACAUGUGGCAGCAAGCUCCAGUGGCGCCCUCCCCGCGCGGCCACCGGAGGAGCGAAUCCGGUCACCACUCAGUUCCCUCCCCGCCCCGUCACUCGCAGCCUCCACCGGCAGCGGCGGCUUCCCACCGACUAUUGCGUGCUCCCUCUCUCCUCCUGCGGUCGCAGCCUCGAUGCCUUGGCCAUGUGCUCCUCCCCGUGCCCAAUGAUGAGUGAAUCCCUCAUGUUAUUAUCUACCGAUAUGGAUUUUGGGGAUUUUGUUUGGGGUUGCUGCUGGAGUAAAAGUAAAAUUUUGGCCAACAAAAGUAGGAGCACCCAAAUCAGAAAAGAGGAGCCCUGAUUUGGCUGAUGCUGCUGGAGUUGCUCUUGUAGUCUACUCCCUCUGUUCACAAAAGAAUUGUAUUUCAUAUCUCGAGAAGUCAAACCUUUCAAACUUUGAUUAGAAUUGUAUAAAAAAAGUACUAACACUAAUGAAGACGGAGGGAGUAGUAUCUUGCACCGUUUGAGGAUCCCGUUGAGGCUUCAUUAUUUUUGUCUUUCCCAAAUGAGACAACAGGCCUGGUCCCACUGCUCCUUGCCUCCGCCACAGCUCCGUCUGAGCUGUGGAUUGACGACUUGAGCCCCAGUGAGCGACAGUCUAGACGAUGUGGAUUGGGUUUACCAGGGGGUGACCCGGGCCCAUCUGCUGCCUCUCAAAAGUGGAGGUGGGACGUCCCAAUUUUUUACAAUUUGGCUCUUUUUUAAAAAAAAGUUUACAAUUGGACCCCUGGAAAACUUAAAUGCAGAAAUAGACCCAAGGGGUCGGCGCCAUGCAUCAUGGCGCCGAGGUUUCACGUCUCGGCGCCAUGGAUCACGGCGCCGAGGUCCUGGACUGCCUUCUCACGUGGAUCUGACGUGGCAGGGAGCUCGGCGCCACAGAUCACGGCGCCGAGCUCGGCGCCACAGAUCUCGGCGCCGAGCUCCCUGCUACAAAUCGGCCGACACCCUUCGCUACCCGUGGACGCAGUUCAUAUUUUCAUCUCCCCUCUCGGCUCUUUCUCUCCAAAAACCGAGCACGAAUUUGGAUUCAAUAUUUGCACCAUCAAAAGUUUGAUUUGUUCCAUAGAUCUUGAAGAGCCAGGUAUACUCUUUCACAUAUUAGUUUUUGACUCAUUGAUUUGACCUAUAUUACACGUAUGUUGUAGACUUAGAUAAACCAUUUAUAGUUUUUUGAAUGGAUGAUUAAUAUUUUUCUUAUGCAAUCGUAGAAUGCCACGUCGUGGAAAAAGUAGCAAACCAAGGUAACCUUUCGACAUGUUUCGAUAAAUUUCAUUCGUUAUUAUUUAUCAUUUGGUAAAUUGUAGUUUUCGGUUCAAUCGUUAUUUGCUAUGACUUCUUAGAAUUGAAUUAUUUGAACUGUAGCUAUGGCCGGACGACCGGUAGUCCGUACAUCCACAAGCCGCUUCCUAGCGGUGUUGCAGUACCUAUGUGCUUUUGUGGUGAUCCUUGCAAGGUAGAAAUUUCGGAAGACGAGGAAACCUAUCGGCAGAGGUAUUGGAUGUGUUCGAAUUUUGCCUGGGAGCCUACGCCAAAACAACGCCGCAGUAACUUUAUUGUAAGUUAUUUUUUCUAUUGUGAACUUAUUAAUUUGUGUCCUACGAAGCAUGAUUUAAAUUUUUGAACAAAUAUAUUUGUUGCAGACCCCUCCACCAUUGUGUGAUUUUGAGCAGUGGAUCGACACUGAGGUUAAGGAGUCCGACAAGCGGCUUCUACAAGGCCUAAAGGAGUGGGAUGCAGAGCGUGCAGAGAUAUUAGAGAAGAGACGUAGAGAGGAGGCUCAAAAGAGGGAGCACAAGGAAGAGGAGGAAAGAAGACGUGUUGCUGCAGCUCGGGAGGAGAGGGAAAAGAAGCUUGAGCGUGUGCGCCGAGCGAAGGCAGCUAUUGAUGAGAAUCCAGAUGCCCAGAGGAAGGGAAAGUGGCCUCGUUGCACUCAGUAGUUACAUUACCUUCUUGUUCUUUGUUUGGUUCAUGGACAAUAUUGUUUUGUGUUGGACUUUUCAAUUUGUUGUUAUGUAAUGCACUUUAGCAAUUUUAAUUUGGUUUCAUUAUUAGUAGACAAUAUUUUUAUUUGAGUAUUGCAUAGGCAAUGAAAUGAGGAUAAUUAGUUGAAAUAGAAGUUAACGAACUAGUAUAUUGCAUAACUAGUAGCACACAUCACAUUGAAUGGCAUGUCAAAACAUGCACCAAACAAGGGUGCAGAGGUCCGAGACUAAACCUAACAUGCCUUAGGUAAUUCAAGCAAUUAACAAGCACAGGGAAUGGCAUGUGAGAACAUAUACCACACAAAGGUACAUAGUUCUUUCGACUAACCCUAACAUGCCUUAGGUGAUUAAACCAAACAACAAACAUAUGGAUGUGGCAUGUGAAUUAGUUCAGUUCUACCUAGUAGUGUGGCCACAUAGCAAACUGUGUUGCCCCUUCUCCAUAGUAUCCUCCCGUUGUUGUUGGUGGUGGUGGGGGUGGUGGUGAAGGAGGGCCCUUGUUCUUGUGAUUAGGGCAUGUGCAGUAUGGAUCAUUGCAUAUUGUGUUUUGGGAGCCAGUAGCAUUGCUGUUGUCGUCCUCUUCGUCGUCCUUGUAACCACAGCUAACUUCCGUUUCUAAAUCAAAGAUACGGUCCUGCAGGUAGUAGAUGUACUCUGCAUGGGGAUGAAUAGGUCUAGGAUCGACCCAUCUGGUGAAGCCACAGUUCUCUUUUGACAAGGAUGACUGCAAUAAGUAUGUAGCUUUAGCACAAGAGAGUAUCUUAUUGAAGGUUGAAUUAGUAAUAUGACUUACCCAUGCUCGUGGACAUUUGAAGAAACGACGGCCUCCAUCUAUCCCCUCUGUGUACAUCUGCACCAAACAAUCCUCACCAUGCAUACAUUUUGGCCACUCUUCUUUUCGGUCAUCAUAUGCCCUCAGUGGUGCCUCUUUAGUAAAAUCAUGUUUGCUCUCAAGGGGGAACCUAUCAUAAAUUGCUUCCUCAAAGUCUUUAGGACCAAGAGGACCCUCCCAAAGAAAGGGAUUACCCUUCAUCGCCGCCUUUCCCUUUUCCUUCCCUCUAGACGACCCUCCAGACAUUUUUACUUGAACUGAACAAUCUCAAGUGAGUAGCAACGCUCUCACCACUGCGUAUAUAUAUAGGAACCCAAUAGUUGGUAGCCGUUGUAGUAUAUAAUAAAUGCACCUGAAAAGCCUAGAUUCUAUUACUGAAAAGCCUAGUUGAAAACUGAAAAGUCUAUUUGGAUUGUCAUCUGAAAAGGCUAGAUUCGUUCACUGUUUCGGAUGUGAUGAUUCAAUGAAAAGCCAUAUUGGUUCACUGUUUCUGAAAAGCCUACACUGCGAAAACCAAUAGGAAUGGACCACAGAAUAUGUGCACUACAUUGAAUAAUUCAUGGAAAAAAUUUGCAAGAGUUUCCCCUAUUUAUGGUACAUCCACAGUUAUAAAUAGACAUCACAGUACAAUACAAACAUUGAUUCAUCCAAAUAUCACAACACAAGCACAUACGCCAUCAGGAAUGAUAGUUCAGAUAGUCCACAGAGACCAUACAGUCCCAUAUAGUACAAAUAGUCCACAAAGUUCACAGUGUCGAUACAUGCAAAAUAACAGAAGUUAUGCCAUCAAUUCUAAGCUGCUACCAUGGUGUUAGCACAGAAGUCAUCCUCACUGCCUCCUAGUCUUACCCUUACCCUUGUGGCCAAGAGCAUCGGUGCCUGGAGUGUACCUACAAGGCGAACGACGUCGCCUUCUUGCAACCUGCGUAGGCUGAGUAGAAGGAGCAUCAGGAAGCUGAGAUAACCCAAGCUCGUCAUAGUCACGCUCCUCGGCCACCCCCUCUUCGUCCUCAUCAUCAUCGCUUUGAAAAGUGUCCAUAGUUGGCCGAGACGAGCUCUGUCCUCCAGAUCCUAUAAACAUUGUUCAAAUUAUGUGUGCACUUAAUUCAUUAUCUCAUACCAUGAAAAUUGCUUAGUUCAAUUAAACAACAAAUUUAAUAAAAUUAUACCUCCCAAAGAAGAUGUACCAUGCACAACAGGUGUGUUGCAUUGUCGUUCCUGUGGCACAUGCACAUUCAUCGCAGCACUAGUACCGCAACCGCACCGAGCUGCAGCACGCCUAAGCCUACGUGCUAGUCUCUAUUAUGCAAACAUUAAAAUUCAUAUUGUUAGAUAUAUGAUAAAUGAGGGUCGUAAUACUUGUUCUUAGAUAAAUUCGAUGUCAAGUACUUACUCCAAGAAAGUUGUUUAGUGUGUGCUCGUCCACACCUGUUCUUGGAAACCGUUCGAUGUCAAGUACAGAUUGCUUUAUUGCGUUGCCCUAUAAGAUAAGACAUGUAAUAGUUUAUAUAGGUGCAAUUUAUAAAGUGGAAAGGACAACAAUCGUACAAUUGUAUAGUGGAAAGGACAUGUACCACUCGGUCCAAGACAGGUGCUGCCUCGAUAAGUGUCCCUUGUCGUGCUGCUAGGUCAUAGGAAGUGUCCUCAUCCUCAGAUGAUUCAAGGUACGCAUAAUCUGCUUGGGUCCACUGAAUUUUCAACCUUGUUCGUGUAACACCUAGGUACCAAGUAAGGUAUGCACGAAAAUUGUAGUUGGUAUGUGGUUGCUCAUUUUCGUAGAGGUUGUCAUGAAACUGGUCCCACACCUCUAUGUACUGACGAUGCAACGUUUCAAACUCAAAUGUCUUCUUUUGCUUCUGACGAUCAAUCCUAAAAUUAAAUAUUAAAGAUGAAAAUAAUAACACAGAUUUAACAACAUUGAUUCUAAAACUCAGUACGGGGUUAAAAUAUUGAACUAGCAACAUGAAUAUAGUAGGUAUGAAAUAAAUUUCAGCAAGUAGGUUGUAGUAGCACACUUCAAAUAUGAUAGAAAAGACUAAGGAUAUAAAUUUCAGCAAGCAUGGAUCUGCAAUAUCACAUUUAUAAAUUUCAGCAAGCAUGGAUAGGCACUAAGCAUGUAAAUUUCAGCAACAUUUAUAUAAAUUUCAGCAAGCAUGUAAAAAGUACCAACAUGCAUAUAGGGGGUAAUAAAUUUCAGCAAGGAUUUAUAUUGGACCAAGUAGCAAAUAAAUUUCAGCAAUCAUGUAAUUUUCAGCAACAUUUAAGGUAUUGAAAUUUGAAUAAAUAUUGAACUUUGAAUAAAUUGCAGUCAACAUAUCUAUCAAAUGCAUGGAAUAAAUUACCAAAAUAACUUACUUGUGCAGCUCCACGGAAGUAUCAAAUGGAGGGACAGGCCAUUGCUGGCACAAGCCAAAUUGGCGGGCUACUCGAUUUGGAAGGUGCCACUCAACAGCAUAGAAGCAAAUCAGAGGACAGAUCAUCAAGUACAAGUCUUCAUCCUCGCUAUACAUGCUGCUUACUCCAAGAUGCAGCGCAUCAUUCGCCGUGUACGGCUCCCAAUUAACCUGCAAACAUAAGACAUGUAUAUGGCAAGUUAGACAAACUAUCGAGCAUACAAUAAACAAGAACUACUGCAUUUUACUCACCAUGGAGGGCCUAAGCGUGUCGAGCUCAUUGGCAUACUGUACGUACGCACGUGAAGUCCUGCUGAAGGCGACUUUCGCCUGGUCCCAAAGAUGGGCAAACGUCGGACGGUGACGAGGGUUGCCCACUGCAAACCAUUCCCGAGGAGCGUCAACUAUGGGCCGUCCAACUGGAAGACGAGCCCACAUCCAAAGCUGCAGUAGGUAAACACAACCACCAACGGAAGAACUACUUGCGGUCCGACGACACGCCUCACAAAGGCUACGGUAUAGGUAAGCCAGCACUCCCGAAGCCCAGCUGUAAGUACCUGAAACCGUUGCAAUCAAUUUAAUCAAUGCAUACGUAAACAUAAGAAACAAAUUAAUAAUAACUGUGUAAGGGAAAAGUACCUGUGGUGUCCCAGUCAGUGAGGCACGGGAGGUACAUCCACGAUGCAGUGUCCCCUAUCGCGUCAGGGAAAAGAACACACCCAAAUAGGUGCAAGAUCCAAGCUCUACAGUAGUAGGCAACUGUCUCCUGGUCCGCAUGUGCCGGACAAUUACCAAAGCUCUGCCUAAGCCAAGCAAUUGGUACCCCAGUGGUGCGCUGCGUCGGUGCCUCCGGAGGAAGUGGUCUUCCAAGGAAGGCCUCAACUCUGGCCCUCCAACCAUCGGGCCUGCAGCGUCCGAUAACUGGACGACCUCUAACACUCAAACCCAGGAUCUUCUGAGUGUCCUGGAGUGUAACAGUCAUCUCUCCACAAGGUAGGUGGAAACUAUGAGUUUCUGGCCUCCACCUACAAUUUAAAGAACAUUGUUGUUAGGGUUUUCAGAAAGAUAGAUAAAGUUUGUUCAAAAAAACAUACGAUUACUAUAGAUAAAUGGUGCACCUGUCAACCAAAGCUGUGAUCGCCCCCACGACGAACCUGAUACGAUAUGACAUCCAGGCCAGCCCUCUGCAGCAGAGGUGUGUACCUGUCGUCAUACCGCAUCUCCUCGAACUUGUCAUGCGUUCGAGGUCGAAGCGGGGGUAGUUCCUGCAACCAUACAAUCAAGUUAUUUAAUGCAUAAGUACACAAAUUAAUAAUAAAUGAAAAGCAAAGAUCAAAGUAAGUACCUCCCCCUCGGCAGUGAGUCGUCCUCGGUGCUUCACCUCGUAGUAUGGAUCCAGGAGGUGGAACUGCUCCAUCCUAUAAACAAAUUUGAUCCAUUAGUUAGUAAUUAAGCAGAAAAAAAUAAUACAUUACAAUGUCAUUAUAUUAAACAAAGGAGCACUAGAACAUGUAUGUCUGCCAAAAAGUAAGUUGCAUAUGAAAGUAUUUAACAACUAAAGUACAUAGAAUAUUAAGUGCACCUGACUUAGCGGCCAAUGGCAAGUACGCGAGUUGUGUCCAAGUCUACCACAUUUGCCACAUUGAUUUUGCUCGGGGUCAGUAACAAACGGGGUUGCUCUCCCUCGCCUCGUUCUACCUGAAAUCUGGUCCAUGACCAUCUUAUGCCUCGUACGCUUUCUGGUUCCACGUUUGUUCCAGCGAGCACCUGGAUCUGCAAUGUACCUUGGGCCAAUGUAUUCUAGCCACUGCCCCUCAUCUAGGAAAGGCUCAAAACGGGGCGACCAAGUUAGCACAAGGCUAUCAACACUCAACUCCCAUGGUAUCUUGGUCUCGUAGUCAAAGUUGCGAUGCCUAGCUGCUGCAAUAUAGUGAGAACAAGGAGAGUGGUACUGUCUUGGUCUCCCACAUCCACAUGAAAAAUCAGUCAGGACAACAAUAUAACUCCUUGAUGGUCGGAUCUCACCAUCUGACGUUGUACCACCCCUUUCAGUGACCUGGUACUUGCCAGUGGCAUGGUCAAAACACUCUAUGUCAUGUGUUCUAGCCCUUUCCUUUGCCUUGUCAAGGUGCUUCUUAGCUCUAGGUGCCCAUUUUAUAUUAUUACUCUGUAAUUGCAAUGCUUGAGCAUGUCUAUCGUUGAACCAGGCCACUAGUCUAUAAAAGGUAAAAGAUACAAUGGCAUUGACUGGCAUGGCACGUAUACCCUUGAGCACACUAUUAAAUGACUCUGCCAUGUUGCUAGUCUGAAACUCGUACCUCCAUCCACCAUUAUCAUGGGCUCUUGUCCAUUUCUCAGGUUCCCUCAUCAAACCUAGCAGCCACUGCCUACCUUCUGCAUUUGUUGCGGUUUUUAACUGCUCCAACUUCUCCUCAAAAAACGGCACCUCAAGCAUUCGAGCAACCUCCUCGAAUAGAGGAAAGUUGUCCUUCGUACCAUCUUUCCGAAGUAAAUUCUCUGCAAGGUGUCUAGUACACCAACGAUGGUGCAAAGGUGCAUAACCAGGAAUCUGCUCCUGUACGGCACUGAGUAUGCCCUGGUGCCUAUCAGAUAUGACACCAACCUCCCUAUGUGGGCCAAUGACAUGUAUCCGAACAAGGCGCAUGAACCAACCCCAGCUGUCUUUGUUCUCUCUCUCCACCAAAGCAAAAGCCAAAGGAACCAAUGCGUUGUCAGCGUCACAGGAAAUGGCUACCAAAAGAGUGCCCAUGUACUUGCCAAGCAGAAAAGUACCAUCAAUUGAUAACACUGGACGGCAGUGCCUAAAGGCCUGGACACACUGUGGAAAACACCAGAAUGCACGAAAGAAUAUCUGCCUCCCAUUCCUCCAUUCAUUAGGCUUCGGAAUGUACUCGUAAUGCAUGCCUGGAUUAGCUGCUUUCAUUGCAUUGAACAUUGCUGGCAGCUGCUCGUACCCCUCCUCCCAGUCCCCAUAUAUCAUCUUCCAGGCCCUUUGCUUUGCCCUCCAUGCUUUACCAUACUUUAUGUCAUAUUUAAAUAUCUUCUGAGCCAUGUCCAUAAUUGUUCUGACCUUCAAGUUGGGCUGACCCUUUAAAGUUGUGCAUAACGUACUAGCAAUAAGUGUAGAGGUCAACUGUCGAUGCUUCUGUUGAAGGUCAGUCUGGGCACAAGUGUGUGGACCUACAAUUUUUGUGAUCUUAAACUUCCCGGUGGCCUUUUGUUUACGAGCACAGACCCUCCAGUUGCAAUCUGACAUCUCACACACAACCGUGUAGCGGCGCUCAACAUGGGAGUGCAUCACCUUGAAGGGUCUUUUACGUAUUACAGAAUAUUGUUGCAACCACCUUCUUAAGCUGGGCAAAUCAUUAAAGAUCAUGCCCUUCUGAAUUUGCACACUCUCACCAGGCUCAGGAGCCUCCAGCAGCUCAUCAUCUCUUCCCUCUGCAUAAGCAUUUUGAGAAUGACUGAGGUCACUAAACUCGUGAACUAGUGGAUCACGAUCAGGACAAAAACGUCUGAUAAGCUCCAUUUCUUGUUCACUUAAAGGUGCAACUGGCCGGUCAUCAUCGGAAUCAACAGCUCUAGCUGUGCCAUAGGGCUCCUCAUCAUCCUCAAUAUUAACAUCCAAACUAUUAGAUGCUAUAAAAGCUGCGUCAACAUUAAAUGUUGGAGGCACAGGAUGACAACAAUCAUUACUUGGAUUGUCACCUACAACAAAACCACAAAUAUGCAUACAAUUGAGACAACUAAAUCGAACGAAGAAAUGCUAACAAAAUGAAUAAUGCAACUACGCCACUUACAUGGAAUUGUCUGGGUCAUAGGGGUAUGUACACAGCCAACCUCAUUGGGACCGGAUUGAGCAUCAGGAACGACAACCACAUCUUCCACACCCACGUUCUGAAUGGGUAUCAGAGAAGCUGAGGGUGCCGGAUUGUCCACUAGAGGGCCAAUGGGUGGUUGCCAAUUAAGAGGAGAAUCCACUAGAGGGCCUGGCUCCUUGGACAAGUUGCGCACAACCAAAUCCAAACAUUUAAACUCACUCUUCAUGACAGUUUUGACAUAUUUGUCCCAUUGAACCUCGGAUACAAUUGGGACCAACCGCCUAAAAAUUGUCCCUGACCCGCCAUGGUGAAUGACCCCCUCAACUAAGAUUUCUUCUUCAUUCGAAUUACAUUUAAGCUCAUCACGAGCACUACCCAUCAAUUCAGAAAACAAGGGCCACUCAUCAAACAUCAAAGGGACCGUUUGCAUUCCAACAAAAUCAACAUUGCCAAACUGAUCUUUCUCCACACUUCCUCCAUGAUAUAGAGUUACUAAAUUGUCCAUCUAAUUGAUAUACAAAAUAACCAUGUUACUAGGCAUAUAACUAAUACAUAUAAAACACCUAACAAUGUAUGUAACUAACUAACACGAGUACUACUAUAUAACUAAAUUUACUAACUAACUAGGGUAUAUUAUUCUUCAUGUACUUGGAUUUGGGAUUGCUAAUAUAUAGAUAUAUUUGCUAAUAUACAACUAAUAGACUUAUAUAUCUCAAUUUAGUAAAGAAAUUAAAACAAUUAAUAACUACAUUACCUAAAUUAGAUUAAAUAGUUAAACUACGAUAAAUUAGGAAACAGAGAAACCAAUGUGAAUUCUGCUAAAUUAGGUUCGAUAUUUUGGCUUCUAACUAAAUAAAAUCCUAAACUAGCUAACUAAAUAAAUUACUAAUUGCUAACUAACAAAAUUUAGGCUUCUAACAAAACUACCUAAACUUGCUAUUUCAGUUUACUAAGUAUUCUAAAUAAAUUAGUAACUCAAUUAUUAUGUAAACUAGAAUAACUAAUUUCAAAAAAAAACUUACAUCCCGCCGCUGCAGCGGACGGACGCAGGGCAGAGGGGCCUCAGGCUCGUGACCGCCGGAAGAGGGAAAGCCCCCUGCUCCCUGCCCCGUGACCGCCAAACGCCGGCGAAGGCGGCUCCCUGCUCCCUCGACGACGAAGCCGGCGGCGGGUGGGAAGGCCGGGGCCAAGGCGCGGACCCGAGGGCGCCCUGCGCGGCGCGGCCGGAGGGAGCAGCACCGGGGGCCGGGCCGGGGCACGCGCGCCGAGUAUGGGGACGGGCGGGGCACGCGGCGAGCGGGGGAUGGAAGGGGAGCGCGGCGAGCAGGCGGCGGCGGCGGCGAGCAGGGAGCGCGGCGGCGGCGAGGAAGACUGCCUCGCGAACAGAGGAACGCGAGCCGCGGCCUGGUGGUAUUCAAGGGGUCGACGCCAGGAUCUACGGCGCCGAGCUCGGCGCCGAGAUCUGUGGCGCCGAGCUCGGCGCCGUGAUCUGUGGCGCCGAGCUCCCUGCCACGUCAGAUCCACGUGAGAAGGCAGUCCAGGACCUCGGCGCCGUGAUCCAUGGCGCCGAGACGUGAAACCUCGGCGCCAUGAUGCACCGACCCCUUGGGUCCAUUUCUGCAUUUAAGUUUUUCAGGGGUCCAAUUGUGAACUUUUUUCAAAAAAGGGCCAAAUUGUAAAAAACAAGGGUGGGACGUCGCUGAAGAUGAUUGCGCACGGCACUAGACGGCGACGCUAGGUGCGAUCGGGAUGGGUGGGGGCGGUUGCUUUUCUUCUAGAAGAACUGGUUGGUUUGGUGACUGCCUGACUGGUUAGCUUCAUGGGAGGCGCACUUGGUGGGCCUGCAUGGACGGAUUCCGUUCAGCAUACUCACCUGAGCUGGUGACCUUAUCUACUCUCAGGAGUCAGGACACCAUCUGCAACAGUGACUUAUAAGCUAACUCAACAUAUUAUUAUAUACUUUAUUUAAACAAAGAGAAAGAAAAACUAAACAAAGAGAAAGAAAAACUAUCUCCUAAUCAAAAACUAGUCUCAUAUACGCUCUCUAAAAACAUAUGAUAUUCAUAUUAUAAGCUACAUGCUAAAACCUAAUAUUAUUGAAGUUAUCUUUAGCGCUAAUAACUAUCUUAUACUGUUGAGGGCGCCGUUAAGGAUUCACUAUUUAUUUGUCUUUCCCAAAUCAUAAAACAGCCUGUGAACAGCAGAGCAGGUAGGUAGGAAGAGGAUUGGAGAAGAAGACUUGGAGAAGGGAAAGGUAGCGACGAAGGAUUAGUUCAUAGAGUUGAUUUGUUGUGUUACCAGCUAAGUUCCCAUCUGGCUGGAUGUCCCAGCAAUAUAUGCCGCACGCAGGCAGGCUGUCGAAUACGCAAAAGAAUACUAGAAAACGUAAUCGUUACAUUAGUCUAAGCAAUCUUGUCGAGAUGAGUUGGGCCUCCUUUACUUGGACCAUUCCUUGCCGACGCAGCGCGGGUUGGGCCUUGUUGUCCUCAUGCUGCGCCUUGUAUCUUCAUGCUGUGCAUCAGCAGUGGUAACAUUCUCCCCUUCUUGAGUCACCACUUGCCCCCAAGCGGGUGCAUAAGGGAACACCUGCUUCAUGUAAUCCACAUCUUCCCAAGUUGCGAGUGCCUCAGGCCAUCCGGACCAAUGCACCAAUACUUGGUGAACAGCAGUCACACCCCGAGUGAUAAGGCGACGCUGAAGAAAACACUGAGGAACUCUUGGACUAGACAGAUCAUUAGGAACAGUAUGAAUUACUUGGGAAGAGUCCAGAACAGCACCCUUUAACUGGGAUACGUGAAAUACCGGGUGGAUUGAUGUGGAUGGCGGAAGCUCCAACUUGUAGGCCACGGCACCAACACGUUCAAGAAUGCGGAAGGGUCCAAAAUAUUUGAAGGCCAACUUUUGAUUGAGGCGAGGUGCUAAUGAUGCUUGGACGUAAGGUUGUAACUUCAGAAACACAGUGUCUCCAACUGAGAAUACCCUUUCAGAACGAUGUUUGUCUGCCUGCUUCUUCAUACGGAGCUUAGAACGAGACAAGUGUUGCUUGAUUAGUUCAUCCAUAUCUUGACGUUUAGUCAUCCAUUGUGAAAGAGCAGGUGUUGGCAUAGCAUCAGCAGCAGUCACCCCAAAAUGCCUCGGACUGUAACCAUACAAAGCUUCAAAGGGGCUUCGACCGAGCGCCGAGUGAGUACAAGUGUUAUACCAAUAAGCUGCAAGGGGUAACCAAUUGCUCCAUUUGGAUGGGCAAGCGUGUACAAAGCACCUAAGGAAUGUCUCCAAUGUCUGAUUGAGACGUUCGGUUUGACCGUUAGACUGUGGAUGGUAACUGGUACUCAUACAGAGUUGCACAUCGGCCAGACGAAAAAGCUCUUGCCAAAAUUUUGAAGUAAAGACCCGGUCACGGUCAGAAACAAUUGCUGAUGGCAAGCCAUGCUGACAGUAAAUGUUUGACAGAAAAACCUUGGUGACUGAACUUGCAGUAUAUGGGUGAUGAAGCGGUAGGAAAUGACCAUAUUUUGUAAAGGAAUCCACAAUCACCAGAAUGCAAUUGGCAUUACCUGAAGUAGGCAAUCCUUCGAUGAAAUCCAUCGAUAUAGUGUGCCAGGCAGUGGUUGGAACAGGUAACGGCUGAAGUAAGCCAGGUAGACGAGCACGAUCAGACUUGGCCUGUUGACAUACCAGGCAAGCACGCACAAAGGAAGUGACUGCAGCCUUCAUACCAGUCCAUGCAAAUAGCUUUUUCAUUCGAAUAUAUGUAGAAGGAAUACCAGAAUGGCCACCAAGGGCACUGGAGUGACAAGCAGACAACAAUUGUUGUUGUAGAGAACCAUUGGCACCAAUCCAUAUCGGUUCUUAUACCGUAGCACUCCAUCAGCCAAGGUGAAGUGGCGUACUGCUGAGGAAUCAAUAGACAACUUGGCAAUGAUGGACAAAGUAGCAGGGUCAUGCUGAUAGCCUUGAACAACUAGCUGAAUCCAGUUGGGUUGCACAACUGAUACUGCUGCACAAUAGGGUUGAUUGGCUGGCUUUCUUGACAAUGCGUCUGCCACCCUAUUGUCUGUGCCUUUCUUGUAAAUGAUCUUGUAUUGCAAUCCCAAAAGGUUUGUAUACAAUUUUUGCUGCCAUUGGGUAUGUAGUCGUUGCUCAGAUAAUUGUGUCAAGCUACGUUGAUCAGUAUAAAUGGAAAACUCUGAGUGCUGAAGAUAUGUACGCCACUGUUGGAUAGCAAGCAAAAUGGCUAAAUAUUCUUUUUCAUAAGCUGAUAGACCACGAGUUCUUGGACCCAAUGCCUUGCUUAUGUAUGCCAAGGGGUGGCCGGAUUGCAGCAAAACAGCACCAAUACCUGUUCCAGAAGCGUCAGUCUCUAUAGCAAAUGGUUUGCUAAAAUCAGGCAAGGCAAGCACUGGAGCUUCUGAUAGGGCUUUCUUCAGAGCUUCAAAAGAUGAAGUGUGUAUGGAUGUCCACACGAAAACAGUAUGUUUCUUCAAAAGUUCAGUCAAGGGCUUAGAGAUUACACCAAAGUUCCUGACAAACUUUCUAUAAUAGCCGGCCAAACCAAGAAAGCUUCGGAGUUCCUUCUGAUUAACAGGAAUCGGCCAAGUAACGAUAGCUGAGAUCUUUUCAGGAUCUGUACUCACACCAGAGGCACUAAUGUCAUGGCCUAGAUAAGCUAUCUGUUCUUGAGCAAAGGAACAUUUACUGAGCUUGAUCUUCCAUUGAUCUUUACUGAGUAGAGCAAAAACUAUGCGCAAGUGUUCUAAGUGUUGCUCGUAUGACUGACUGUAAAUGAGGAUAUCAUCGAAGAACACAAGCACAAAUUUGCGAAGACAAGGAGCUAAAGUACAGUUCAUAGCUUCUUGGAAUGAUCCAGGUGCUCCGGUUAACCCGAAGGCCAUGACGCGAAACGUGACAGGGUUAGCCUAGUGUUAGCCUAGUUAUCUUUACUUUGCUGUAAUUUACUUUGCUGUAAUUGUUUUAAUUAUCUAAUAGGUUCCUUGGCAGCCAAGUUGAAUAUGGUGCCUUGGCAACCAAGUUGCUGGUGGACAGCAUCUCUAGUCUGUUAGAAGCUGUCAGGGUAUGUUGGGGUGUUGUCUGCCCUCUAGGCUAUAUAUGCAGCAGCCCCCUCACCCUUGUAUUGUGUGGUUCUGGUUUUGCAAUUCAAUACAAUCCAAGCGGCCUCUCUUGGCCAAGCUGCCCUCUGGCAGUUCAAUCCCAUGUUUGCAAUCCAGUUCAUGCCAACAAUUGGUAUCAAGAGCAAGGUUUAGAGAUCCUAGGGGCCAUGUCUACCUCAAGCCAGAGAGCCAGAGCAGCACAAGCCGCAGCCGCCGCCGCCGCGGGCGCCUACCCAGAGGCUGGCGCCGUGGUGAACCCAGGAGGCGAUCGCGCCAGGCGCUUGGCAGCGGCAGACUCCGCAGCCGCGCAGGCAGCACAGGCGGCGCGAGAGGCAGCAGCAGCAGCUCAGGAGGCGGCCGCCACGGCCGCGGCUCUCCGUGCGGAGGUGGACCGGGAGCCGCGUGUGUACGGGCGGAGGAGCCCUGAUCCGCGCCGCGGGAGCCCGUCGCGGAGCCCUGAGCGGCAUCGCCGGGCUCAAUCUCCGUCGCCCGCUCGCCGUCGAGGACGCGGAGGCCGUCGCGGAUCUCCGGUGGUCCAAACGGUGUACAAGGACGGCGGCGCGGGGACUCCAUGGCCGAUGCUGACGAAGUCGAACUACCAUGAGUGGAGCACGCUCAUGCGACUCAAGAUGCAGGCCCGCCAGCUCUGGGACGCCGUCGAGUAUGGCGAUCUCCCGUACCACGACGAUCGGCGCACGCUGGAGGCCAUCAUCGCGGGAGUUCCACAGGAGAUGCAGGUGUCGCUCGCGGACAAGCUCACCGCCAAGGACGCCUGGGACUCCAUCGCCGCAGCGCGCAUCGGCGUCGACCGCGUCCGCCGCGCCACGCUACAACGACUUCGCAAGGAGUGGGAGAACCUCUCCUUCCAGCCAGGGGAGCACAUCGAGGACUUCGCUCUCCGCCUCGCCACGCUGAAGCAGCAGAUGAUCCUCCACGGCGAGAGGAACAUGGACGAGGAGCGAGCGGUGGAGAAGCUUCUUCGUGCUACGCCCAGGAAGUACGCGCAGCUCAAGAUCGCCAUCGAGACUCUGCUCGACUUCCAGGACCUCACCAUCGAGGAAGUCAUCGGGAGGUUGAAGACGGUGGACGACCUCGACGACGAUCCUGUGCACGAGCCCGCGUCCGUCGGCGGCAAGCUUAUGCUCACAGAGGAGCAGUGGCUGGCGCGCCAGAAGAAGAAGAAGGACGCGGGUGGCGCGGGCUCCUCCAGUGGCGAAGCACGUCGACGGCCGCGUGGCGGAAGGAAGCAGAAGGGCAAGUCCGCCAAGGGAGGAGAACGUGAUGGUGGCGGGCAAGGCGCGAAGGCAGGAGGCGCCGGCGGCGACCACAAGGCCAACCGCGACGACCUCUGCCUCAACUGCCGUCGCCCUGGUCACUGGGCAAAGGACUGCCCCGAGCCUCGGCGCGAGCGUGGCGGAGCAGCCCACGUCGCGCAGGCCGAUGACGGCGACGCGGCCCUCUUCCUCGCCCACGGCUUCAUCGAGCUGGACGCGGACCGCGGUUUCUGCUCCAAGGCCGACGUCGACAUCAGCGAGCCCAGAGCACGCGCGUUCCUCAACAACGGCGGCGAAGAUAUGCUCAACGGCUGGUACCUCGACAGCGGCGCCACCCACCACAUGACCGGACGUCGCGAGCUGUUCUCCGACCUCGACACAUCGGUGCGCGGGACGGUGCGGUUUGGCGACGCAUCAAGGGUGGAGAUUCAAGGCGUCGGCUCCAUUGUGUUCCAGGCGAAGAAUGGUGAGCAUCGCGUGCUGCAGGGCGUCUACUUCAUCCCGGCGCUGCACAACUCCAUCAUGAGCCUGGGCCAGCUGGAUGAAGGAGGGUCCAAGGUGGAGAUCAACCAUGGCGUGCUGCGCAUCUGGGAUCCACGCGGGCGUCUUUUGGUCAAGGUGAACCGCGGACCCAGCCGCCUCUACGUCCUCCACCUCGACGCCGCGCAGCCGGUCUGCCUCGCCGCAAGGAAGGACGACACCGACUGGCUUUGGCACGAGCGGUUCGGCCACCUCAACUUCGAGGCUCUGCACCAGCUCGGCCAGCACUCCAUGGCGCGCGGGCUCCCUCUCAUCAAGCAUGCAGAGCAGGUCUGCGACACGUGCAUCGUCACCAAGCAGCGCCGGCGGCCGUUCCCACAGAAGGCCCAGUACCGCGCCGAGGACCCACUGGAGCUCGUCCACGCCGAUCUGUGCGGCCCGGUGACGCCAGCAACUCCUGGCAGGCGCCGGUACUUCCUCCUGAUGGUUGAUGAUGCUUCGCGCUUCAUGUGGGUCGCCCUCCUCUCCACCAAGGAUGCUGCAGCAGACGCUGUGAAGAUGAUCAAGGCGGAAGCAGAGAAGGAGAGCGGACACGCGCUGAAGGCUCUGCGCACCGACAACGGCUGGGAGUUCACCGUCGCCGAGUUCGCGGACUACUGCGCCGGCGAAGGUGUUCGACGCCACUUCAGCGCACCUCACUCGCCGCAGCAGAACGGAGUGGUUGAGCGCCGCAAUCAGACUGUGGUUGCCACCGCCCGUGCGCUGCUGAAGCAGAGGAGGCUGCCGGCCAAGUACUGGGGAGAAGCGGUCGUGACGGCGGUACAUCUGCUCAACCGAUCGCCGACCAAGAGCUUGCUGGGCAAGACCCCGUACGAGGCCUGGCACGGGCGCGCGCCGUCGGUGAGCCAUCUCAAGGUCUUCGGCUGCGUCGCCUACGUCAAGGACUUGGGCCAGUUGCGCAAGCUCGACGACCGCGAGAAGCCGGGCGUCUUCAUCGGCUACGCAGAAGGGGCAAAAGCUUACCGGAUCCUUGAUCCGGCCACACAGCGGGUCAAGGUAAGCCGUGACGUGGUCUUUGAUGAAGGUCGCGGCUGGGAUUGGUCCACUCCGGGCGCAGGAUGCUCAGCAGCAGCAGGGAGCGAGUUCACCGUCGAGCUCUGGACGCCAAGAGAUCAAGGAGGGGCUCCUGAAGAUUCCUCGUCGGCAAGUCAAGCUCCGGGAGAGUUCGAGCAGAGAGAGCCAACUCCAAUUGGGCCCUCUGCCCGGACACCGUCGCCAUCACCAACGGCGCCACCGCGCCCUGCUUCCCCUGCGCCACCAUCGUCGGGCUCUGCUUCACCUUCAACACCAACGGCAUCAUCAGGUCCAGCUGAGGACGGUGGCCGCGUGGAGUUUGUCACUCCGCUUGAAGAAGAUGAGGACCGCCUCGACGCCUUCCACGACGAUGAUGAGCCACUGCGAUAUCGCAUGGUGGGCAACAUCUUGGGCGACGCACCUACACCAGAGCUUCCCCCGCGCCUCUUCGCCGAGCUCCACCUGACGCACGCCGGAGAACCGGCCAGCUACGCCGAGGCCAAGGAAGACCCUGCCUGGUGAGCGGCAAUGGAGCAGGAGCUUGCGUCGGUGGAACAGAACUCCACCUGGGAGCUGGUCAAUCUUCCUGCCGGUCAUCGCCGCAUUUCUCUGAAGUGGGUGUUCAAGCUCAAGAAGAACGAGCUGGGCGCGGUGAUCAAGCACAAGGCCAGGCUCGUGGCGCGCGGCUUCGUCCAGCAAGAAGGGAUCGACUUCGACGAUGCGUUUGCUCCAAUGGCACGCAUGGAGUCUGUUCGGGUCCUCCUCGCGCUGGCGGCUCAAGAAGGGUGGCGUGUCCACCAUAUGGACGUCAAGUCCGCCUUCCUUAAUGGCGACCUCAAGGAGGAGGUGUAUGUGAAGCAGCCGCAAGGCUACACCGUCGCCGGAGAAGAAGGGAAGGUCUACAGGCUGCACAAGGCUCUCUACGGCCUGCGGCAAGCUCCGCGCGCAUGGAACGCAAAGCUGGACGGCACCUUGAAGGCCAUGGGCUUCCAGCAGAGCGCCCACGAAGCGGCGAUGUACAGGCGGGGCAGUGGGCGCACUGUCCUGCUUGUCGGCGUCUACGUCGACGAUCUGAUCAUCACCGGCGCCGAAGAAGGUGAAGUAGAGGCGUUCAAGGCUCAAAUGAAGAAGACCUUCGACAUGAGCGACCUCGGCGCACUCAGCUUCUACCUCGGCGUCGAGGUGCACCAGGAUGCCACCGGGAUCACUCUGAGGCAAACUCACUAUGCCAAGAUGAUUCUUGAGUUGGGGGGCAUGGAUGGCUGCAAUCCUGCCAACACUCCGAUGGAGGAGCGCCUUCGACUGAGCAAGAACAGCACAGCUGCUUAGGUCGACCCCACUCACUAUCGGCGCCUCAUUGGAAGCCUGCGCUACCUGGUGCACACUCGCCCUGAUCUGGCCUACGCCGUCGGCUAUGUGAGUCGGUUCAUGGAGCGGCCGACAGUUGAGCAUCAAGGGGCAGUCAAGCGAAUCCUGCGCUAUCUCGCUGGUACACUUGAUUUCGGCCUCCACUACACCAAGGCUCCAGGCGGCACUCGCUUCAUCGGCUACACCGACAGUGAUCUUGCCGGCGACGUUGAUACGAGCAAAAGUACGAGUGGAUCACUCUUCUUCCUCGGCAGCUGCCUGGUCAGCUGGCAUUCCAUCAAGCAGAAGGUGGUGGCUCUCUCAAGCUGUGAAGCUGAAUACAUUGCUGCUUCCACUGCUGCUACUCAAGCACUGUGGCUGUCACGGCUGCUGGCUGAGCUCAUUGGCAGAGGUGUCGAGGUGGUGGAACUAAAGAUGGACAGCAAAUCAGCACUUGCUCUGGCCAAGAAUCCAGUCUUCCAUGAGAAGAGCAAGCAUAUCAGGAUUAAGUAUCAUUUUCUUAGAAGCUGCCUGGAAGAUGGAACCAUCAAAGCUGAGCAUGUGUCUACUACUGAUCAGCUCGCUGACAUUCUGACCAAGUCUCUGGGCAAGGCAAAAUUCCAGGAGAUGAGGGGAAGAAUUGGCUUGAGGCAGAUCAUCCCCAAGACACACAAGGCUAAGGGGGAGAAUUGACAGGGUUAGCCUAGUGUUAGCCUAGUUAUCUUUACUUUGCUGUAAUUUACUUUGUUGUAAUUGUUUUAAUUACCUAAUAGGUUCCUUGGCAGCCAAGUUGAAUAUGGUGCCUUGGCAACCAAGUUGCUGGUGGACAGCAUCUCUAGUCUGUUAGAAGCUGUCAGGGUAUGUUGGGGUGCUGUCUGCCCUCUAGGCUAUAUAUGCAGCAGCCCCCUCACCCUUGUAUUGUGUGGUUCUGGUUUUGCAAUUCAAUACAAUCCAAGCGGCCUCUCUUGGCCAAGCUGCCCUCUGGCAGUUCAAUCCCAUGUUUGCAAUCCAGUUCAUGCCAACAAAACUCAUAAUGACCACAAUGCGUCUGAAACGCAGUUUUGUAUUCUUCACCCUCCUUCAUACGGAUCUGGUGGAAACCAGCUCUAAGGUCAAGUUUGGAAAACCACUUCGACUUUGCUAAUUCAUCAAGAAGCUCAUCGAUGACAGGUACCGGAUACUUGGCCUUCAGUGUAAUGGCAUUCAAGUAACGGUAGUCGACACAAAACCUCCAGGUAUUGUCCUUUUUCCGCACUAAAAGUACUGAAGAUGCAAACGGACUAGAGCUUUUCUGGAUAAAUCCACUGUCAAGCAUCUCUUGUAUCUGCUUUUCAAUCUCUAAUUUCAGCGCUGGGGUAUAACGAUAAGGCCGAAUUUGCACUGGAGCAGCCCCUUCCACCAAUGGUAUAGAAUGAUCACACUGCCGUCGUGGCGGCAGGGAGGUUGGAAUCUCAAACAAAUCAGCAUAUUGAUCCAAGAGUGCUUGUAUAUCAGCUGGAAAUCGUUGCACCUCAGAAACAACUGAUGUUACCUGACACAACUCAAUAACAGUGUCUGGAGGCAAAACUGCAGCGUCAGAACCUUGAAUUAGGACGGUUGAUCCUUGGUAAGCAAAAGAGAUCCAUUGCUGACCCCAAUGCACCUUCAUAGGACUGUAUUUUUCUAGCCAAUCGAGGCCCAAAAUCAUAUCAUAUGUUGACAGAGGGAGGACCUUCAAGUCUGACUGAAACUGUACUGAGUCCAGAAACCAAAUAGCUGCAGGAAUAUGUGUCGUGCAAUGCAGGGUAUUACCAUUAGCCACUCGAACAGUCAUAGGAUCUGGCAUAAGUGUUACUCCGUGCAAUUUUGAAGCCAAUUGAGGACUGAUAAAGGUAUGUGAACUGCCUGAAUCGACCAACACUUGAACAGGAAGCUUUUGAAUAUAGCCAUGGAGACGCAUUGUGCGUGGAGAUGAAACGCCUGACACCGCAGCCACAGAUAAAGUGAGACAUAAUUGUGAAGAAACCUCAUCUGCACCCUGCUCAGAUAUAGCAUCAGACUCCAACUGAAAUAAAUCCAAUACUUCCUUUAGCACAUGGAGUUGAACAGAAUCUGGGCAACGAUGGCCACGGGACCAUUUCUCGCCACAUCGAUCACAGAGACCCCGAGCUCGACGAUAAGUUUUGAGUGCAGACCAUUUAUCAGGUACCUGGCGCUGCACUGGAGGGGCCAUGUUCUUGCGAUCUUCUUGCUUCUGCAUUGCAAAGCGUUCUGGUGGUGGCGGAAUAGGAUAACCCGGCUUCAGUGCAGGUUUGCUAUAUGUGGGAGCAGAUAACCUCGCCAUUGCCUUGGGCUUGGUAGGAUCAGCCACUUCCUCCUGCAAACGAGCGAGAAGAACGGCAGUAUCGACAUCGCUAGGGCGUUGAAGCAAAACAACAGCUCGAAUGUCAGCACGUAACCCAUCUAUAUACUUCAUGGCAAAGUACAGGGGACCAUGAGAUUUAUCAUAAGCAAGCAAUUGGUCCAUGAUGGCCACAAACUCUGUGGUGUAGUCAUCAACGGAACCGUGUUGGUGUAGUGAAUAAUUGGCGGAGAAGGAUCUCAUGUUGCUCACGCCCAAAUCGAUCUAGUACUAACUGACAAAAUUCACUCCAUGAGCAAUGUUUAACUUGGGACUCAACUGAUGGGUACCAACGCUUAGCAGCCCCCUGCAAAUGCAUACGAGCAAUCCUAAUCCAGCGAUAAGACUCGACACCAUAGAGAUCAAAAUAGUCUUCACAGAGUGUGAUCCAAUGUUUAGGAUUGUCACCAUCAAAAUAUGGAAAAUCUAAUUUCGGCAUUCGGCCGGUGCCACUGUGGAGACCCGAACCAGAAUGCGGCGGAGAUGAUGGGGAACGAUAUGGCACUGGAAAAGUGAGGGGAGGCGGAUUGGGAUGGUGAUUCAUACCAUUGGCCGGGGGAGGUAUCUGGGUGGUAACCCACCCAAAUCCAUCCGCCCGUGGAGUCAAGUUGACGCGGUGCCCGCUGGGCAAUGUGGCUGGUGCGCCAACAGGAGAAGGCGCAGUAGCCGGUGGAGCCGCGACGCCGCCGAUAGGAGAUGCCGACGAAAGGGAAGGAAGUACGCCGGUGGAUUUGUCGGUGUGGUCAGCGACGGCGCGUUCCCAGUACUGGGAGACCUUCUUCACUUCCGUCUUGAGGACGUCAACGGCAUGGUCGAUGACGGGACGCCACUCGGAGAACGCCUCAGCGGCCUUUUCCAGAUCGGCGACGCGGCCCUCUUGAGCGAUGAAGACGGAGUCGAACUUGCGGUUCCAGGAAACUUGGGCAUCGUUGAAGCGCUGGUCGACCUUCGAUUCGUGCGCGGAGAAGCGCUCAUCGAAACGACGAGUGGCCUCGUCGAGCAAGAGUUGCAUCUCGGGAUUCAUGGCUCCUAGACGACGUUGGAAUCUGGUGUAGUGGGGGUGAGGUGGGUUGUACGAAUCCAGGAUCUGGAUAUCUCCACAAAUCAAAUCGGCUGGAAGGGAAUUACGGAAUCACCAGCGCCACCAGCAGCUCACUGAUGUCGCCGGCGUUAGACCAACCGGAUCCGUUGCCAAUUCGAUCGAUGGGGUAAGGAUACUCACCGGGAUCCGAGGAUCGGUAGCCUGAUACCAAUUGUGAACAGCAGAGCAGGUAGGUAGGAAGAGGAUUGGAGAAGAAGACUUGGAGAAGGGAAAGGUAGCGACGAAGGAUUAGUUCAUAGAGUUGAUUUGUUCUGUUACCAGCUAAGUUCCCAUCUGGCUGGAUGUCCAGCAAUAUAUGCCGCACGCAGGCAGGCUGUCGAAUACGCAAACGAAUACUAGAAAACGUAAUCGUUACAUUAGUCUAAGCAAUCUUGUCGAGAUGAGUUGGGCCUCCUUUACUUGGACCAUUCCUUGCCGACGCAGCGCGGGUUGGGCCUUGUUGUCCUCAUGCUGCGCCUUGUAUCUUCAUGCUGUGCAUCAGCAGUGGUAACACAGCCCGAGUCCCUCCAAUCCUUAACCCAAACCCUUGCUAAUCUCCUAAAAUUCCACUUCAAGUCCCCCGUCAACAGAUAAGAACCAACCAAAUUGUAGGUACCAUACGCCCAGUAAAUCAUUCCAGUGGCAUAAAAAACAACACAAACAUCUUAUAUCACGGAUCAAAAAGCUCCAUUCUAUUUAUCGGCAGAUGGAUUUUGUUUAAUCUCAUAAUUACUGUGAAACUAACCAUUGUUACAACACGACAGCCUCUAUCUAUCAGCGGUAUUACAAAGAGAAAAGAAACAUUAUCAGUAAGAGUGCAGAAACAUGAAAGUACAAAAUCUGGGCAACGAGGCAUCAUGUAACAGUUGCCCCCUAGGUAUUUACCAAUUCUUGUCGUUUAAUUCUGUCCUCAUUUCCGCCUGCCUAUUUACAGCUUCAGUCAUUCCUUUUGUGCUCGUCAUUCCCACUGUUAGUCACCGACACAGCAGCACCGCGCCGAAUCAUUUGAAGUUGGAUUUGUAACAUCUGGGAUGAAGAGCUAUAGCUUUUGAGUUCUUUCGGAUAUAGAUUGAUAAUAUCAAUAUUUUUUUUCUCGAAAACGCAGGAGAGCUGCGCAUCAUUAUAUUAAGAAGAUGAAAAAAGAGGGACAAGAGCCCAAACAACACACAAAACACACAAGGCCCCACAGACACCCAAUAUCAACAAAUUAUGUAAAGCACGUGACUGUAUAAUAAAGUGAAAGUAAUAACAACCAUGCAUGCAUGAAUUCAACAACAGGCUGGUACGAUGUAAUUACUGAGUCGGCUGUAGCAGAGAAGCAUUGACAACUUGAGCAUGAAUUCAAAGCUCAUGAACUUGCAGCCUAGAGUAAACUGCAGAUCAUUGAUGCGAACCAAGAUUGUUUUUUUUUCUCGAACACACAGGAGAGUUGCGUAUCAUUUAUAUUAAGAACAAUAAAGGAGUGGGUUUACAAACCCCAUACAACCACACACCUACACACACACCCUUUUACAUCUAAUAUUGUACCUCUCUCAAAAUUCAAACUUGACCUAAGACCACUAGAGAGGAACUCACACAUUGGCUGGCUCUAGAGCAAGGAGAUUGGAAUAUAUGUUUUACUGAAACCAAGAUUGUUAAAACUGCUAGAAAAGAUAUUUGCAUGCAACAUACUGUUUUGUUGGAAUCAAAUGGUAACUAGAUGGUUUAUUUGCAUAGGGCACCUGAUGUUUUAAAUUGUCUAAACAUCCUAGUCAGUAGUCACGAAGGCACCGAUCUGACAAUUAGUCGAUCCUUGUUAACCUGUCUAUAGUUGUCCUGUAUAUACCAGGACCAACAUGCUAUAUGGUAUAUAGCAUAAAGCAAGAGAGUAAAAAAAGCACUAGAGCAGCAGAUUCUUGUGAAAUUUGAUGGCCAGUAGAGCUACAGGAGCAAUAAAGCAAGAGGCAAAGGAGCAGCAGCAGAGCCAGAGCAAGACAGGGUCACAGAUCACAAAUCAAAACAGAGCAGACGCAGCAAAAUGGAGGAUUGGAGGACAGGAGCUCAUCAUCUUCAGGAAGGAAGAAGGGACCAGGUCACUAUCAGGUAGAAUCUGGCAGUGCCUGGCUGCCACAGUGGUUGAGGGACGAGAGUACCCGUGGUGCUUGAAGGGCGCCUGCCAGAGGUAGGGGCGGGUGCCGGUAACAGUUUGAGGAAGGAAGGGACCCAGCGACAGCAGCGGAAGGGAAAGCGGACAGCAGUGUGGCGGGCUGGCGGCCCAGGGCUCAAGGAGACACAUGUAUCUGGCACCUCCCAUGGGCACAUGUAUAGGCCUGACCCUAAUGGGCGAAAUUGGCAGCCCAAAAAGCUCUACCUGCGCCCACGUGCAUAGGGCCGCCCACAUGCCAUCAGAAAGCUAGUCAAUCGAAUCAGGACAGUGGACCUAAUUGGAGGCAGGGGACCAAUCAGGCCAAUUAAUUGAAUGACCUGAAAACACAGCCAACACCAUAACCUCAUGACAAGCAGACUGUUACAUAUCAAUAGCGGAUUAGCGGUGGCUUACGUUGACAUAGGCUGAAAGUACUAAAAACAUGACAAAAACAUAAAUGGAACUAACUCAUCUUUGUGCCAAUCAUGCAAACUACCAUAUAAACCCAUUAGACGUGGAGAUGGAGAUUGCAGAGCAUGCAGGUUUUCAUGAUUGCAACUAAAGAUGAGCUCGCAACAGAAACUUCUACGAUAUUGCAACAUGAGCUGUCAAUGUUCACCUAUCUAGCUUACCAUAGUUCGUAUGCAUCGCUUCUUGCUCGCAACACAAAGUAAUGUAGAAGAUGUAAGCUGAGUACUUUAGGAAUCAAGAUUCUUUGAUUCUUUCUUACCUCUAUCUGGCUCUUUAUAAAGUUUUCCUGUGCCUUCUGCAGUGAAUUUUCAAGAUUGCUGGUGCUUGGUCCUGAACCAAUGGCACCAUGUGCGCUAAAAGGCGAAGGUGCUAAACCAUCACUUGAGUUUUGGAUCUGGAGUUCUUGGUCUUUCUGUGAUUGAUUGGAGUUACUAGCUUCGGAUUGUGGUGUACUUGAUGUAGACUGAGGACCUGACCUGAUGAUUGAAUAUGGCAUACUCAUUAGUACUCUUUAUGAAAGAACAAAGCACCCCCCCCUACAAUGCUAUCAAUUCAAUACUGUAACAAUUAGAUUACAUUCAGUGAUUACAAAGUACAUAAAAGUAGACAAGCGUCGUCAGCCACCCAUUUAGAGAAGAUAUGCUAGCAAAAUCAUGAAAAGCUUUAUGUAUAGACUGCUCAAGAAAAAUUACCUAUUUAGGGUGUUUGCUGGAGGAUAAACAAGAGAUCUUCCAUAUAAAGAAGCAGCUGCAGCAGCAGCUUCGAGUUUUGCUUGGCGCCUGCUCAUAUUGUCACCUUGCGCAGCUUCUGAGGCUGGAGUGUCAGUACCUGCAGCUGCUUUCUCAGACGAAAUCACAAAUCACAAGUAGAACUUACUACCUAGUACAGUACUCACUGAUAUGUUGGACUGAAAUCAGAUUAUGUGACAAAGAAAAAAGAACAAAGCAAUAAAAUGAAUCUCACCAGGCUGAACACCAGGUUGACCUCCAUGUUGUCGUGCUGAUGCAGAACGUCCACUGUCUGGGGGAAUAAUUGGAGCUCUGCACGUAGGGCAAGUGUGUUGGCGCUCUAGCCAAGACCUUAAGCAAUGCACAUGGAACAGAUGCCCACAAAGCAGCUUCUUUGCUGUAGUCAUCUCCUCACGGCAAAUAAUACAUGUAGCAUCACUCCUGAAUACAACAAUAAAAUGUAAAUCAAAAGAAUUUUUACAGUGGAGCCAACAAGCUAGUGUGAAUGGAACAAUAUAAAACUCACGCAUUGAGUUCUUCUGCUGUAGCAUCUGGAAAGCGUUCAUUCAUGUUGGAAGUGAUCUUUCUGUAGCGUACAUAAUCUGCAAUGCGAAUUCUGAAGUUGCGGAAGGUCUCAUAUAGCUCACGAAUCAAGUGAAGUGGGACACCAUAGUUCCUGAUAUCAGUAUAAUGGAUCAUCAACCAUAGUUUACACUAUUGUUUCAAAGGAAUAGUACCAUAGAACUUACAGGAAGAUAGCUAUGAAGAAGAGCAUGUAUAGUGACAAGUGCACAAGGUCACUGAUCAGCUCCAAGUAAAAUGUAUACACUGCCUUCCUCUCCCAUUGACCUUCCAUUAGCAUGUCACUGACAUAGAAUACAUACUUCACAAAUGUUGAUACUGUCGAUGUUGCUAGUAUCAUAUACCUGAAACAUGAUUUGUAUUUAGUAACUACUACGAGUACCUUGAAUCUUCACUUAAUACAUAAAAAAAAUAAUUGCCAGGCAGUUAGAAAUCAGAACAGAAGCACAUCUUCAAGUCAUCAUUAGAUUAGCCAAUAGGGUUGUUACCUUGCCUGGAAGGUAUGCCCCUUGCUUCAGAACAAUCAGAAACAAGACGCAAGAAGAAAUUCUAUAGCUGGAGUUUCAUACUAAAUGGAGCUAAUACUUUGCAGUGUUAUCAGUUAAAACUAUUGCUCAAACCUAAACAGACAACUGCACAAGUUGCUAGACUAACAUUUUGUAAUAGAGCAGUCAGAACAUAUGUGAACAGAUUAGAAGCUUGAGGCAGUGGAGGUAAUCAAUGUAUCUAUCUAUAUAUCUUAUAAAGAUGGAACCAACUAAAGUCAAUAAAUGUUAUGUUAUUUCUCUACUCCCACGUUGUGCCAUAUCACCUGUAAAACUAAGGCUGUCUGAUAGCAAGUGCCAGUUUGAUCAUGUUCGUCAGUUUGUCAGGAAUACCCCCCCCCCCCCCCCCCUUCAUGUUCUCUUGUAUCCUCACUUUUACCCAUUUACUACCCCUUAUAUCUCUUCUAGGAGUGAAAAGCGACAAAUUGCUGCCUGUUUCAUUUGCCACUUACCCCAAUGUGAAAGAAACAGUUGGCUGUUUGGUCUUCUUAGCUUCUCAAUGCUAUGCUACAUCCGUUUUCUCAGUUCCUGCUGUCCUUGGCCACAAAAUAAUUUAGCUGGUAUCAAUGUUCCAUCAAUUAUUUCUUCUCAAAACACAUUCACAUUGGGCAUCAGCACCAAUUUUUGCUCCUCGUUCCAGUUCCAACUUAACUACCAAAUUCACUGAUGCACACACACCAUAUAUUUGCCCUUUGAUUCUCCCUUGCAUAGACCUUGGUUCAUCACUGUCGGUGUUUUCCCCACGGGGGGUCACACCAACAAGUGAAUUUGUAUGUGUGUUUCCCUUUCCCAGAUGGUGAUGCAAAAAGACACAAGGAUUUAUCUUGGUUCGGGCAAGAGAAGGCCCUACGUCCAACGAGGGGGAGAGAGUUUGUAUUAUUUUGCACUUAAGUGCUUGUACAGGGGUGAAUACAAGCGUGGUAUGGAGUAUGGAAGUUCUACUGCGUAUGAGUGUAGUGUUGCGUAGAUGAUGUCUCGUGUUCGCUCCCGGGCUUCCCCUUUUAUAGUUCCAAGGAGAAGACCAGGGUACAAGUGUAGGUAUCAGAGUAGGGGUCGAUAGGGGUAUGGCGCGCAGACCUACUCGAGGCCUCCGUACCGGCGUAGUCUCGAGCCGUCCCGUCUUGGUAGCUUGAUGAUGAUUACGCGUGCCCCUGUGUCCCGCUCUGCGCGCCGUCUUGGGCUGGUUCUCCUGUUGUACGCCUGUACGGUAUAGCGGCAGAUCCGGCGGAGUGGUUACGGUGUUGUCAGUCGACGCCCAACCCUUCCCCCGGAAGGGAACAUGUCUGGUCGAGGGUCAGACGCCGUGCAACGCCUUGUUGUCCAAAGCGUUGACCUUGGAUGUGUCGAGGGGGCCCUGAUUAGACGUCCCAUACCUGCUUUCCGGGUCCUGGCACGCUCUGGGUCGUCCGGGGGGGGGAAGGCUGCAAAAAGGAUGACGGGACGGAUGCCUGUUCCCUAUCACGCUUCCCGUGACUGGCGUGUUAGGUGAGAACGCGACAGGCGCAUUAAACGCUCUGGCUCCCGUGCGCGCGUCAGGCGGCGGGCGGCGUCCUUGCGCUCGACGCCUCUUGGUUCGCUCGAGCCUGUUUCCGUAUUCGACGUUGGCUGGCGCUCGAACCCUGAUUGAUUCGCUCGACGCCCUUUCCGUCUUCGAGGCUGCGGUCGUUGGUGACUGUGCGUGGGACUGAUUGGAGCGUCGAGUUGAGGGCCUCGACCUGCGUACGGGUAAUCUCAUUAUGUGUAUCGGUUAGGGUACCCCUCUCUGAUACCCUCGACAGUAGCCCCCGAGUCUCCAUUUGAGCGCUGGCGCUCGAGUGGAGGCUUUAUUUUGCGGUCGGAUUUCUGUGGGGGCGCGCGAGCGACCCCGCGGGGGUAGCCCCCGAGCCCUCGGAGGAGUUUUUUGACUCCUUCGAGGGUUAUAUUGCCUAAUUCUCAGAAACGCUGUCGACACCGGUGGUGGAAGGUUCUGAUUGGCACGCUUUGCGCGGGGGUUUCGACGUACUCUCGAUAGAGCGAGUGUCAUCCACCCCAGAUUGAGUUCCUAACGGGUAAUCCAAGUGAGAACCUGUGCUCCUUUCGAGGGGGUCAGCUGUAGCCCGGAAGCGUUCUCAUAAAGCGGGGUCGACGUGGUCGGGGAUGCUGGGCUCGUUCGAUAGAGUCCAGUGGCUCGAUGCCUCCCGUCGGGGGGAUUCCUCUCGACUGUCUCGACCCUACCUUGGACAUCCCCAACGAGUCCUCGAGGCGGGCCUCGAUUUUCGACCACUCGCUGGGCAUCCCUGACUCUGGUGCUCGAGAUCGGCUGUCGAACCCUUUCGGCGGGUCAGCCUGCAACCUCUCGAGGCUUUCGUGGGUGCGUACCUUGGCUUACAAGGGAAGGAAGAGGCCGUGGCGGUUCGCCUUUCUGCCCGUUGGGCGCGUCUUUUCAGGCGGGAGCCGUUGCGGCACUGUGUUGGCGCAGAAUUCGGAGUGUCCCGUCUGUGAGGAGGAAAAGGCCCGUUAGGUGGCGUAUUUAUGGGGGAAGUUACCUCGUUUAUCGGAUCUGUCCGUUGGUGGGUCGCUGCCUAUAAAUGUCCUGUGGCAUUGCCGCCGUUCUCCCUUCCGCCUUCUGCCUUCUUCCUUGCCUUAGCCAUUUCGCCGUCUUAGGUCUCCUGCCAUCUCACACGCGCGCGCGCCCUCGAGCAGUAGCGAAUCCGCCGUCCUUCCGUCCAAGAUGCCUGAGACUUAUUGCCGCCGACGAGUGGCGUCCGUCGUCGAUGACGGAACGCCGAUUGCUGGAGCUUGAGAAGGAAGGGCUCCUGCGCCAUCGCACAUCGCUUUCGUCGCCGGAGUGGAUCGCGCCGCCAGCGGACCACAGGGAGCCCAGGCCGCCCAAGGGCUAUGUGGUUUCGUUCGCCAAGUUCCACUGCCAUGGCCUGGGCGCUCCCCCCAGCCGCUUCAUGCGGGCGCUCUGCCACCAUUACGGGGUGGAGCUCCAGCACUUCUCCCCUAACGCCAUCACCGUCGCGGCGGUUUUCGCCGCGGUGUGUGAGGGCUAUUUGGGGAUGAUGCCCCACUGGGAGCUGUGGCUCCACCUCUACAGGGGCGAGCUCUUCAACGCCCCCACUGGAACCACCGGCGUGAGGAAGUCCGUGCGGGCGGGGUGCCUCAACCUCGUGCUGAAGACGGGGAAGACGGCGAGGCCACGCGAGUACAUCCCGGUGGAAUUGUCGACGAACCACGCUGGAUGGGACUCCCAGUGGUUCUACCUGAGCAAUGACGACGAUCUCCUUCCCGCCUACACCGGUUGCCUGAUCACGGAGCGCCCGGAGAACUGGACGUACGGCGUCGUCCAAGUUCAUCAGUCGCGACUCGACCCCCUCCUCGACGCCUUGAGGAAGCUGCGUAUGGAAGGUCUGACCGCCGCUCUUGUCCUCUCGGUCGUUCAUCAUCGGAGAGUUCUCCCAUUGAUGUCCCGGCCGCUGAGGAUGGACGAGAUGGGCCCUGGCGUCUCGCCCCGGGACCUCGAGGCGUGCCGGAUGUCUAACGAGGCACAGGCGGACGACGAGGUCGCGGCCCGGGUCAGGGCGGCCAUUGCCGGCGAUUUCAAGCAGAAGCACGUUAACGGCUUCCCCAUGAGGCCCGAUGCGGGCUCGAUCGACCUGGUACGCUCUUUUCUCGUACAUGGCUUCAAUUCUGGAUUUCCUUCGACCCCUUUUUUAAGCUUGCCUUUGUUCUGUCAGGGGCGAAUCGAUGUCCGGUCCUCGAGGCCUCCAGUCGAGGCACCGGUAGGCGAGCCGUUCUCCCUGUGGGGUAAGUUCUUCGACGUUGUUAUUCUUAUUCUCCUGGUUCUUUGCGUUUUCUCGUGUGACGGUCUUCUUUACGCUCGUUUUUCCCUCUUCAGGUUGAAGCGGACGCUUGAGCAAGCCCAGCCUUCGAUGGCGAAGAGGCUUAAGGUGGGAUCAACCUCCAAGGAGCCAGGUCAGUAGCUUAUUCAUGGGACUUGUGUUGUUCUUACGUUGGUCAUCAUUGUGACUGGCCUUUGUUUUUUGUUUCACAGGCUCCUCCGACCCUCAAUUGCCGAUCGGCACCGAGAGCGCCCCACCGCGUCCCCUGGCGGGCGAGCCUGCCCCGUCGUCGCCAAAACAAACCGAGGCGCCUCGGCCCCAAGGGCAGGAGGGAGCCCUCAAGCCUCCCCGAUCGGGGAUCGAGGGGGAUCCCAUUACCAUUAGUGAUGGGUCUGGCGGCGACGGGACCUCGAGGGAUGCCCACCCUAUGGACAAGGAGGCCCAGACUUCUCUCGUCGCGAGGCGGACGCCCUGGCCUGCCGGGCUUCGCUCCAUCGAGGAGCAGAAGAAGAAAGAAAAGGAGAAGCGCGAGCAGGAGACGCGGCGGCAGCUGCAGGAGCAAGACCGCCAACAAGAGUCGCAGGAGCUCGGGAAGCAGCAGUAGCAAGGAGGCCAGCCGUUGGAGGAACCGCUCGAGCCUCCUCCUCACAGUCCGCCCCAACCAGUACCACCAGCGCCGCAAGAGCCCGGAGACCAGGAAGAGGGUCUGCCGGUUUUUGGCCCUCCAACCCCAGCGUGGCUCCGUCCAGGGGCGCCUGCCGCGAUUCCAGCAGAGUCGGGGCAGGCGGACGGCGUGGUAGCGCUCGCCUGCAUGAUGCACACCCCCGUCGACCCUGAGUCCGAGAUCAGGAGGACGAUCUACGGCAUGGACGGAAUCGCCCCAGGAUUUCUCCGGGAGCGUCGGGCGUGGGAGGACCGUAUUCCCGCUGAGGAGGACGAGGCUGGAACGUCGGGCGGAGGUGGAGGCAGCGAGACGGGUACCUGGAAGACAGUGGACGAUGACGGGCGGUUCCCUUCCCUCGUCGACUUGUUCCUGCGCCAUGGGGGGUCCCUCGAGACCGUCGAGGAUCUCAUCCGUGGCGUCAAGGCGCGGGCCGACCAGGAGAUGGAGAACUGGUGCCCCGAUCGGAUCCGCAUCCGGGCUUCCACCGAUCCGUCCGAGCCCAACAUCUUCCUGGACGAUCGGAAGGAGGCUGAGAAGUGGGAGCACGUCGAGAAGCUCCGCCUCUGGAUGAAGCACGUGGUGGGGCUUCUCUCGGACGUCGUCAAUAAUGGGCUCGGGCCAGCCUACUUUGUAAGUGUCUUUCGAUCCUUAAUUCUUAUAGAACUUUUGGUUUUGUGUUCUAACUGCUCGACCACCGGCUUGUAGGACCUGAAACAGACCUCCCGCAUUAAGUCGAGCUUCAUCCACGCCACGAGAGGCGGCUGGGAGCAGCUCCCCCUCCUCAAGGAUCAACUCCUGGAAUCGCAGGAGAAGCUCCUCAAGGCUUAUAAAGAGCUCUUGGCGCUCGAGGAGGAGAAGAAGGAGAGGGAGGCUGCUCUGGUCGAGGCUCGAGAGUCCUCAAGGAAGGCUGUGGAAGAGGCCGUGCUGCUGAGGGAGCAGGCUCUGACGGUCGAGGAGGCUGCGUCCAAAGCCCGGGAGGAGGCUCUGUCCUACAAGAACGUCGUUGCUGAUUUGGACAAGGAGAAGGGUCUCCUCAAGACUGACCUGGACUCCCUUCGAGAAUCCUUUCGGAGGAUGAAGGUGGAGCAUGUGAACGGCGAGAUCGCCAGGAGCGCCGCGGAAGAAGCCAAGAAGAAGGCCCUCGAAGACCUCGAGGCGGAGCGGGCUCGAUCCCGCAGCCUCUCCGACGACUUCGAUCGUCUGAAGGGAGAGCUGCUGGAGAAGAAUGGAGCCAUUGCUCAGGCUGGCAAGGCGAUCGAAGAUCUGCGUGUUGCCAACACUGAGCUGGCACGCUCUAACAGAGAGAUCGGGAGGGCCAACACCAAAUUAGUUGGCGAGAACACAGCUCUGGAGGAGAGUGUCCGCGGUACGUUUCUCUUGUCGGGUUUUCUUUUCGAGAUGUGCUUGGUUUUAUCUAAAGCUUUUUGCGUUGGCGUUCACAGGGCUUAAAGACGAGCUCAUGGCCGCCCAAGUCGAGGCCCGCAAUGCCAAAGCCCAGCUCGAGGGGGAGGUUGCUUUGAACCGUCGACUGCGGACGGCGAUAAGCGAUCUCUCGACCUCUUGGGAGGUCGAGCCCGUGGACGAGUCGAAGGAGGAAGCUCGAGGCGACGCGCUGGUCGAUCAGCUGUGCUACUUAGGCGCGACGCUGAGGGAUCGGAUGCGGGACGCUCUCCACAUCGGGGUGAAGCGGGCAAUGGCCGUUGUCUGCUCAGGCUUCUCCUACGACAUGGAGGUGGUGUCCCACGGCUUCGUCACCGACAUCUCCAAGACCGACGCGGAGAAUGAAGAGAGGCUCCACGCCUUGAUUGACGACGCAGAGGUUCCUGGAGAGAGGUUAGCUAGGCUGUUCGAGCCAGAGGUAUUGCCUCCUGAGACUAGCUCGGGCGCAGGCGAGGGCGGUGAGGACCGUGAUGCGGACUAAGGCCUGCGAGCCUGCUCUGGGUGCCUAGGCCCCUUUGUACAGUACUUUGCUACUCUAUCUUUAAGCAGUAUGACGUCUUUUAAGUGGUUGACGAAAGUUUAUCUGUCUUUCCGCUCGAGGCUCCUUUACUUCUUCUUGCGCCUAUGUUCGUUUUUUCCCGCUCGGUCUUUUGUUUAAGGUGGUCUCGAUUGCCUUAAGGGUGAAGGGGCGAGUAGAGUUUCCGUAGCCCGGGGGCGUAGGAGAUCUCAGGCUCGUCGUUUCUCGGCGCUUAAGGGGCUCGAGGUACCUUUACUACUCAACCGUACGAGAUUACUGAUGGGAACGAAAAGGUUAUUUGGUUUUUUCGACACCUAGGGGGGGUCGUCCCCCUGCUAGCCCCCGAGGGGGUAUCGACUAUGAUAGAUCAUAGUCGGUACCCCCUUCUAAUCGUCGAGGUUUUGACUCGUGAAAAAGUAAGAUGCUCGAGGGAAAGACUUUAUUUAUUCAUGCAUUCAUUUACAAAACUUUGGUACAGAAUGUACGUGGGAACAUAAAGCUUUGAAAUUUUAGGGGUAGAAUCGACGUAGCUGUUCAAUGUUCCACGCGUUGGUGAAGAUCGCCCCCUUUUCAUCCGCGAGCUUAUAUGUUCCUGGCUUCAAGACCUCGGCCACCACGUAUGGGCCUUCCCAAGGUGGAGUCAACUUGUGGCGUCCUUGAUUGCUUUGCCGCCGUCGUAGGACGAGGUCGCCCACGUUCAGGUCUCUCUUGCGCACGUGCUUGUCGUGGUAGCGUCGGAGCUUCUGCUGGUAUCUGGCGGAGUUAAGGAGGGCCAUGUCUCGAGCUUCUUCGAGUUGGUCGACCGCGUUUUCUUGAGUCUCCUUAUUUGAUUGCUCGUUGUAUGCUUUGAGUCGAGGGGACCCAUACUCGAGGUCUGUCGGGAGCACGGCCUCAGAGCCAUAGACCAUGAAGAAUGGGGUGUAUUUUGUGGCCCUGCUUGGCGUAGUCCUUAGGCUCCAUAGGACCGAGGAAAGCUCCUCGACCCACUUCUUGCUGAACUUCUUCAAGCGAUUGUAGAUCCUCGGUUUGAGCCCUUGCAAAAUCAUGCCGUUGGCACGCUCGACCUAGCCGUUGGUUCGAGGGUGGGCUACCCCGGACCAGUUCACACGGAUGUGAUGCUGAUCGCAGAAGUCCAAGAACUUUUUGCCGGUGAACUGAGUGCCGUUGUCGGUGAUGAUGACGUUGGGAAUCCCAAACCGGUGGAUGAUGUCGGUGAAGAAAAGGACGGCCUGCUCGGAGCGGAUGUUGGUGAUGGAUCGAGCCUCGAUCCAUUUAGAGAAUUUGUCGAUGGCCACCAACAAGUGGGUGUACCCCCCUUUUGCCUUUUGUAGGGGUCCUACUAGGUCGAGCCCCCAUACCGCAAACGGCCAUGUGAUAGGGAUCAUCUGGAGAGCGUGGGCAGGUUGGUGUGUCUUUUUGGCGUAGAAUUGGCACCCAUGGCAUGAGCGUACGAGCUCGAUGGCGUCAGCUACGGCCGUUGGCCAGUAGAAGCCUUGUCGGAAGGCGUUCCCCACGAGGGUCCGAGGAGCAGCAUGGUGGCCACAAGCCCCCGAGUGUAGGUCCUCGAGGAGCUUUCGGCCUUCUUCUAUGGUGAUGCAACGCUGCAAGACUCCCGUCGGGCUUCGUCGAUAUAGCUCAUUGUUCUCGCCAUAGAUUACAUACGACUUGGCUCGUCGGGCAAUACGGCGGGCCUCGGUUCGGUCUUCUGGUAGCUCGCAGCGACUUAGGCAGUCGAGGAACGGUGUGCGCCAGUCGAACGGUCGACUGGGCUGCUGUUCCACCUCCGUUACCUCAGCUGCCAUGAGUAGCGCUUCGACGGCGUCGGUCUGCUGGGUAGGGGUGGUUUCGAUACCAGCCCCCGAGCCUAAGUCGACGGACGGCUCAUGUAGAUCUCUUGAGAAUGCAUCAGGUGCUACCGUGCCUCGAGUCGACGCGAUCUUGGCGAGUUCGUCGGCCGCCUCGUUGUAGCGUCGGGCGAUGUGGACGAGCUCGAGGCCGUGGAACUUGUCCUCGAGUCGACGGACCUCUUUGAAGUACGCCUCCAUUUUCGGAUCGUGGCAGCUCGAGGUCUUCAUCACUUGGUCGAUGACAAGCUAGGAGUCGCCUCGGACAUCGAGGCGUCGGACCCCCAGCUCGAUGGCGAUCUUUAGACCGUUGACGAGGGCCUCGUAUUCUGUAACAUUGUUGGAUGCGGCAAAAUGUAUCCUGAUGACGUACCUCAUAUGAACGCCCAGGGGCGAGAUGAAUAGCAAGCCCGCCCCAGCUCCUGUCUUCAUGAGUGACCCGUCAAAAUACAUCGUCCACAGCUCUGCUUGGACCUGAGUUGGGGGGAGCUGGGAAUCUGUCCAUUCUGCGACGAAGUCCACCAAGGCCUGUGAUUUGAUAGCCUUGCGGGGCGCGUAAGUGAGAGUCUCACUCAUGAGUUCGACUGACCACUUGGCAAUUCUCCCCGUGGCCUCCCGACUUUGGAUGAUCUCGCCCAAAGGGAAAGACGAGACCACCGUGAUAGGGUGGCCGAGGAAGUAGUGUUGCAGCUUGCGUCGGGCGAUGAUUACGGCGUAGAUCAGCUUCUGGAUCUGUGGGUAACGCGCUUUGGUUUCCGAGAGUACCUCGCUGACGAAAUAGACAGGCCUCUGGACAGGCAAUGCAUGCCCCUCCUCCUGCCUCUCGACCACCACAGCUGCACUGACGACCUGGGACGUCGAGGCAACAUAAAGGAGCAGCGGUUCUGCAGGUUGAGGUGGGACCAGAACUGGUGCUGAGGUCAACGUUUUCUUCAAGUUAUCGAGCGCUUCCUCGGCCUCUGGAGUCCAAGAGAAGCGCUCGACUUUCUUCAAAAGUUGAUAUAGUGGCAGCGCUUUUUCUCCCAACCUCGAGAUGAAGCGACUCAGCGCUGCCAGGCAUCCCGUGACUCUUUGCACGCCCUUGACGUCUCGGAUCGGCCCCAUUCUCGUGAUGGCCGAGACUUUCUCAGGGUUGGCCUCGAUGCCGCGCUGGGAAACGAUAUAACCCAGGAGCAUGCCUCGAGGUACGCCAAAAACGCAUUUCUCGGGGUUGAGCUUAAUCUGGUUGGCGCGUAAACAGCUGAAAGCGAUUUCGAGGUCCUGGAUCAGGUCUCCCCGCCGCUUCGACUUGACGACAAUGUCGUCGACAUAGGCCUCGACUGUCGACCCUAUGUGCUUGCCAAACACGUGGAGCAUGCAGCGCUGGUAUGUGGCCCCGCGUUUCGAAGCCCGAACGGCAUGGUCACAUAACAAUACAUCCCAAAAGGUGUAAUGAAAGAUGUCGCGAGCUGGUCGAACUCUUUCAUUUUUAUUUGAUGGUAACCAGAAUAUGCAUCAAGGAAAGAAAGGGUUUCACAUCCCGCAGUUGAGUCAACAAUUUGAUCGAUACGAGGUAAUGGAAAAGGAACUUUCGGACAUGCUUUAUUUAAACUUGUAUAGUCGACACACAUCCUCAUUUUCUCAUUCUUUUUCUUAACUAGUACAGGAUUUGCUAACCAGUCGGGAUGGUGAACCUCCUUGAUGAAUCCGGCCGUCAAAAGCUUCUGGAUCUCCUCGCCAAUGAUCUUGCGCUUCUCCUCGUCGAAUCGGCGCAACCGUUGCUUCAUUGGCUUGGAACCGGCUCGAAUUUCCAAGGAGUGCUCGGCGACUUCCCUCGGUAUGCCAGGCAUAUCCGAGGGACUCCAUGCAAACAUAUUGGCGUUUGCACGGAGAAAGUCGACGAGCACAGCUUCCUAUUUGGGGUCGAGGUCGACGCUGAUCGUCAACGCCUUGCCGUCGGAGCUGCUGGGGUCGAGCGAGAUCUUCUUGGUUCCUUCCGCCGGCUCGAAGCUGCCUGCGUGGCGCUUGGGCUCUGGGGCCUCGGCGGCCAGGGCCUCGAGCUUUGAAACGAGCUCGGUGGAACUCUCAAGUGCUUCCCCAUACUCGACGCAUUCAAUGUCGCACUCGUACGCGUGCUCGAAGGAGGAGCUGACGGUGAUGACGCCCUUGGGGCCGGGCAUCUUCAUCUUCAGGUAGGUGUAGUUGGGGAUAGCCAUGAAUUUGGCGUAACCCGGUCGUCCGAUGAUGGCGUGGUACGUGCCCCGGAACCCCACCACCUCAAAGGUGAGGGUCUCCUUUCUGAAGUUGGCCGCCGUGCCAAAACAGACCGGUAGAUCGAUUCGACCAACCGGCAGCGCCUUCUUUCCUGGUACGACGCCGUGGAAGCCGCCGACGCUUGGUUAGAGCUGCGCCCUGCUGAUGCCGAGGAGGUCGAGGGUCUCGAGUUAGAUGAUGUUAAGGCUGCUGCCACCGUCCAUCAGUACCUUUGAGAGCCGGGUGUUGAUGAUGAUAGAGUCGACGACGAGCGGGUAGACGCCAGGGGCAACUACUUUGUCGGGGUGGUCCUCUCGAUCAAAGGUGAUGGGGGUGCUCGACCAGCUGAGGUACCGGGGCACCGCCAUCCUCGCCGCGAAGACCUCACGCCGUUCCCUCUUGCGUUGCCUUGCGGUCAAUUGCGUCGAGGGCCCACCGUAGAUCAUGUAGCAGUCGUGGACGGCAUGGAAACCACCGUCGUCCUUGUCGUCCUCCUUUUCCCCGCCCUUCUCUUUCUUUGGGUCAUCGCGCGCGUCCUUCCUGAUCCACAGACCGUCGAAAUGCUUUCUCAGCAUACGACAGUCCUUGAGCUUGUGGUUGGCUCCCCCCUUAUGGUAAGGGCAUGGCUCUUCUAGCAUCUUAUCGAAGAUGCCCCCAUCUGGGGGGCCUCGAGGCUUUUUGCGUUCCAUGGCAGCAACGAGAUCGUCGUCGAGGUCCUCCCGUUGGAACGGUCGCGUCUUCUUCUUCUUGUUGUUCUUCUUGGACCCUCGACUGGGGCCCUCGUCGUCGUCGGCGGGCAGCUUGCCCUUCCUUCCUUCACCGCUGAAGAAAGCGCCGACUGCUUCUUUCCCUGCCGCGUAGUUGGCCACCACGUCCAUCAGCUCGUCGACUGUCUGAGGUCGAUUCCGUCCUAAUUCCGUACCAAGUCUCGACUGGUGGUACCAGAGACGAAUGCCAGGAUGACGUCGUGGUCAGGGAUAUGCGGCAGCUCGGUGCGUUGUUUUGAGAAGCGUCGAGCGUACUCCCGAAGAGUUUCUCCUGACUUCUGCUUGCACUUGCUGAGGUCCCAGGAGUUCCCAGGCCGUAUGUAGGUCCCUUUGAAGUUACCCUGGAAAACCCUGACCAAGUCGACCCAGUCAUGGAUCUGAUCGGCUGGGAGCUCUUCGAGCCAUCUACGAGCGGUGUCAGAGAGGAAAAGCGGCAGUUGUCUAAUGAUGGCUCGAUCGUCGCCUCGAGCGCCUCCCAAUUGACAAGCCAACCUGAAGUCUGCCAACCACAGCUCUGGUUUUGUCUCUCCGUUGUAUUUUGCGAUGCUGGUCGGGGGUCUGAACGGACUGGGCAGCGGCGUGCUGCGGAUUGCUCUGCUGAAUACCCAUGGACCCGGGGGCUCUGGGGCCAUCCGAUCCUCAUCACUGUCGUACCUCCCACCGCGGUGUGCGCUGUAACCGCGCUCUUCCGCGUCCCCGUACCGACGGCGUCGAUUCUCUUCAAUGUCACGUGGCGUCGAUUCUCUUCAAUGUCACGUCGUACGUCGUGUCGACGCUGAUUGUCGACGGGGAGAACGAGCGUGGUCUUUUUCCCUCGGGGGGGUGGCUGCUGAUGGACCGAUACCUCUUGUUCGUUUUGGGCUGGCUCAUCGCGCUUUUCAGUGGCAGCCCCUCUUCGUCGAGAAGCUGAGCUUUCGGCUUGCUGAACUGCCGCCACCUGGAGCAGAGUUUGCACCUCGUCCCGGAUGCGUCGAGCUUGGGAGUUCGAUGGCUCUGGCAUGUUCCGCAGCAGCAUUGUUGCCGCCACAACGUUCUGGCCUGCUCGAGGGAAACGGCUGACAGGCUGCUCAGGUUCUGCGUCUCCGACAAUUUGUUGGUGCACCUCUCGAGCCCUUCUGCGGACACUUCCGCCAGGCGGGUAAGGCAAAUCCUGCUCCAGGAUCUGCUCGAGCAAGACAAGGCGCUCACGAUCCUCGUCAAGCUUGGCCUUGAGUUCUCGCAGCUGCGCAAUUUGCGCGGCUCUGUCUUCUUGUGGAGGGGGGUCGACCUGACCGUCCUUCCCAGGCGUCCUGGGGUCUUCCCUCGCUGCAGGGGCUCGCCCGCCUGCAACGGCGUCUUGUGUCUCGUCGGUGGUUUCCACUGCUCCGUCGAUAUGGAAACACUCCCUAGUAGGGUCGUGGCUGUCGGAUUCCGAGCCGGAGUCCGGUUCGGCGGCGUAGAAACAUCCGCGUCCUUCCUCCAGCAGCCGCUGUCGGAGGGAGGUAAUCGUGUACCGCCCAGGUCCUAAGCGGCGGAGGCCUCGUACCUGGGAGAAGUCUGGUAGCUCAGACGUUGGUCGCUGUGCUCCAGGGCCGCGUGGGAGGACCAUUGGUCUUUCCACGUACGUCUGGGCGUUUGGACAGAUCGCCCUGGCGAGCGACGCUGCAGCGUUGUCCAAACCGAACCGGCAAGGCUCUUCUCGAGGCGAAUAGCCCAUGUGGAAGUAGCCUAGUGGUGGGGGAGAGUGCGCGGGGCGUGUCACCUCCUGUCGUCGUACGAUCCUCGUGGCGUUGGGCCGUCGUGCCCACGGAUUCGGCGCACGGGGCUGUCGGCUCCUGUGCCGUCUCCCGCCUGGCACGAACUGUCGGUCGUGACGAGGCGGAUGGGCGAUGGUGGCGUUGUCCGCGCCUCUUCUCGGAUGGAGAGGCAUGGUGGCGAGGGCGUCUUGGGGCCCUCAACCGUGUUGGCGCAAUGCGGGCUCCUCCUGGUCCUUUGAUCGAGAGUAAGAUCAUGUCAUAGCCGGAGCCAGUAGACAUAAACUCAAGACUCCCAAACCAAAUCACCGUGGAGCGCGGAAUCGGUGAAGGAGUGGCCAUCUGGAAAAGAAUGGGAAAUCGGUGAAAAAACACGCAGGACCCCUACCUGGCGCGCCAACUGUCGGUGUUUUCCCCACGGGAGGUCACACCAACAAGUGAAUUUGUAUGCGUGUUUCCCUUUCCCAGAUGGUGAUGCAAAAAGACACAAGGAUUUAUCCUGGUUCGGGCAAGAGAAGGCCCUACGUCCAGCGAAAGGGAGAGAGUUUGUAUUAUUUUGCACCUAAGUGCUUGUACAGGGGUGAAUACAAGCGUGGUAUGGAGUAUGGAAGUUCUACUGCGUAUGAGUGUAGUGUUGCGUAGAUGAUGUCUCGUGUUCGCUCCCGAGCUUCCCCUUUUAUAGUUCCAAGGAGAAGACCAGGGUACAAGUGUAGGUAUCAGAGUAGGGGUCGAUAGGGGUAUGGCGCGCGGACCUACUCGAGGCCUCCGUAUCGGCGUAGUCUCGAGCCGUCCCGCCUUGGUAGCUUGAUGAUGAUUACGCGUGCCCCUGUGUCCCGCUCUGCGCGCCGUCUUGGGCUGGUUCUCCGGUUGUACGCCUGUACGGUAUAGCGGCAGAUCCGGCGGAGUGGUUACGGUGUUGUCAGUCGACGCCCAACCCUUCCCCCAGAAGGGAACAUGUCUGGUCGAGGGUCAAACGCCGUGCAACGCCUUGUUGUCCAAAACGUUGACCUUGGGUGUGUCGAGGGGGCCCUGAUUAGACGUCCCAUACCUGCUUUCCGGGUCCUGGCACGCUCUGGGUCGUCCGGUGGGGAAGGCGGCAAAAAGGAUGACGGGACGGAUGUCUGUUCCCUAUCACGCUUCCCGUGACUGGCGUGUUAGGUGAGAACGCGACAGGCGCAUUAAACGCUCUGGCUCCCGUGCGCGCGUCAGGCGGCGGGCGGCGUCCUUGCGCUCGACGCCUCUUGGUUCGCUCGAGCCUGUUUCCGUAUUCGACGUUGGCUGGCGCUCGAGCCCUGAUUGAUUCGCUCGACGCCCUUUCCGUCUUCGAGGCUGCGGUCGUUGGUGACUGUGCGUGGGACUGAUUGGAGCGUCGAGUUGAGGGCCUCGACCUGCGUACGGGUAAUCAUUAUGUGUAUCGGUUAGGGUACCCCUCUCUGAUACCCUCGACAAUCACCGAUAUUCUUCUUAGUAACUUGAUGAGUUCUGCUAACUAAUUUAUAUCUACCCUCUUCAGUUCUCAAUCCUGGCUACUAUUUAAUGGCCAAAAAGAAAGAGAAGACACAUUCCACCAGACCAGACUACGAGAGGCUAUCCCUCUCACUCUCCCUCCCUCUAUGCAAUGACACUAUUACUUUUUCAUCAAUUUUUCUAAAAUCGGCUGCUUUGCAUUGUUGUGCGACCAAUUUGUUUCUUUGUAAUGACCAGUUUAACCGUUUUUCUCACCACUACGCAUUGUAUUUGUUCUUCUUUUUUGAACAUAAUUGUAUUUGUUCUUCUAACCCCACCUAACUGGAUGGACUUGCUAGGCUGAAUAAGAGAUGCAUGUUGGUUACUGAAGGGUCAGUUUGAAAGAAAUUUAUACAUUUCUUUACCAUGUUUGAUAGAAGUACAGAUGGACCAUGCCAUUGCAAAGGAAAUGGAUAGCAUUUUUUUAUCCAUAGAGAUUUUAUGGUUUACAUGGAUGAACAUUUCUAACGGUACUCCUGUAGAUAACACGUAUCUCUUGUGUUAUCAUUGCUUUUCAGUGCUUCCUUUGCCUUCUCAGCUAAUGGCUAUUUUGUUUUGUUUCGGCCCUUCAAUAAUUUUCAGAAACCUAGUUUAUUCUUACUGUAUUCAGUAUUCUGUUGUACAUUGUAUCUGCUAACUAUAGUGUAAUAACCUAUUCUAGCAAACAUAAAAAAAUCAUGUUUCUUCUUACAAAUUCACACAGCAAUGCACGGGUAUCACCUAGUAAAACUAAGAUAUAUUGAAUAAACAAAACCAAUAAGUGUGAAUCUGAUAUUGUUCAUAGGGUUCAGGGUAAGGCUAGUGCAAAGGACAGUAAACAAAUGUAAAGAGGAUGCAUUUAUAAAGACCUUUGUGGUAGGGUUCAUACAACGCAACUAUAAAAGAUCCUCAUAUACCUAACAUGUGCAUCUCCUAUUUGCAAAUAUUUGUCCAUUAUCUUGGGAAUUGUCAUUUCACAGUGUUUGAUCAUAUUAAUUAAUCCCUACCCCUACUCUACCCUACUCUAAUGUUGUGAAAGAGGAAAAAAUUGUUGUAGUGUGUCACAUUGAUAUACGUAGUAGUGACAAGGUGAAGACAGAAACAGCACAAAUACAUUUCAAGCAUUUGCGGCAGCACAAUGCAACCAAAAAGACAAUUCAGUGCUGUGUAAACUUAAAAAUCGAGCUUACUCGAAGGAGAAGAAGAUGGCAACCGAUGCCUCCCACUUCUGUAUGAGUGACCUGAGCGAGUUUGACAGGAAGAGGCAGUCGACAAUGAGGAGAAACGCCAUGAAGGAGACGAUUCUGAUGUGUGAGAGCAAGGGCACUGAAGGUGUUGUCUCGAUGUACUCGACCCUCUUCUGGGCCAGCCAGUGCAGUGCCUUAAUAAGGAGCAGCGCGGCGACCAUGGCGAGGAAAGAGACCGAGAAAUCCUGCCGGAAGAUGGUGACUGCGAAGAGGAUCUCAACGACCUCCCGCCAGGCCUGCUCGUUGAGGCGCUCGACCUCGGCCUCCCGGAGCGAGCCCAGGAAGAGGCGCUUGACGAGCUGCCAGGCGACGCACAUGGCGACGAGGCCCGUGUUGAGGAGCAGAACGAAGCAGAUCUUGGAGGUGGAGAGGUAGACCAUGGCCGGGUAGAACUGCUCCCGGCUGCUGAAGGCGUAGUACACCGCCGACGCCGUCGCCAGCAGGCUGAACGCCGCGUACGUCUGAAGACGGAUCAUCUUCACCUCCGGAGCUGCCGCCCGCCAGAAGGAAAAUCACACCUAUCUUCCGCAACAAAACCGCACCACAGCACGCCACCACCGAAUCGGAUAUCUAGAAAGAACAAUCCAAAUCAUCAAUCAAAAUAGGGAAAUCGUUCUCCAAGACCAAAAUUAGCUCGCAAAUCGAAACCGUAAAUUUGGCGGGCGGCUUACCCCUUGUGAGGCAAUCACCUCAUCGACUCGACGAGAGCGCGGUGGAGGUCGGCUCUAGGAGACAUUCGACAGGGACGCCGGUAGGCUUCAAUGGACUGCGAUUUUGGUAGGAGAAAGGUUUGGAUUUUGGAAUUUAUUAUUAUUAUUAUUAUUAUUAUUAUUAUUAUUAUUAUUAUUAUUAUUAUUAUUAUUAUUAUUAUUAUUAUUAUUAUUAUUAUUAUUAUUAUUAUUAUUACUACUACUACUUCUCUUUUCUUUUCUUUUUUAUCUAUCUCCAGUUCUCGACUCUCUGGCCGUUGAGCGAGAUGACCUGUGAGUUUUUUUUCUUUUUUUCGUGGUUAUGAGGUGAAGACGGCACAAUGGGGCACGGUGCGGCGAGAGACACGCUGCACUGUUGGCCAUUGAUGCGAUGAUAGAACCCGCGGUUGGUAGUCUCCACUUAUGUGCCAAUCGUGGACGCCGGUGACUAGUUGAUAAAAUGACGGCUUGUUUGAUACGAACGGCGAUUUAGGUGAUUUUUUGUUUUUUUGUCACUUUGUUUGGUGAGGGCUGGCUAAUUUUUUUCGAUAAAAGGCAUGAGAAAUUAUUAGCAACACGAGGCUAUAAGAGGAGUACAAGGUUCUCAAAUUACACGAGGUAGUGCCUUUCUAGUACGACAGCUAGGUACAUGAUCAAUAUUUGAACAUGCAAUGUCUAUUUGAUUGGAGCUAACAGUAGUUGAUUUGAAAGACUGAGUGGGUAGAGGAUGACCUGCAAUAUUGAGUCUUCUUUCUAUUUUUGCCACCUUCCAAUUCAUUGACACUUCAUUUAGUAACUUUUGUGUGUGUGGUUUGAUGUCCUAUGGGGGGAUUUCAUCCGGUUUGAUAUCCUAUUGGGGGGUCAGAGUGAUAUGGUCCAUUAUAGAAAUGAAUCAUCUAUUGGUUAUUCGUCGGGAAGAAGAUAUCUUCAAUUUGCAACUUUGAUAAUAUGGUUCUUGCAAGAGAAAUGGCUUCUGCCUCAACCAUAAUGACUGAGUUAGUCAUUGUUGUCGCUUUGAUCUGAAUCAUUAGUUUUCUCCUAGGUUCCAAGAUGAAAACUUUGAUUUCAGUUUUUCUCAUCAGUUGGCUUGGCUGAUCUAGAGCAAUUGUUUCGUCCGUGUAACAUCAGGCACCUUGUAGGAGUGUUGGAAUGAUGACGUGAAAAAAGGAGGUGUUGGAAUAUAUGUUUGUCCUUAAGGAGGACAUGUGCUAACCGUUAGAUCUCUUGUCAUGUCUUGUGCUCCUGCAUAAGAUGGUUUAGGUCUUGACAUAUCCUCCAAUUUGUGUUCCAAUGUCGUUGUUUUCUAGAAUAGACCAUCUUUUAUUGUUGAAACGAGCAUCAUUCCUCGUGUUCUAAAUGUACCAUAGAGUUGUCAUAAUUCUUUGAAAUUCCUUAUUAGAUGUGUUUCUAUCAAUAAUUAUUGACAAAAUGCCCUAGACUUCAUCCUGUUCAUGUGGAAGUUGAGAAGUUAUAAGUGGUGGUGAAGCAGAGAACCAAAUCGCCCUUGCAAAGUUGUAGUGGGAAAAUAAGUGCGAAUCAUUUUCAAUCAUAUUACAAGCUGAGCAGUGUUUAUCAAUUUUUGAUGAUUAUCGAUGAAAGUUGAUCGUCCGUCUACCGAGGGAUAUGCCCAUAGUAGUAGAUUAAUCGGUGGAGGUGCGCGAGACACAAACUAGAUGGUAACACAAACACCGAGACACAAGAUUUAUACAGGUUUGACCGUCGUCUAGGCGUAAUACCUACGUCCUGUGUUCCGAUGUAUUGUAUUGAUUGAGGUGUCAAUAAUGACAAGUCUACUAGGGGACCUCUAGACCUCCUUAUAUACUCUAAAGGGAUAUAAAAGGUCCUAACAUGGUUAGAAGGGGGUGAAUAACCUAUUUAAAAUCUCUACAAAAUACUAGAGCAAAAGAUUAGUAUAACAAAUGACGUAAAGCAAUUUUGCUCUAGCUCUAUAUGGGUUGCAAGCCACUUAUCCAAUUGUCGGGUACCAUAAAACAGGAUACCCGGACUAAGGGGAAAAAGUGGCAAAAGAAGACCUACCUUCCCUCACACCAACAGGGAUUCUCAGAUCAAUACAUCAAACACACGACUCGCCCGAGCCCCGACCUCGAGCGCCAGUAACGACUCGCCUGAGCCCCGCCUUGAGCGAAAUCAAUGACUCGCCCGAGCCCCGGCCUCGAGCGCAAUCAAUGACUCACCGGAGCCCCAGCCUCGAGCGCCAGUAGCGACUCACUCGAGCCCUGGCCUCGAGCGCAAUCGACACCACGCCCGAGCCCCAGCCUCGGUGCCAAGCUUCCCACGCACGAUGACCAUACCGUUGACGCGACACGGGCCAUACUUCCUCCCAUACCGUGGUAGGAGAUGACGCCCGCUAUUCUUACAACUCUUGUAACACCUUACCCAUGUCACUGUGGGUACGGCGCGACAGGAGAAGGAAUGGGAAAUGUUAACUCACCCCACUGCUACCAUACUCAGGCAAUUACUGUUCUCAGGAGAAGGACGGAGCAUGGGGCCUCGGAGGAGAUCGUCACGAUCCAAAUAGGGCUCGGUAACAUGACCAACAGGGAUGACCACACCGCUGCCACUACCACAAGGACGUGGUGACCAAUGUCAACAGCCCCGACGCCAUAAUUCUUCAGCACAUCAAGAGUAAAAAGCAAUAUUUACACAUGUAAAACCUUGCCUCCCUUUGUGGCUAUAAAAGGGGAGGCAGGGCACCCCAUAGAGAGACGCGGCCAGACAAUCCCCAACUCAGGUUCAACUUAGCCAACAACACACUGACACAAACACCCACCAAGCCGAGACCUAGGACUACUUCCCUCUCUCGCAGCUAGCUUGUACACCCCUACUACACGCACUCUCAGGUGCAAGAUAAUACAGGUCCCUACCCCCUCACUGGAUGUAGGGCAUCUUUAGCUUGAACUAGUAUAAAUCUUUUGUGUCCUUCUUGCGUCACCAUCUAGGUUCAGGGGCACGCAGACUCAUUACUCAUUAGUGCCUAGACCCCGAGUCCAGACACCAACAGUUGGCGCGCCAUGUAGGGGCCUUCUGCGUGUGACACCUUUUCCUCUAGGAAAACCCAAAUGGCGGACGAUUUUCGCCCGCUUCACCUCGGCACCAUCAUGAGGUUUGGGAGUUUGGAGUUCAUGUCUCUCGGCUCCGGCUACGACAUGGUCCUCCUCCCGCCUCGUGAUGACACUGAGCCGCGUCCUAAGCCUCUCCCGCCCCUGCCAGUGAACGGGAGACGUUUGGGACAUCAUGCGGGGGAGCCCGGCGUGGGCGACAGAGGUCUAGGAUCCCUGACCCCGUUUCUAGGGCCAAGACAUCCAGGCCCUCCCCCCGCAUGUCUCUCAUCAAAUUGCCCAUGCUUCUGGCCCACGAUGAGCCAGGGGAAAGCCUCACAGAGUUGCAAGCUCUGCCCCUUGGCCUGGCAGGGGGACAGCACGACCCCCUGUCCCACCUCAGCCGAUGGGCAGGGCACCGCCUCCGCUGCCUCCUCAAAAGGAGGACCCGGGGGCUUCGACUUCACAGCUCCUUCCCUCAUCGCCCUCAGAGCCUGAGGUGAUGGUGGAAAGGCCCGCGACUAUGCCUUUCACGCUCCCUUACGGGCUUAAGAACACGGUCGCGACAUACGCCUCCUCCGCAAGCACUUCAUUAAGUGUGUAUGCGGAUCUCUCGGGCCACCAUCUGAGGUCUACCCUUGACCUCAUCGCCACCCCACCAACAUCCUCCUAUCCUAAGGAGGUUACCUCAUAUGAGGGUGCAUGGGCUGGUGCCGACUUCUCUGGGCCGGUCACAAAGGGAAGCAGGGCCGGCAUGAUGAUAACCUCGUCUCUGCGGCAGGUUGCAAGAACGCUAAGCAACCUCCUGCCGGACCUGGUCUCUUUGAUGAGAUGUUGAAGAAGCCAUGCCCCUAUCAUAGGGGUCCCACCAAGCACACCCUAGAGGAGUGCACUGUCCUAGGUCGUUUCUACUCCGACGCUCCUCCCAAGGAGAAUGCGGAGGAGCCACCAAAGGACAAGGACGACGAUGACAAAGGGGACGGUUUCCCCAAGGUCAAGAAUUGUUUCUUGAUCUUUGGAGGGUGUGCGGCCCGACUCACCAUGAGCUAGAGGAAGCGCAAGCUCUAGGAAGUCUACGCGGUUAACACGGCUGCGCCGGCCUACCUCAAGUGGUUGGAGAACGCCAUCACCUUCGAUCACAGCGACCACCCAGAUCGAAUCCUGAAUCUCAGGAGCUAUCCGCUUAUCAUCGACCCCAUCAUCGUCGAGACACGCCUCACCAAGGUACUGAUGGACAGAGGCAGCGGCCUCAACAUCCUCUACGGUGAGACCCUCAGCCUUAUGGGGAUCAGCAAAUCUCAGCUGAGGGCCGAUGCUUUACCAUUCUAGGAGUGGUACCUAGGCAUCGAGCCUACCCCCAUGGGUAGAUCGAUCUGCCCUUUUGCUUCGGGACCCCGACAACUUCAGAUGGGAGGUCCUCACUUUCGAUGUGGUCGGGUUCCCUAGAACCUACCACGUAAUCCUAGGAACGCCAUGUUACGCCAAGUUCAUGGCCGUCCCCAACUACACCUACCUCAAGCUCAAGAUGUCGGGACCCAACGGCGUCAUCACCGUCAGCACGACGAGCCAGCAUGCCUACCAGUGCGACAUCGAGUGCAUUGAGCAGGCUAGGGCAUAGUCGAGAUGGUGUCCCUGAUCGCCAACCUCGACAAUCUCGGUUAGGAGGUGCCGACCCCAAGCGCCAUGUCGGGAGCUUUGAGCCGGCAGAGGAGACCAAGCUCAUCUUCCUCAACCCCGAGGCCUCAAAGGGCAAGGUAUUGAGGAUCAGUUCCAGCCUCGACCCCAAAUAGGAAGUGGUUCUCGUCGACUUUCUCCGUGCAAACACUGACGUGUUUGCGUGGAGUCCCUCGGACAUGCCUGGCAUACCGAGGAAAGUUACCAAGCACUCCUUGGACAUCCGAGCCGGCUCCAAGUCUGUGAAGCAACGCCAGCACCGAUUCGAUGAGGAGAAGCGCCGAGCCAUCAAGGAGGAGAUCCAGAAGCUGUUGGCGGCUGGGUUCAUCAAGGAGGUAUUUCACCUUGAGUGGUUAGCCAACCCUAUACUAGUCAAGAAGAAAAAUGGGUAAUGGAGGAUGUGUGUAGAUUAUAUCAGUUUGAAUAAAUCAUGUCCUAAGAACCCUUUUCCAUUACCUUGUAUCGAUCAAAUAGUUGACUCUACUAUGGGAUGUUAAACCUUAUCUUUUCUUGAUGCAUACUCUGGUUAUCACAAAAUUAAGAUGAAAGAAUCCGACCAGUUAGAAAGCUCUUUCAUAACCCUCUUUGGGAUGUUUUGCUACGUAACCAUUCCGCUCGGCCUUAAAACACGGGGGCUACAUACUAGCAGUGUAUACUCCAGGUUUUUGGAGACCUCAUAGGCAGAACCAUAGAGCCAUACAUAGAUGACAUCAUGGUCAAAUCUAGGAAAGUUAGCGGCCAUGUAGCUGACCUAGACAAAACUUUCCAAUGCCUUAGAGUCAAAGGAAUCAAACUGAACCCGGAGAAAUGCAUUUUCAAAGUUCCCCGAGGCAUGCUCCUCGGAUUCAUUGUCUCUAAGCGAGGGAUCGAGGGGCAGAGGGUUAUGGGAUGCCUUGCGUCCCUCAGCCGAUUCAUCUCUCACCUUGGAGAGAAAGGGCUGCCUCUAUAUAGGCUCCUCAAAAAAUCCAAGCACUUCUCCUGGACCACCGAGGCCCAGGAGGCGCUUGACAAGCUCAAGGUAUUGCUCACCAACCCCCCCAUCCUAGUACCCCCCGCCGCAGGGGAACCGUUGCUUCUUUAUGUCGUAGCCACCGACCAGGUGGCCAGCGCAGCUAUCGUGGUCGAGAGGAAGGAGGAAGGGCAUGCCCUGUCGGUCUAGAGGCCGGUAUACUUUGUUAGCGAGAUACUCUCCGACACUAAGACCCGAUACCCACAAAUCCAAAAGUUACUCUAUGUAGUAGUCCUGGACCGACGCAAGCUCCGCCAUUACUUCGAGUCUCACCCAGUCUCCAUGGUCUCAUCUUCCCCUUGGGAGAGGUGAUCCAAAUCUGGGAAGCCAAUGGCAGAAUCGUGAAAUGGGCUGUGAAACUCAUGGGUGAUGGUAUCACCUACGAGCCUUGGAAGGCCAUAAAAUCUCAGAUCCUGGCCGAUUUUGUGGCUGAGUGGACGGGAACCUAGCUUCCUCCACCCCAGAUCCAGUCAGAGUGCUGGACCUUAUACUUUGAUGGGUCUAUGAUGAAGACCAGGGCCGGCGCAAGCCUCGUAUUUAUCUCACCCCUCGGAGUAAGGAUGCGAUACGCCACCCGACUUCACUUCUUGGCCUCAAACAAUGUGGCGGAAUACGAAGCCCUCGUCAACGGCCUCCACAUCACGGUUGAGCUAGGAAUAAAAAAACUUGAUGUCUAAGGCACUCAAGACUCGUCAUUAACUAGGUCAUGAAAGAGUCAAAUUGUCACGACCCCAAGAUGGAGGCAUACUGGGAGGCGGUUCGACGCCUAGAAGAGAACUUCGAUGGCCUUGAACUCAACCAUGUGCUGAGAAAGUAUAAUGAAGCCGCUGAUGCACUCGCAAAGAUGGCAUGUGAGCGGGCCAUGGUCCCCUCGGACGUCUUUGUCAGUGACCUCCACAAGCCCUCAAUCGACUACAAAGAAUACAAGGGUAUGGGCCAUGAUCUGGCUGACCCUGUCUCUAGAUCCAAAGCCUCUAUGGCUCCCGAGCCUAAGGCCAUGGAUGUCGAGCAGGAGGAGCCUAUGCCCGACGAUCAGCUGGACUGGUGCUUCCAGUAUCUUCAGCAUCUUAUCGACGGGACACUCCCCUCGGACCCCACCGAGGCAUAGCGACUGGCUCGCCGCGCCAAGACUUUUAUCCUUAUCAACAAGGAGAUGUACAAACACAACCCCUCAGGCAUCCUCAUGUGGUGCAUCACCCACAAAGAGGGCAUGGAUCUCCUUUGGAAGAUCCACUCGGGGGCUUGCGGCCAUCAUGCAGCAUCUUGGACGCUGGUAGGUGUCAGUGUUCUACCCACGGGGGGUCACACCAACGAGUGAAAUUUGUGUGCGUGUUCCCUUUCCCAGAUGGUGAUGCAAGAAAGACACAAAGACUUAUCCUGGUUCGGGCAAGAGAAGGCCCUACGUCCAGCGGGGGGAGAUGUUUCUAUUAUCUUGCACCUAAGUGCUUGUACAGGGGCGAAUACAAGUCAGUAUUUGUGUGGAUGGAUGGAGAUGGGGUGUGGUUGUUCUUCUACGUUUGUCUCAUGUCCCCUAUCAUUUCCUGCGUCUCCCCUUUUAUAGUUCCAAGGGGAGACCUAGGUUACAUGGCGUAGGUGAUAGAGUAGGGGUCGAUAGGGGCGUGGCGCGCUGACCUACUCGAGGCUUCCGUACCGGCGUGGUCUCGAGCCGUCUUGUUUCACAGUACUUGAGUGAUGAUUACACGUGCCUCUGAAUCCAGCUCCUGCGCGCCAUCUUGGAUUGGCUUAACCGUGGGCACGCCUGUACGUUGUGGCCACUGUCGCGUCAGAGUGGUUGAGCCGCUGUCUUUCACCGCCUGACCCUUCUUUGGGAAGGAACUCGUUCGCUCGAGGGUCCGAUGCCGCGCAAAGCCCUACUGAUAGGAGCGUUGAGUUUGGGCGUCUCGAGGGGGGUCGUGACAAGACGUGCCGACCAUCUCGCUGCGCUCUGCCAUACUCUGGCUCAUCCGGUGGACAAGGCUGCCAAAAGGGGCGAUUGGAAGGGUGCUUGCUCCCUAUCACGCUUCCCGUGAGUGUCGGGUUAGGUGAGAACGCGGCAGGCGCAUUAAAUGCCCUGGUUUCCGUACCCGCGUCAGGCGGCGGGCGGCGUCCUUAGACUCGAGGCAUGUUGAUUCGUACGAGCCAGUUCCGUAUUUGACGGUCGCCGUCCAGUUGAGUCUUGGUCGAUUCGUAUGACCCUGUUUCCGUGUUUGAGGGUAUGGUUGACAUCGUAUUUUGGCAGUCACGCGUGAGAACGGGGGGCGUCGAGUCAGGGGCCUCGAUUCACAUGUGGGUCUUCUCGUUAUGUGCCUCGAUUGGGGCCCCCCAUUAUUGAUACCCUUGACAGUAGCCCCCGAGCCUCUAUUUUAGCGCUUGCGCUCGAGUAGAGGUUCUUUCAUCAGUCGAGUUUUCGUGGGGUCACGCGAGCGACCCCCACGGGGGUAGCCCCCGAGCCCUUGGAGGAGUCUUUGACUCCUUUGAGGGUUAUGUUGCCUUUUCUAAUGAAAGAGUGGCUUGAGGCUUCGAUCGGUUAGUUUCGCGUCGGGGUUGUGACGUACUCCUGGUGGAGCGAGAGUCACCUACCCCAGGUCGAGCUCUUAUCGGGUAAUCCAAGUGAGAACCUGUGCCCCGUUCGAGGGGGUCAGCUGUAGCCCGGAGGCAUUCUCAUAAAGCGGGGUCAACGUGGUCGGGGUUACCGGUCUCAUUCGAUAGAGUCCAGCGGCUCGCUGCCUCCCUUCGUGGGGAUUCCUCUCGACCGUCCUGUCCUCGCCUUGGACAUCCCCAGUGAGUUCUCAAGGUAGGCCUCGUUUUUCGACCACUCGCUGGGCAUCCCUGACUCUGGUACUCGAGAUCGACUGUCGAACCCGUUCGGCGGGCCAGCCUGCGAUCUCUCAAGGUUUUUAACGUGACAGGUGCGUACCUUAUCUCACAGGGGAAGGAAGGGUCGCGGCGGUUUGCCUUUCCACCCGUUGGGCGCUGUUGAUGGUCCUUAAGUACCAAAUAUAAUCAUCAAAUAAAUAAAGAAAAGGAUCCAAAUGCAACCAACAGCCACACUUAGGGUUUUAUCUGACAGAAUUCCACGAGUUUUGGUGUUUGUCUAUUUCUACAGGGGGUUAUCAGGAAAUACGGAAGAAAGGCCCACACGUCGGGUUUACAUAGAGAUAUUAACGUGCCGCGUAAUUUUCUAUCAUCUAGAAGACUCCAGAAGCCACGGGAACGAACGGGAGGCCGAACGGGCCCAAGGGCAGGGCGCCCGCCCUCCCCCCUUGGGCGCCCGCCCUGACCUGGACUCCAAUCAUAACUCUUUUCAGGGACCAAGCUCCACCGACCUAAAGGACCAAGCCCCUGUGGACACGAGUUCAUCAUAGAGUUGAGAGGAGCCCUCGAAGGAAUACCUCUCCUCUAAAUAAAAUUUCUUUUAGGCUUAGCAUCCAAUGUGAGUAGAAUUAGAUCUUCUAGUUUCUACUAGAUUGAGAGAGAUAGAGUGGAGGUGUAGAUCGGAGGAAGCCCGGCCUGUCGGUAUCUACUCUGAGGUUGUACCUGCGGGAUCAAGUUCUCCUAACCCAAAGCUUGCUCCUAGGAUUCUUCAGUAAUUCGACUUCUAAUUCUAGUAAGUUCUUGUUUUAUUGUUCUUUGGUUUAUGAGUUUACUUUAAUCUCUUUCGAUUGAGUUUAGAGUAAUCAUUGCUAGCGUAAACGCGGUGUUUGGGCUAGGGUAGUCAUAGAUAUCCCCUGACUAGCUGGACCGUGCUAGUAGCGAGGAACGUGACAUUUCCGAGUUACCUUUGCAGCCCACAUCUUGUUAGCAGGACGGGUAGGGUUUAUAGGUGCGGGUCGAACAUCCUUUGUGGUGUCUAGAUUCCAUAAGCUUCCCCAAUAGAACAGUAGAUCAUCCUUACCAAGGUUAGAACGAGACUACGGUUGCAGUCUUCUCUAUACAUCACUCACAUCGAGAAACAUUCUUUGUAGCCUAAAGGGUAGUAGCAAUAGAUUUGGUUAGUCAGAUGCACCCUUUCUCCCAGUGGUAAAAAUAUAAAUACGAUACUCUGGAUAACCUCCCGGGUGAAAUGCUCACUAAUAUCCGUGCGCUUGCGGAUCAUUUCCUCAUUGCGUUACCAAAUAUCAACAAGCAUUUCUGGCGCCGUUGCCGGGGAGAAAGACGGUUUGCUGAGAUAACUUUGAGUCUUGCUAUUAUCUUGUAUUAUACUUUUAUACUUUUAUUCUUUUAUCUUUUUAUUUUUUCCAUCUUUAUGGAUAACUCAAAUUUCACACCUAUUAUUGAAUUUUUUGCACCUUCAGAGACCAGCCAUAGACCAUGGGAGUCAACAAGUCCUUUCUUUGCCCCUAAUUAUGAUUUGUGUCCGGAGUUGAUUGCAAUAGGUCAAAACCAACCCUUUUCUAUAGCUGAGGUCCUAUCUUUUAAUCAAGAAGAUAAUGAACUUUUAGCUACACCUAGGGAAUUUGUUAAUCUUUCUAUGAAUUCUGGUUUAAACCUAGCCCUACAAGACCAUGUUUUUCCUCGAUAUUUUCACAUUGGUCUUAAUCAUAUAACCUUUGGUAGAGUUUUUCAUUCUUUAUCUGUUAGUAAAGGAAGGUAUGUCUUCAUUCAUGGACAUCCUUCUUACACUAGUCUUCAUAAAAAAAUCCUAGAGAUAGAGAAGGAAUCAUCUCCGAGACGAGGAAAGGAAGUUUCAAUAGCCAAUUUCCCAACAUUUCAAUCCCAUGAUUCGGCUAUCCAACCCAUCCUUGAGCUUAAUAAUUUCUACUCUUCUCUUUCUCUUGAACCUUCCGAUGAUCCUAUGAAUCUCUCUAGACAUCCCAUGCAUAAGAGUCAGCAAGACCACAAGGAGGAUCGAGAAGAGCAACAUCAAUGGCUAGAGGGCAUUAAAAAUCCAUGUGCUAUCACCAUUGAAUGGAUAGAUAAAACAAACUUGAGAGACAAUCCUAGAGGAAUUUUUAGCAUUCAUGAAGAAUCAUCCUUGGAGUUUGAGAAUGAGAGAAACAACAGUGAGCAUGGAAGUUAUUUCAUAAAUACCUCACCAAGUCCUUGCUCAUAUAAAACAUCUUCCCAAUCAAUUGGUCUCUCCAACCUUACCACAUUUGAGAUCUCCAACCCCCUCUUCCUUUCUAUUUAUAAAAACUUUAAAAGAGCGGUUGUCGAUGCAUAUGUCUAUAAUAAAUAUUGCAGAUCUCAUUGAGUUGAUUGAUGGUUUCCCAAGGACAAGCUUAGUGUCCUAAAACAAGCACUUAUCAGAUCGUAACAUGAACUUCUAAUUAUUUGCAACAUUGCCUUGUGUAUUGAGCAUAUAAAGAUAAUUGUAGAAAUAUUCCUUCGGGUAUUCUUGCCACUAACCUUUCUAGGAUUAGAGCAAGAAGAUCGGAUGAAUGACAAGCACAAGGUAUGUCCAACCAACCAUCACACAACAUUGAAUUAAAUUCAUCCAAACUUGAAUUUUGUAUAAUUCAAGCUUGGGGGAGUACUUCACAUAAAAACAUCCUUUGCCAUGUUGCUAUGUUGGUGGUCCUUUCCUUUGAGACAUGCUUGAUUUGUUAAAUACUAGUCACACUACUUCUCCACUUGAGUAGAUCUCUAUAAAAGCCAUCAUGCUACCUAUGUUUAUCUUAGUAAGUGUUAGUUUGGAAGUACUGUACAUACUUCUAUUAGCUUUUAAAUUAAGCGUGGUCCUUAGGUUAAAUAGCUUUCCUGAAUCUGAUUAGAUAUGGAGUCUAGUUUGGUUACUGAACUAAAAACUGCUUGAGUAGGCAUUGGUAUAUUUUGUCGAACUAACCCCUACAGGAAAACUUUCAAUAUCAACCUGGGAAGUCCUGAGAUACAAACUCAUUGGAGAUAAAGGAGACACAUGAAUUUUAACAAUUUGAACAAGAAGGACAUAGCUCAUUCAUCAUAAAGAGAUGAUCUAUGGAGGGUGCCACAAACACGAUGCACAACCGCUAAGAAAGGAAAGCUUCCACAAGGUGAUACUGUACCAUCAUUCUUCAAGUAAGGUAACACCUUAAGGUACUUAACUAUCACUUUUAUAAGUUUCUCCUUGGUUCUGGCGUUCACAUAAAAUAAAGAGACAAACAUGUAUGAUCUGUAACUCUAAAUUAACCAACUCAAUUAAUUCAACAUGUUUAGUCCUUUAAUCUUUGUUCUUAGUACUACCUUCGUGAUUCCACACUCCUAAUCAUAUAAGCUAAUAUGUUGCACAUUCAAUCUUUGGAAGAUAUAAACAAAACAUAAAUAUAGAUAGAUUAUCUUUCUAUUAGGUUGAGCAAUCUGAUCUGACAAAUGUUUCAAAUACUACACUCAUAAUCUUAUUAUCCAUCAACUUUGUCUUGCUCACUAUGCUUAAGGUUAGAGAAGAACAAAUACACUUUUGGUUCUGUUGGUAUUUUCCACCAACAGGGCCCAUGCACUUGAUCUCUGCCUUGUCUCUAUGAACAGGUACACUUCAAGCAAAACAUGGAGGAGUUUUACAACUCCCAGACUACACCAAGUGAAGGACCUGGAUCUACGAGCACAAACACACUGAGCAGGAUAUUGCCAACACCGCACUUUGAAUUGCUGGGCAAACAACGAACAUGGGUGACUCCGUAUCAAGAGGUGCAAACGUCAAGGUCCACACCCAAUCAAAUGAUGCACCUAAAGGAUGAAGACAGUGAGAAGUCUUGUCCAGAAGACUUAAAACAUUGGAUCCUUGUCGGAGGAGGUCAAGAUCGUCGACUCAAGUCGCCUUUCCUGAUUAAGAAGGACGACCCUGGUGUUCCAAGUAUCGAGUGCACAAUCAAUGGAUACUCUUUUCAGAAGACACUCUACGACACCGGAUCUGACGACAACAUAAUGGCCGCAGUCACUUAUCAGCUCCUGCAUGGAACCAUGCCCCUACAACCAACAUACAUUCAGCUCUAGAUGAUUUUCAGGUCAUUGACAUGGGAGAACACAAGUACGAUCCACCCACCAUCCUUGGAAGACCGUUCCUCAACACUAUCAAAGCCAUCAUCUAUAUUGGAACUGGAGAAGUCCACAUGCACUUCCUCUCUGAAGAAGGCGACGCAACCGAAACAAGAGGAGGCAAAUCAUCAAGGACGGAUGGGUAGACUAUGAAGGAGAAGUGGUAAGGUCUGAAGACAUACAGUAAGGAGACGUAGCACCGAGUCAGGUGUGGAGAGAGAAGAUAGUUAUACACAAAGAGGAGGCGCCGCCGGAACCACCGACUACGCCAUCCAGCGAAUCCCAGGACGACUGAGAAAACGGAGAGUCUCGUUUGGAGGACUUAAAAAACACCAAACGCCUUGCCAAGAGGUAAACUUGGUAGUUAUCCUUUUUCCUUUCAACUAUUUAAAAUAGUUUGCUUAGUUAAUCAGGUUCAUAUCAUCUCGAAAAGAAAAUAAAAAUGUUAAAAAUAGUAAGCCCCAUGUGAGUAUGCUCAUGGCAUAAAACCCAUAGGUACAUUCACUGUGGUGGCAUAAAAUAAAUAUAUUUUCAUCUUACAAUAAAAAUAUAAAAAUAAUAAGUACAUGAUCCUGCUAAAUAAAAUUUAUUAGGAGGAAGCUCAAUAUGAUAAAGGCAAAGAGAUUUUAUGCUAACACUUAACCAGUUCCACAAAGCUUUGUUGUCUAUUUGAGCUCCACAGAAUUCAAGGAUCAAAGAAGACUAGCAAACUGAGGACAUCCUAAUCGCUGUCUGGGUUCUGCCAACAUUCAAAUACACCUCCGACACCUGCUAGCUACAUCAGAAAAAAUUACGUCAAAAUCCAGCUUGGGGGAGAGCACCCCCAUUUAUCCAGCUAAGUGUUUCUACUCGCGUUUAGAAUUUACUCAAAUAAUAAAAAGAUGCAUAAUCCUAAAAAACCCAAAUAAAGAUUUUGUGCUUUUAUAUAUAUCUUUGCUUAGUUUGCUAAAUAAAUAAAUAAAUAAAGUUUGCUAUGAACCCUUAUGAUAAGCUCUCACAUGGAAAUAAUGAAUAGUUGCUCUGCCAUGACUAGUUCUUAAAAUUGAAAUCUCUCUCAAGUUUAGGCAUGACUGUUAUGAAUUAAGAUUUGCUCUAAACCUGAACUUGUGGGAAGAGUACCUGAUCUGAAGUCUAAGUUGUUAACGGAUAUGAUAUGGGAAGGUUGAGCUGCUGUUUAUCUGUUCCUAGAGAUGCUAGAAUUUUAGAGAAUUUUAUCUUUGAAAAUCUUUAAAAUGUUGCAUGAUGAGUUCCUGUAUGACGAGAGUUUAAAUUACUACCACAGCCAUACAUACAUGCUUAUUAGACUUUGAGCCACAUAUUUACUUUUACUGCUUAUGAGCAUUGAGUGUGGUCAAGCAGUGUAGACCCUUAGGACCUUGUCAUGCGGUUAAAAUCAAGAUUCACUUGCACGUUCACUCAUACAUGUUGCUUCUACUCCGGAAGUACGCAUCCACAUAAUGCACUCAUUUUCAUCUCCAGAUUCACCUAAAAGUAUUCUACUCCUAAUCCGGGAGAGAAUAGCCAAAAACAUUAUCCUAUCCCUGUUAUUCCCUGUGAAAUAAAUGCUCGAGAUAUUUUGGUAACUACCACUUGCUAUAUUAUUUCAGGAGAUGAGUGCUCUAAAAAAAGAAAAAAAAGAAAGAGGAUACGAGAAAAUAAAAAGGGGCAAGUGCCCGGAACCUCGAAAGAAAAGAAAGAAGUGAGACGAGAGGUAAAAAUAGACAAGUGUCCGACAGUAGAAUUAGGGUUACAAGGUACCCACCUGAAAGGAAAGAAAAAGAAAAUAUAGAGCAUCUCAUUCUCCUCAAAAAGCUUCAAACUGCAAGAAAGGUAUGUAUCCCCUUAAAAAAGCAAAAGUAGAAUUAGAUUUUCGUUAUCACCAUCAUCACCAAACACCAUUCACUCGCCACACAUGCACAUCUUGAUUUGACUUAUUGACUUGUUUCUCUGGAUCCAUGGUUUGACUAUGCAAUAAAUGUCUUGUAAGUAUGUAUUAUCUGUCUCCCACCUAUGAGCUCCAGAUAUCAAAACCUUAUUAGAGUAGGGUGAGAGAGAAGGCAAUAUCACUAUGCCUUAUACCAAAAAUACCACAUACUUUGAGAGAAGGCAUAUACCAUUACUGCCUUGUUAAGGAUCCAGAAAUACCAUAAAAGAGAGAUUUGAGAGAGUCAUACAAGGAAUCUCUGAGUUUUAUUUGAAAAUCUGCAAAAACUCCAGAGCUAUAGCUGAUCAAGAAUAAGAGACAUGGCGCUUGACUUGACCGUUCUAUCUUUUAACUGCUCAAGCUACAAGUGACGGUUGCAAGCCCCAUGGUGAAAGGUAAAAUGAGUAAGUUUUAAGUCUUAACAGUUUACUCUAACUCAGAGAUGAUAUCUUACUUUUAAGGCAUGAAACCACUGCAGAAACUCUUAAGUUCAUCCUUGCUCAGGGACGAGCAAGAGGUAAGCUUGGGGGAGUUGUUGACGGUCCUUAAGUACCAAAUAUAAUCAUCAAAUAAAUAAAGAAAAGGAUCCAAAUACAACAAACACCCAGACUUAGGGUUUUAUCUGACAGAAUUCCACGAGUUUUGGUGUAUGUCUAUUUCUGCAGGGGGUUAUCAGGAAAUAUGGAAGAAAGGCCCACACGUCGGGUUUACAUAGAGAUAUUAACGUGCCGUGUAAUUUUCUAUCAUCUAGAAGACUCCAGAAGCCACGAGAACGAACGGGAGGCUGAACGGGCCCGGGGGCAGGGCGCCCGCCCUGACCUGGACUCCAAUCAGAACUCUUUUCGGGGACCAAGCUCCACCGACCUAAAGGAUCAAGGAUAACCGUCCAAUCAAUGUCGGUUUGAUCCAACGGCUCACGUUCACUUGAGGGGACUAUAAAACCAGACCCCCUGGCCC
rnacentral:lncRNA from 1 species